rnacentral:lncRNA from 1 species
UAUCUUGUGGAAUAUUAAAGAGAUUACACUGAUGAAUAUUUCGAAGAUGAAAUCAGUAUUCAUCCUAUCCAUUGCUCCAAGAAUGUUGUUGGAGACUUUGACAAUCAGUAAGUGUGAUGAAUUGAAGCACAUUAUAAUAGACACAGGAUAUCAUAACACUGGUGGCAAUAACUGGGGCACUGUCUUCCCUAAUUUAAGAAGUGUUGAAGUUGGAGAUUGUGAGCAACUGGAAUACAUAAUUGGACAAUACACUGAUGAUCAUCAAAACCACACUGAGAUUCAUCUUCGUCUUCCAGCAUUGGAAUGUCUCUCUCUUUGGAAUCUGCCAAGUUUAGUUGGAAUGUCUCGCAAACAAUAUCAGACAACAUUUCCACCUUUGGAAGAACUUGAACUCAUAGAAUGCUCGCAGUUUGCUAAUAUAAAAUCUAUAGGUGAUUUCAUAACUCAUCAUUCAGUAAUUAGAUCUGUGGAUGAUAGAAUCAUCGAGGUAUUCAUCCCUAAUUCUAUAUAUCUUUGAUAUUCUUAUUUUGUGCAUAUGUGUUUAUUUCCCAUUCAUUUAUUGCAGGAAUUGAGUGGGAAUGUGGAUCAUUUUCUCGCUUUAAAGAAACUUGUUGUAUAUAAUAACUCCGAAGUAGAAAGUAUCGUUUGUCUCAAUGAAAUAAAUGAACAGAAAAUGAACUUAGCUUUGAAAGUCAUUGAUUUGGAUGUUCUGCCUAUGAUGACAUGCCUUUUUGUGGGUCCUAAAAUUUCAAUUUCCCUCCAAAACCUUAAAGAAUUAAGAAUCAUGCGAUGUGAAAAAUUGAAAAUUAUUUUCUCCACUUGUAUAAUAAGGUGUCUGCCACAGUUGCAUUAUAUAAGAGUUGAAGAAUGCAAAGAGUUAAAGCAUAUUAUUGAAGAUGAUUUGGAGAAUAAAAAAUCCUCAAAUUUUAUGUCUACAAAGACAUGCUUUCAAAAGCUGAAAACACUUGUUGUAGCAAAGUGUAACAAGUUGAAAUAUGUCUUUCCAAUCUCCGUAUAUAAAGAGCUUCCUGAGCUAAAUUAUCUGAUCAUAAGAGAAGCAGAUGAGUUAGAGGAAAUAUUUGUAAGCGAAGGUGAUGAUCACAAAGUGGAGAUUCCAUAUCUACGAUUUGUAGUAUUUGAAAAUCUUCCAAGCCUCUGUCAUGCCCAAGGAAUUCAAUUUGAAGCUGUAACAUAUCGUUUCAUACAGAAUUGUCAAAAACUCUCUCUGGCUUCAGCAACCACCGCAAUCCUUGAAAGUGAUCUUUAUGGUUUAGAUAUUAACAUCUAUGGUACACAUUCUAUCCAAUAUUUUUAAAAACUAUUACAUGUUGACUGUAAAUUAUUAUAUACCAUGCAUUAAUAUUGUUAAAGGAUAUAAAGAAUUGAAUCUUCUAAAGUAGCGAUAUCAGGUAUGCAUGCAUAAGUAUUUCUAGAAUGUAAGGGCUCAUGUAGUGACCUAUCUAAUAGAAGCUAUAAUUUUAUGUAAAGUAUAAUUAUUAGGUAGAUAGAUAAACAAAUUUUGUUCAUCUUUAUACUUGAAAAUGAUGAUAUACAAUUGAAAGUGGAGGAUUUUAUUUUAUUAUGCUUGAGUUACUGUAUAAUGAUGUUAAUCUCAAUAAUAUUUUGCGGUAGAUUGGGAAUUGAAAGACUAUUUGAGGGCUCUGUUUCGACAAUUACAAAAAGAGACCAAAGGCCACAAUAAUGGUAAUGAAAAUCCAGAAAACUCCAAAGGUUUUGCCGCUGGGGUUGAAGUUAAAGCAUCAUCAGAACACAAGUUGACUUCUCCGAAGAAAACAAAAGAAACACCAAAGACAGAGCAUGAACUUGUGGAAAAUGUUCCUGAUUUAGAAAUACCAACAAAUUCAAAAGUGAUUUCCAGGCCAUGUCGAAUUGCCUUAGAAUUUUAAUGGAUGUUAUGAAUCGCUGAAGAUCGUUAAUGCUUCUGUUCUUGUAACAGGAGUUGAUGAAUGAACAAACAAUGGACCAACAACGUCUAGUUGGAGAAACUGAUACUGCCGUCAAACCUUUUCAGGUAAAUCAUGCAAUAUCAUACCAAUACAUUGUGCAUAUAAAGCUAAAAAUGAAAUACUGAAAGAAAUAUAUUUUAUUUCAACUGCUUCUUACAAAUAUGUACAACUUUGUCCACCAUUUCCCUUUGACACUUUGUCAAUGCAGGAAUUGAAUUAUACUACAAUCUUAAACAUCUUUCUAAUUUUAAGCAGGUUAGUGAAAUAAGUGUUGAAGAAGGAACUACAUCAGCUAAUGCCAAGAGAACAACAGCAUCAUCACAAGUGAGUUUAUUUUAUUUAACAUAGCCUUCAUAUUAACUUGGUCUUUUUAUUAUUAUUAUUCAAAGAAUAAGCCACCUACACAAAGAAAAAUAGAAAUUAAAAAGAAUCGUGUUAUGAUACCAUUAUGAGUCAUCAAAAUGGAGUCAACAAAUUAAUUAGAGAAAAUAAUGCAUGAAUUGAUGAUCAAUCCAAAUUUCCAUGCGGGAAUUAAAUGAUUAGAAGGUACUAACAUUAAAAAAUUAUGAAUGGAUUAUGUGUAUAUGCAGGAAUUUCUUAAGCAUCUAAAUGGAGAGCUCCAUUAUGAAGGUUGCGUAAGAAACUAAUGAAAAACUAUCAACUAAAUAAGAAACAUAUAAGGACUAAAAUUCAACUUUUAACACUUUUUAGAUAUAUGCUGCAAUUUAUAAUUUUUUCAUGUAGUGUUUGAAAGAAACGGAGAAUCAAAGUAUUCAAGGGGGUCCUACGUCCGAAACAAGGAAUGAGCCAUCUAUACAAUUAGUUUCUGAUCUUGAUGGUUCACAAGAAACAACUCAGACUAAUGAUAAUCAAGGUGAAGACUUGUUGGAUCGAUUUUCUUUUCUUAUAUGCUACCUCAUAGCCCUUUUGACUUUGAAUUUAAUUGUUGGAUCGAUUGUCAUGAAAGUAAGAUUAAAUAGAGAAGAACAGUUUCCUAUGGUAUUUUAUAGCUUCAUUUUAUUUUCAAUUAACAUUUCUAUGCUCAAAUAGCCACUAGUAUUCUUUCUUAUUCAUUUCUAUACGUUCAGGGGCACCCUUUUCAAAUAGUAGAAAAUUUAAGUCCUUCCACUGUCAACUAUCUCAAUAAAAACUCAGUUUCAAUUUUACAUAUAAUGAUGCUACUCUAUAUAUUGUUUUGCUAUAGAUUUUGAUUUGUAUUUACAUAUGGAGAGUGUAUAUCGACAAUUUCAAGCAAAGUCUAAAGGUCACGAAAAUGGUAAUGAAAAUCCAAAUGCACAAACCACUAAAGAAUUUGCAGCUUGGGUUGAAGCUGAAGCAGCAUCAAGGCACGCGUUCACUUCUUUAAAGGUCAAUACUACUCUAUUUAUUCAUAUAUGUACUUGUUAAUUGUUCGGAGUUUUCUAAGAUAAAUCUUUUACAUCAUGUGCUUCUUACAAAUAUACUACAAUUCAUUUACAUUUUCAUGCUAUACAAUUAGUUGGAAGGUUCAACGUCAGAAAACACAGCAGCAGCAACAUUGUCCACCAUUUCAGGAACAAAGAAUGAGCUACCUAUACAAUUAGACGUUGCUCCUAAACAAAAGGCAUAUCCCCUAUUUUGCUUGUAUUCUUUUUCGAGUUUUUCUCAAUGCAGGAAUUGAAUCAUACUACAAUCUUAAGCAUCCUUUUAAUAUUUAGCAGGGUAUGAAGAUAAGUUUUGAAGAAGGAACUACAUCAACUUAUGACAAAACAAUAACAUCAUCAACUCAUUCAGUAAGACUAUCGCCAACUUAUAGCAUUCAACAAGGCUCAUCACAAUACAUAUUUAUUUGAAUUUUCUUUUUUUUAAGCUUUUUAUUCACCAAAAUUGAAAGUGCAAAGACAUCAGUAUGGCUUGAUGAAACUAAAAAUAUUAUUGAUAAGAAAUAAAGAAAACAAAAUGAUGGGACGCAGCACCAAAUCAAUAAAAAAAACAAAAUCUAAAGUUCGGGAGACCAAAUCUAUUACGAAAAUGAUUAUCCGUAGCAAUGUGUUAAAUAAAAUAGCAGCACAAUUGUUUCCUUCUUUAUAUGGGUGAUAAUGAUAUAAUUUGUUUAUAAAUUUCAAUUUCUAGGGAGUUGGUGAUGGCAAUAUAUGCAAACCCUCUGUCUCAAUUGUCAAUACUUAAAUCCUCCAGCCACCAAAUAUGUUGAUAUUGGAGACUCUUCGGAAAUUAUUGGUGAGUUUUAUUUUUAUUCUUUAAAUUUUAAGGUUUCUCCUCCCACCUUGUUUUUAGUUUCUUAAAUUAAAUUAUAAUACUUCCAUGAGAGUAAUGAGCUGAAUAUAAGUGAUUAAAUGAUUUCAUGUAGCAAUGGAAGACAUUAACAAACUGAUCGAGGAGGACCCGCUUCUUGCAUUUGAGAAGCUUCUUACUGGAGUGCAAAGUUUUUCCAUUAGAACUUUACUUCAAGAAUUGAAGACUUUGAUGGACUCAUCAUCAGACCUUGACCAUCUUGUAUCUAACCAAGAGUCCAAAUUGAAAUUGAUUUCUCUUUUUCAUGGAUUGAAUCAUCAUCAAGGACUCUUACCUUCGAAUGUGAAGGAGUUUGUUGAGAAAGUCCAGAACUUCUUCAAUGAUGACUACAUUAUCAAAUACACCACUUCUCAACAAGUACUAAAGAAGCGCAACCAACUUCUUGAUUUGAAAACCAAUCUCAUGAAAAAGCUUUUGAGUGCAAAGAGUACACAAGCCCACAUUGACGAUGAAUCUUCAACUGCCAAUGCUCAGAUACAUGAGCUCUCUUUACAAAUAGACAAUUUGAAGUCAGUACUGAACAAAUGUGAUGUUCAGAAGGAAAAGUUGAAGGCUGAAUGCACUGAAUGGGCACAGCAAAGUAAAGAAUUACUUUCUGCACUUGUGUCAACGGAGGUCGACGUAAUAGAAGCUGAACGUGUGAUGAAGUUGGCAACAGAAGGCUUUGUAAAUUUAAAAUCUUCCUUUCCUACAUUUUAGGAAGAAACAAACACAAAAUUAGGCUAGGUCAUCAUGAUUAUCGUUUUUGUUAAUGUCACUUUGUUUAUGUAUGCUUAGUGCUGCGCUCUUUUUCCCUUCACCUAGUUUUAUCCUUUUAGGUUUUACAGGUAAGGUUUUUAAUGAGGCAGUUGUAUCCUAUUGUUAUUCCGUUGUGUAUUGAUAGGCCUAGUCCCCAAAAUUGUAUCUUAUUUUGAAUCUUGAUUUUAAAAAUAUUAUUGGAACGCUCCAGAUGAUACAUGGUUGAAUUGAGUGCCAAAAUAGUUGUAUGUCUUUGCUAACGUAUAGAGGUGAACAACCAUUUAGUAAUGAAAAUAACUUGCCAUCACCUAAAAUCUCUAUCACAAAAACCAAGCCUCAAAGCUCUUUUAUGUGACACUUAGUAACUAGUUAAUUAGUACAUCAAAAAACUUUUCAUAGAAUAGAUAGAAAUCUCGUUCAAAAAUAUGUUUUGAAUACUUUCUCCAAAUUAAACAUCCUGGUUUCAGAAAAAAAUAAAUCAACAUAAUUGUUGGGUUCCUCAAUUUAUUCAAGAAUGAAAACCAACACAACUUUAAAAAAUGGAAUCAUGGCUACCAUUUGGUUAUGGAAAAAUGAGAGAAAUAUGUAAACGUGGCUAUCAUACACCCUUAAAAAAGAAUCUACCAUACAUUCGAAAAUGUUCAAAGAUACUGUUAAUAUAAUUUUACACAUGGUUUUCUUUUACGCACAAAGGAUUUUUGUUAGAAAUCUAUAUACUUGAUUGAAUCAAUUUUAAAUAUAACCAAUGUGUAGGCAAACAUUGAACAGAUUAUUAUUAUCUCAGUAGUGGAUGCUUCGUUCAAGUUUUCAGAUGAAAUCUAGUUUGUAAACCUUUGUUAAAAGAAAGUUUAGAAGAUAUCAUUCUGAUUCAACGAGAUGUAAAUCUUUGUUAUAUAUAAAGAAAGUUAAGAAGACUUAUCCUUCUUAUUCAAUCACAGUCCAAUGGGAAUAUAUUAUUACACAAUCAAAUAAUGAUAAGAUUAAAAUUGUUGAAAAAAAUAAAAUAAAAGCUGAACAUAGUGUAUUUUAAUAUAACUUAUGUGGAUUUGAAUUAAUUCAGUAGGAUUCUACAGCUAUAGAUAAUACUAGCAUAUAAACUCUUUCUCUUUUUUUAUCGUUUAGUUUUGUAUUAUUAUAUCUUCACAAAAGUUGUUGUGCAAAUUCUAGUGCUUAAUGUUUAGAUGAUUUUGGCCAACUUCUAACCGAUGUGGGACUCUUAACACACCCCCUCGUGUGAACAUAAAUGACAGGUGGCCCGAUAACGGAAACCUGAUAACAGGUGGCCCAAAGAAUCGUGAAGAGGCUCUGGUACCAUCUUAGAAAUCGUGAUUGGGUCUGACACAAUCCCACAAAACCGGCUUGUGAGGUGAUGAUUAAUUGCCCCCACUUAUAAACAAAUUGUUAGGCCAACUCCUAACCGAUGUGAGACUCUUAACAUUAAGAAUACAAUAUGAAUUAUUCUAAUAAAAAGGGAAACGAUGAUGGUAGAGUUGAGCAUCGUUACAUGGAAACUGACCUAACUGGUGGGCGCUAUGCCAAGGUAAGUACUUAAUAUUAGGGGAAAUAUUAUGUUAUUGUUAUAAUUUAUUUUUUUAAGAAACUACAUAGCUCGCCGAAAUUGGCAUCGAAAAGAAUCAAACACGUGACCUUGAGAGGAGCACUAAGGUCCCAAGCCAACCAGGCAACCCAAGUGGGUAUAAUUAUUAUUAUCAUUUAUUUGAUUUGUUAAUAAGGUGAUUGUUAUUUAGUUUGAGGUUGCUUGUUGAAGGUACGUAGUUAGUUGAGUAUUUCUAUUUUCAUUUGUUGUGUUGGGAAUUGUGUCAGAAUGAUGACACUUUUAAAUAGUUCUUCAGUAUUGAUUAAUGUUUGUGUGUUGUUCAAAUAUACCCUAAAUCAAAUGAGAGAGGUGAUUUCCAGUGACCUUUGGCGCUCUCUGGCGACUGUCUUUGGAGCUCGUUUUUGCGUGUUUUCAUGGGGUUUCUUAACCUUUCUUCAUUCUGAGUUAUUUCCCGUUGUUUAUUCACUCUGUUUCUUCCGUUUUGCUCAGAUUUAUAUUUGUUAACUCUCUUGGUGUAAUCCCUAAAGGCCAAUAGUUUAUGUUAAACUUAUCUUAUGUAUCAUGACUUUUAUUAUUAAAUAAUAUAUGACACUCUUUAUUAUAUUUAGAUAAUAUUAAUAAAGUUCUUAGAAUAGAUAGUUCGUGUAAUAAUAUAUUAAGUGUGACUUAAUCAUGAGAUUACAUUAUCAUAAAGAACACUAUUCUUAAAUAGAUCCGUAGUCAAAGCUUUAAUAUGAAUAAAUGAUAAUAAUAAUAAAGCGUCGAAAGGAUACUACAUAGUAAGUUAUGAAAUUGUCAUAAGAUAUUCUCACAAUGAUAAUAGUGUAUAUCGCUCUUAGACCUGAAACCACUAUGAUCCCUAGAUGUGGACUCAAGGGCUUUGUUGCCAUUCUAACGUUGUCUGUAAAAGGAUAACCAUAACGUUGGUUGAUGGAUACUUGAUGAAUCAUGCUGAGGGACAUGAGUGUCCUAGAUGGGAUUUGUCCCUCCUCAUAAACAGGAGAUAUAUUUUUAGGCUGCUUGAUGAAAUAUGAUUGUAAAACUGCAUGGCCAUGCUGAACUAAGUAAAUAUAAGAUAUUGGACUUAUUCAUUAUUCAGUAUAUUUCGGAAUCAAGAAAUAUAAACAUUGAUCUAUACAAGGGUGACAAUAUCUAUGCCUUGGGAUCAAUAAAGAUAUCGAGACAAAGGAGUAGCUGUACACAUGAGUAUUAUCAUGGAAAGGUUUCGUCAGAUCACUUGACAUUCUUGUCACUUGGGUAGCAAUGAUGUGUUGCUAGAUACCGCUUACUAUUUAUAGCAUUAAAUAUUAGAUUUAAUAUUAUUGCCAACGUGACUAGAACCUAUAGGGUCACACACAAAGAACAGUCAAAAGAUAAAUAUAUAUAUAAGUAUGACUUAUAUAAGGAGUGCGUAAUUUAGUAAAUAACGCUAAUCAGUUAGCAGAAUUACUAAACUCGUUAUUGGACUUAAUGAAGUUCAAUAGUGGCUUCUGACUUGCAGAACAAACAACGAGUUCUAUAAAUAGAACCAUAGUGCUGAAGUUUGAGGUUGCACGUUUUUUAGAAACCCUAGCUCUCUGAAACUUCUGAUUCCUUGGCUAGCACCGAUUUUUGGAGGAGCACUGUUUGUGUGGACUUGCUAGAGGCUUUGCUGCUUGUUGCUUGCUGCUUGCUUUGUUGUGAUCGUGAUUCCAGUUUCCAAAUUCAAGCUUUCAGCUUUCAGAUUUCACACUUCGAGGUAACAAUCAAAGAACUAAUUCAUGUGUAAUUCGUAAUGAUCCAAGGAAAGAAAAUCGAAAAAUUUUAUCCGCUGCUUAUUCUGUUUUGAAUUCGAUUUUCCUUCAAACUCUACUAAGGUGGUUCGAUCUUAGGGUUUGGAUUCUCCUCUGGUGGCUUGGGUUCUCCUCGUCAUAGAAGUCCCUGACCCAGCUCUAAUUAUUUUUCUGGGUUCUUCAUUUCAUCUCGACGACAUCGUCUUCUGAUUCUGUUGCAGUGUCUCAUGGUGAAGUUCUCUGUUUGAAGAUUGGCUUAUUCUCCUCCAAGUGCUAUUCCAAAGUGUUCUGCAGAUUUACUGGUAAUUUUUAUUUUGAUUCAUCUUCCUCUGUCAGCUCAACCUCUUUAUGUCGUUAUUCCAAUGAGGGUUGCUUUCUACUUGUGGUGUCGGAUUGAUCUUACAACAUUCAAUGGUGGCUCUUUGUUAUUUGGUUCUGGAUCCUUGGAACUGAGUUCUCUAUGGCAUCUUCAAUUUGUCCUUGGCCGUUUCUCUCCCCUCUGAAGACGGCGGCGCCGAAAGUUCUUGAGAAAACUUUUGCUCAAGCUUUGGCGGUCGGGGGGAUGUUCAAGCAAUACCUCUUCCUCCUCGGGUCAUCAUUGGAGAUAAUGUUCGAAUCCGGAUCACACAAUCAGAGUAUGAAGUAGAAUUAAAUGAGUGCAGUACCAGCCUCCAUGGUCGAGUUACUUUACAGAGAUCUAAUGCUCCUAUCACAACUCAGCUGCUAAGUCAAAAAUUGAAGACUAUUUGGAUGAAUAUGGGUAAUUGGGAAGUAACUCCACUAGGCAGAGCGUGUUUCGAGUUCAAAUUUAGUACCGUUGCAGAUAUGAGGAAGGUGCUUGCCCAAGGUUCCAUCAAUCUCAAGUCAGGCAUCUUACGUUUGCGUUGCUGGUCACAUGACUUUAACACUCAGUCGCAAAUGAAAACACACGCACAAGUCUGGAUCCAUUUGAUGCACUUACCUCAGGAGUACUGGCGGGAGAAAACUCUUUUGGAGAUAGCCUUUGGGGUUGGAACUCCUCUGCUUGUGGAUAACGCUACAAAAUCCAGGUUAUUUGGAAUUUAUGCGAGGAUAAUGGUGGAUGUUGACAUGUCUGAAAAACUCAUUAAUUCAGUUCUUGUAGAGAGGGGGGAUUUGCUUUCCCGGUCGAAGUUCAAUAUGAAAGACAACCUAUCUUUUGCUCUCAUUGCAACAAUCUAGGUCAUGGCAUUCCUUAUGUCUCUAAGACGCCAUACACAAUCUCACACUCUGCUGAAUUAAUAAGGACUGCUGGAGUUUUUGCACACGUAUCUAAGGCUGAUGACAUCUCUAAUCACAACAACAACUUAAAUGGCAUGCUCCAUGUUCCGUCUCAAGUGGCCUUUGCUCUAAAAAAAUCAAAAACUGCUCCUACACAUAAUAAGCCUGCUCUGAAAUCGACUAUGACACAGAGAUACAAUCUAUCUCACCAACCUAUUCAUGGGCAUGUUUCUAACUCUGGCGCGGCUGAAACUUUGGUUAAGUCUUCGGAUUGGGUCUUUCUAGACACUCCUAACCAAGAGGGACUCAAUAAGGAAUGAGGUAAUGUAGAUGUACCUAAGACUGCAGCAAUCCAGAAGAGGGGAGACUCUUCAACAUUACCUCUUCACAAUUCUUUUGAUAUCCUACUCGAAGAAAGUGAACUUCCUUUAGGGGAAGCAAUGCUAGCUGACAAGGAUACUAAUCACAAUUCUACUGUUGUUUUGGCUGAAAGUACUGAUAUUGUUGAUCAGGUAUCCAAGGAGAUAGUUCUUUUGAAUCAAACUGUUAACUCUAAGGUUUCUGAUGAUAUGAACAAUGAACCCUCUGAGUCUGCAGCUUUGAUUUCCAAAAAAACUAUUUUGGUGACUGACGUUUGGCCUCAUUCUUUUACCACAUCCGUCCCACUUUCUCCUGAGCAGUGCAGCAUGACUAGGAGGAGGUUAUUCCCCAGUGCUGCUACUGUGCCAGUUACCAUUGUUAGGGAUCCUUCUUUUUACUUGUCAUUUAUGUUACCUGUUCUCUCUGAACCAACUUCUGAUGCAAUGACUAUUAUUACACCUAUUAUUUUUACUUAUGAGAUUUUGGGUCCCGAUAAAGGCAAGAUAUCCGCUCCGGCCACUUCUAAAAAUACUUCCAAGGCUUGUAUGAAAAGUGAGAAAAUCUUAAGCAAAUUUUGGGCAGAUGACUUAGAUACUAAUCAGGCUUCAGACAACACCCUAGAGCUAGACACUAAUGCUGAAGGACUUCAGGUUCUUCUCUUUGAAUCUUCUGUAGCUGCACAAUAUCUUCUGCAAAACUCUGGAACUACCAAGAAAGGAAAGAGAGGGCGACCUAGGAUGACGAAGAACCGUAAGGACAAUUCUGGUAACAAAGCACAAGGCUUCUUACAAUCUGCAGAGUCCUAAAGGAUCGAAAAAUGAGUGCAUUCACACCAGUGCUAAGAGUGGCAUAUCUAAAGCUUAUAAAUCAUGAUGUGUAUGCUUUGGUUUAGGCUUUAGGUUUGUUCUCUCUUACCUUGAUUUUUUGUGUUUGUGUCAUUUUAAUGUAACUUUUAAUGUAACCUGUUAUUACCCUUAGUAGCAGGGUGUGUUUUUCCUGUUUGUCAUUCUUUAGAAGUGGGUUAUGGCUACUUAGGAAGUGACUUUGCUUUAUUAUCCUUUUUGUCUAAUUGGGCUUUGGCUUAGUCCCCCAAUAUUGUACUUUUCCCUUUUAUUGCAUUUUUCUAGCUUUAUCAAAAAAAGAAACUGUAGAAUUGACCCCUUAAAAUUUUUGAAAUUUACAAAUUGACCUCUAAUUUCAAUUUUUAAAUUUGGCCCAAAAAAUUAAAAUUUAUAAAAGUUUCCCAAAAAUGAUGACAUUGAAAUUUUUUAUUAUCCACCCACACAAAAGUAUUGAGAAAUGAAAGAAAUUUAAUUGAAUCAUAUAAAUUGCCUAGAAUUUAAAUUCUUUAAAAUUUUCCAAUUAGCUCAUCCAAACAUUCUCUUAGAGUAUGUUUGGAUGGGGGAAUGUUUUGAGGAAAUGUGAUGUUUUGAGGGAAUUCAAUUACUUUGAGGUGAAUUCAAACAAUAGAAUUCACCUCAAAACAGUUGAAUUCCCUCAAAACAUUCCCCCAUUUAAACACACUCUUAGAGAAUACGAUAGAGGAAUUCCCAGACCAUAUUGUUCGCCAAUAGUAUUUGGAUUCUUUUCUUCCCAAAUGCUUAAGUUUCUUUUCAAAAAAUAAAAGAUAGAUACUUAACUUGGCUAUCAUCACCGAACUAAUGUACUUUACGUUUGGUAAUAGUGUUCUAAAGAGGUUGCUUAUAGUACUCCUAUUUUACUUUAUUCCAUCCCUUUUUCUUUUAUUUGGAGUAUAAACUUGUCGGUACAAGACAUAUAUGAUCAGUUGUAAGAAAUCAAAAAAGAAAUAAAAAGUUCAGCUGCUUUUGUUUGCUGCAGAACUUGAUUGGAAGAUUGUUUAUACGAUUUGAGCAUGCGUAAAAGGUGCUGGAAUUAAGGUAAAUAACAAUUACCUCAUAACCUAGAAUCAAUAACACUAGCAUAUAGAAUGAUUCUUAUUUUAAAAGAGGAGAGCAAUUGGUAUAGUUUCUGCUGCUUUUAUUUGAAUAUUGACUUAUUGUUCUCUUGAUGCUAGCUACUGCAGAUUGAAGAAAGAGCAGGAAGAUUGUUCAUACUAGAUAAUUGAACAUGCGCUGAAAAAUUGCCGGAAUUAAGGUAACAAACAAUCAUAUGCUUGUCUUUUUCUUUUAUAAAAAGUUGUGGUUGCUCAUAGAACCUAAAAUCAACAUCAUCUUAGUCAAAUUUUAAUUAGUACAUGCUUUAUUUUAUGAUUCAAGCUUUUUCUAUUAUGUUUAUUGUCAUAAGUAGUUACCUCAAAUAUGGAAUUAUUAUUUCUUGUUGAAGCUUAUGUUCAUCGAUCCUUUUUCUACCAUUGGUUGUUCACUGGAUGGUUUUAUUGUUUAAAUUACAAGGGAUUAGAUUGCUUAAGAGUAUUACUAGGGUUUUUAAUGGUAGGAAUCUUGAGAGUCUAUGGAAAAGAGAAAAUGUUCAAACUAAAAAUAAAUUUUGUAUUGAUAUGCGAAAGUUCAUUACAUCAAAUGAUAGAAUGAGAAAGACUUGUCCCCGUGAGUUUAAUUCAGUUGGUAUGGACAAUGCAUAAUAUAUGCAAGGGGUUGGGGUGUUCGAACCUCGGAUACUUCACUUCUACAUAUUUAAAAUGUGUAAGCUUCCGUCAUUAGAAUUGACUCCAUUUAUAAACGUAUGUUCAUGUCAUCAUAAACCAAAAACAAUCCAAUCAACCGAAGUAUUAAAAAUUGUCUUCAAUGAGAACCUUUCCCCAACGAAUUGUGAAAACUAUCUUAACUCAUCAUCAUAUUAUCCAAUAACAUAGUUCCUCUCAAAUCCUUAUUGCUGCAAAUCUUAUGAACCUUAUUUUCAUUUAAAAAGAAUCAGAAUCAUUCAUCAAUAUGAGUAUUUUAUCGAUGAGCACAUGAAGCUGGUUAAAGCAAACAACUUCUCUUGCAAGGUAAUUUCAUGUUGUGGACCUUUGAACAAAAGAAAAAUGUGCACAUCACAAAAUAAUGGAGUCAUAAAUCGACAUGAAACUCCAAGUUUUUUUAAAUUGAUAAAAUUGAGACUGAACUAGGGGAAAAAUUUGAGUCGAAAUUUAACAAGAAAUGAGACGAAUCAAACCGAGAAAAGUAUUGCAACGAAAAUGAAAUCAGAAACUGAUAAUCAACAAAAACACGGAAAAUCAACAUGAAAUCAGCUCCAAAACAUCAAACUCGUUCAUUCAUCCAACUAACUCCUACCUAGUGUAAAUCCUUAUAUUUUUUCCAUAUCUUAUAUCAGCUUCAACAUUUACAUGAUUUUCAGAAUCAACAUCCGUCUCAACAUUGUCACCUCCAGUUUCAACCUCAAUUUCUGGCCCGAAAGUAAGGUCAAGAAGUAGAAGAGAUUCAUCUUCCUUAUAUUUACCCCCUGAAGAUGAUCAAUUUUGACCAAAAUAACUUUCUUGUUCAUGGAAAGUGACAUCUCGAGAAACAAAGUACUUACGAGAUGGAGGAUGAUAACAUCUGUAACCCUUUUGAGUGGAGGAAUACCUUAUAAAGACACACUUUAAGGCUCUAUGAUCAAAUUUACUUCUACCAUCACUAUGGAUAUGGACAAACGACGUGCACCCAAAUAUUCUAGGAGUGAGAUUAUUUGAGGUGGGAACAUAAGGAUAGAACGAUGGUAAAACUUCUAUAGGAGUUUUGGAGUCAAGGACAAGUUUUGGAGUCAAGGACACUAGAAGGUAAACGAUUUAUGAGAUAAGAUGCAAUUAAAACCGCCUCCCCCCAAAAUCUCUUAGGAACCUUAUUUUGAAAUAACAUAGCUUGAGUUUGAUCUAACAAAUGGCCAUUUUUUCUCUCAGCAACCCCAUUUUGUUAGGGGUUUUGACACAAGAAGACUCGUGAAUAAUACCUUCUUUUUGACAAAAAGAAUUAAACUCAUGAUUCAAGUAAUCUUUGGUAUUGUCAGACUUGACUCUUUUAAUACUUUAAACUGAGUUUUAACCAUAUUGAAGAAAUGUAGAAACACAGAGGUAUCUUCAGACUGUUGUUUUAGUAAAUAGACCCAAGUAACUCGACUACAAUCAUCAAUGAAUGUUACAAACCAUCGAGCACCUGAUAUAUUUGCAACAUUUGAGGGACCUCACACAUCAUAAUGAAUUAAAUAAAAUGGAGACAUACUAAUUUUAUUACUGACAGAAAAAGAGACAUACUUGUGCUUAGUAAGUUCACACACCUCACAACAAAGACUCUCAACAUCUAAAUUUUUUAAAAGUGAAGGAAAUAAUUGUUUCAUGACUCUGAAUGUAGGUUGACCAAGACGACAAUUGUAAAAAAAGACUUUCUCCUUGUUGGACUUAAUUGAUUCAGAAAGAAAGGAAUUGUUGUUUCAAAUGUUAAAGGAGCAUGAUGAGAUUCUGGUUAUCAAAAUAAUAAAGAUCAUUCCAUUCUAUAGCAUUUCAAAUCGUCCUCCCAUAAUCCUUUUCUUGAAAAACACAAGCAUUGUCACAAAAAACAACAUUACAUGAUAGGUCUUUUGUGAGUUUUUGUAUGGAAAUUAGGCUAGUGGGCAAUUUGGGAAUAUGAAGGAUAUUUUGUAGGAUUAUAGUUGGGCUUAUCUGGACAUUUCCUAGACCCAUUAUAGUUAUAAGGGAACCUUCUGUUGGGGAUAUUUUCUUGUUGCUAGGAUAAGGUGAAUAAGUGUAAAAGUGUGUGGGUAAGGGUGUCAUGUGCUCGGUGGCUCCAGAAUCUAAUAUCCAAUAUUGGUUAGAUGGUUUAUCCGAAGCAUUAAAUUCAAGAGAAAAAUGAGACUUACCAAAUGGAAGUAGAGAAAGAGAUGUACAUGUGUAUGUUAGAGAUUUACAUGUUGGUUUAUCCAAUUGCUUGAGAAAAGAUCUCACCUUUUUUAUUUCAUCUUGAGUGAAGAGUUGAAUGAUUUCUCCUUUUGACAUAUUGACUGAUGUCUUACAAAAGAACAAAUAGCCAAGGAAUAACGAUAAAGAGCAUUGAAUGUGCUUGGAUUGAAAAGAAAACACAAGCAAUUUAAAAUAUAUAUAAAAAAAAUUAAAUGAUGAACAAUACACACGAUAAACAGUGCGCCCGAAAACUCACAAUAAAAAGCAAAAGUAACCGCAGAAAAUGGCGGCUAAGGUUUAUGCGGAAGCAAUGCCCCCAAGAUCGGGAGCUCAUGCCAUGUGAAAACAAAAUAUUAUAUUUCAGAGAUAAAAUAAUUUACAACCACUAAUGUGUUUAUAUAAGCUAUUCUAACCUAAUGGGCCUGACUAAUGACUAAUGGGAUAAUUACAAAUUACUAAUCUAUACUAUAUAUAAAGAAAACUAUCCCUUUCAGCACACUUUUGGGUUGAACUUUUCCUUCCAAAAAUACCUUUAAUUUUUAAAUUAAAUUUUAAUUUUAAAUACAAAUAACACAUGUAAGAAAUAGAUAAGAAUAAAUUUAAUUUAAGGAAAAAACUUACGCACAAUUCCUUGUGAAUUGUUCUUAGUGUUAGCCAAUUAUAAAAUAACAUGUUGAUUACUAAUCCAUGUCACUAAUCGUCCUCGUUAACCCUCUUUUCCCUCCGUUAAUCACAGAUCAAACUCACAAAAAACUAGCACAAAAGAAAAACUCAUGUUACUUUUUCAUCAACCAAUUUUAUAUCGUACAUCUGUGUUGUUCCCCUCAACGGACAAAGAUUACCAAGUAUUUUCACACCCUUCCACAAAAAACAAUAUUUCUAUAUUAUUUUAUUAUUUCCACAAAAAACAGUAUUUCCAAUUAUUUUAUUAUUUUAUUAAUAUAAGUUACUAUUCCUUAACCUUUGAUCAAUUGUAACAAACGUGAAGAAAAAAUAAUGGUAAAGAUUAGACUUAAAAUCUUCUAAAAAAAUAUUAGUAACAAACGUGAGCAAAAAAUAAUGUUAAAUAUUGGACUUUAAAUCCUCUAAAAAAAGAUUGGUAACAAACGUGGGCAAAAAAUAAUGUUAAAGAUUGGACUUUAAAUCCUCUAAAAAUGGAUUAGUAACAAACAUGAGCAAAAAAUAUUGUUAUAGGUUGGACUUUAAAUCCUCUAAAAAAAUAUUAGUAACAAACGUGACCAAAAAAUAAUAUUAAAAAUUGGACUUUAAAUCCUCUAAAAAAAAUAUUAGUAACAAACGUGAGCAAAAAAUAAUAAUGUUAAAGAUUGGACUUUAAAUACUCUAUAAAAAAGAUUAGUAACAAACGUGAGCAAAAAAUAAUGUUAAAGAUUGGACUUUAAAUCCUCUAAAAAAAGAUUAGGACUCAAAAUAUUUUAGAAAAAGAUUUGUUAGCACUAUAUUAAAUAUUAAUAAGUAGGGUUCUCAUGGUUAAUAGUUCGUUCCCGCAUUGUUUUGUUUUUCUCAACCUCUCUCAACCCUCCGCAUCAUAAUUCAAAAUUAACAUGUUUAGUUUUUUUCUUUUUUUUCAUGUUACAACUAAUCAAAGUCGAUUAAUUUUAUGGAUUAUAUAUUUGACUUUGCUGGUUUAUAAGCAAUUAUGAUUCAAAUUGUUUACUAUCAAUUUUAAUAAUUAUUUGACUUUUCUGGUUUAUAAUUGCUUAUACAAACUAUGAUAGCGUGUCUUUUUUUUUAUAUAAAGAGAACAGUGUUUUUUUUAAGGCUUAAUUGCAUUUUUGGACCCCUAUCUUUUCAAAAGUUGCGGUUAUGGACCCCUAACUAAUUUAAAUACAAAACAGCCCCCUAUGUUUUGAUUCUUUGGUAGUUUUGGACCCCCAAGGCAAAAAAAAAAAAAAAAAAAAAAAAUUGACACGUGGCACCUCACUUAGGGUGCCACGUCAGCGUUGACCGAGUCAACAAUGGACUGGGGGUCCAAAACUGCUAAAGAAUCAAAACAUAGGGGGCUGUUUUGUAUUUAAAUUAGUUAGGGGUCCAUAACCGCAACUUUUGAAAAGAUAGGGGUCCAAAAGUGGAAUUAAGCCUUUUUUUAAUUAUUAAAUAAAGGGAAAAUAAGCAAUAAUAUCCCCUGUCGUUAAGCUCCUUCCACUUCUGUUUAAAGGAAUAAAAACAUUGCUUUUUUCUUUGUGAUUCCAAACGUUCUGCAUGUAUACAAUUGGUAAACUGCUCCCAUCCCCCAUCCAAUAUCCAACAAAAUACAUUAAAGUCAAAGUGUUAAAAGCAUUUAAACAAUUCAAAAUUGUUAAACGAUAAUCACACUCAUGUUACAAUAACUAAAAACAGAAACACUAGAAAGCUUCAAACCACCAUCUUUUGGUUUUGGUUACAUUCAAACCACCAUCUGAGAGGCCAUAAAACGAGAGGACCGCUAAGAAGUAUGGAUACGAACACCGACACCAGAUACAACACGAAUACUAACAUGCUCAUAACGUUGAUAAUUUUAGAAAAUCACAUAAUUUAGGGUAAUUGUUUUUGUGAAUGCGGAUGCAACAUCUGUUCAGACACAUCUAAUAUGAGGAGUGUAUGUGAUUCGUAGGCGAGUAAUAUCAUAAUUCAUAUAUGGUCGAAAGAGCCAUAAUUACACCUACAAAUCUUGAUGUUCAAAAAUUGAAUGACAUAAUUAUCAAUUAUUUUUCAGGAGAAUAACAUAAUUUGUUGUCAUUUAACGAGGUUGAAGGGGAUACUCAUAACUUAUAUCAACAUGAAUUCCUAAACUCAUUUGCUCGGGGAAGUAUCCCACCACAUAUUUUAAAGGUAAAAAAAGAUGCACCUUUGAUGUUGUUGUGAAACAUAUAGACCCUAGAUAUGGCCUGUGUAAUGGAACACGAUUGUUAUGUCGUGGUUUAUUUAAGAAUAUGUUGCAUGUGGAAAUUCUAACAGGAAACAAUGCUGGAAAAAGAGCAUUCUUGCCCAAAAUUAAAUUAAAAACAAAUGUGAGUUCAUGACUUCCCUUUGUGCUUAGUAGAAAACAGUUUUCCGCUAGACAAAGUUUUGCUAUUACCAUAAUUAAGUCACAAGAGCAGACCAUUUUCAAUGUUGGAAUCUUUCUCCACGACAUGUUUUCAGCCAUGGUCAAUUAUAUAUAGCUUUGUCAAUAGAAGUUUCUCAAAAUUCAACAAAAGUUCUCAUUAAAAAAGGGAAAAUAGAAGGAGAAGAUGGAGACUAUCCGAAAAAUGUAAUUUUUAAAGAUAUUCUUUUAUCACAAUCAUAGCAAUGUUUCUUUUACAUAGCUGGCGUUGCUCCUGGAUUUCUUUCAAUUGAUGUGUGAUAUCUCUCCAAAAGUGCAGCAAGUUUGACAUAGCUGAUUUAUGUGAUAGCAGUUUUCAAUCCAACGUGGGUUUUGUAAUACAAUUAUGUGGCAAAGAAUUAUGGAGAUAUCAGACCAAGUUUGACACCAUGGUGUCAAUUGAUCACACUCUUCUCAUAAUAAUAAUAAUACAUUUCUUAACUCAAUAAAUACAAAAUGACAAUUAAUUCAAAAUGAUUCUUAAUGAAAUAAUAAAUUAAUAAUAAUUGACUAAAAACUUAAUAAAAAUACUCUAAAAAUAGUGAUUAACGAGCAAUCAUCAGUAGGCAAUGCUUAAUUAUCAUUAGGCAGAAGUUGAACUCAUGAAAGCCAUAAGGAAAAAAAUUAGCCAUUAAACACUUGACAGAAACACAUAUGUUUAACCACCUAACAGAGGCCAGGAGCUAAAACAAAGUUUAACGCUUAAUCGUUCAUGGCAGAUACUUAUAUUAAAAUCUAACCAUCAUAAACAAAAAAAAUAAUCCAAUAAACCAAAGUAUUCAAAACUAUCUUUAAUGGGAAUCUUUCACCAACAAAUAUUACUCCAAUAUUUUAGAAAGCUACUGCAUUGAUUAGAUAAAAGAGUUUGAUAUCCACUAUGAAACAUUUAUUACUUAAUAAGUUUGAUAUCCAAAGUCCAACAAUUUUGUAAUUGUCAUUGCCCCUGCAGCUUUUGUUUGUUCCAGAACAUGAAUUGAAGUAAAUAUUACUCCUAAUUCUCUAGAUUCUGGCUGUUGCCUUCUACCUAGAAAGUAUGUGCUCACAACAGUAUAUUAUUUUUUCUUCUUUUAUUUUCUCAGAUUUUCUAUCGGUGUAUGAUUUCCAUUUUCGGUCUUCACUCCACUUUUCUACAUGAUAAAUGUUUCAUAAAUUGUUUAUCAUUUUCAAAGAUAAAUUAGGUAUUUAGAGAUCGGCUUAAAGGAUAUUAAACUUUAGUAUUGGAUGGACUCCCUCUUUGAACUUUCUCAAAUAUUUGUUUGAACAAGCGAAAAACAAUUCUUUGAUGGAAAAUGUGUCAUCAAGUAUCAUUUUUCAAAUUAACAGACUUUGAAUGAAGAAAAUCUUCCUACACAAAAAGAACAUGAAUGAUAUGCUAUGAGAAUGAGAUUCAUUAUCAACCAAUGUAUUUUUUAACACACACAAAAGAAUAAGUCUCCCGCCUAAUUCUACCCAAAGCCCCAAUCUCUUCCCGUAACCAAAAGACUCAAUCCUAAUAGCGUUUUCCAAGGUGAAUCAACCCUCAAACCCUAGUGUUUGUUCCCAAGAGACAAACUCUAUACAAACCCUAGUUUUGUUGUUGCUUUUCUAAACCCUUGUUUCAGCCCCCUCUAUCUCAAGGGUUACUCUGAUACAACGCUUAUAUUUAUAGUAAAAGAAUCCUCUAUAAAACUGGAACAAAUCCAGGCCCGAAAAUACGUUAGUGUUUUAUUUUCUGCUGUCAAAAUCGGCCACCAAAUGCUCCAAAUCGGCCGCCGAUUUUUGCCGAACCAACGAACAAAAAACCAGAGUGCAAAAUCGGCCACCAAUCCCUGAAAAUCGGCCAUCGAUUUUCUACUUCCAGAAUUCCAAUUUCUUCAAUUUUGAGGCACUUUCACAACAAUCUCCACCUUGACUCUAAAUUAGUGAUGAUGUCAAACCAUCAACCACCAUGCUGCUCUUUGCCUUGCUUCCCACUACACCAAGUAGCUCCACAAGUUUACACCUUAACCCCUUCAGCCAUCGGAAUGUCUUCCGCCUUCUCGAAGGUCCUUGCAGUCCAUCUACACUAUGAAUUUUAGGUAGUUCCACAAGCAUUCACCUUAACCUCUUCAGCCAUUGGAACGUUUUCCGUCUUCUCGAAGAGUCCUUACAGUCCAACGACACUAGGUGUUUUAGGUAGUUCCACAAGCAUUCACCAUAACCUCUUCAACAUAGGACAUCUUCCACUUCCUUGAAAGUCUCCUUGCAUCCAAUCACCCUUGGCCUUUUUUUAGGGUAAUCCCGCAAGUCGUGCUAUACAUUCUUCAACCUCCGAAAUGCCUUCCGUCUUCAUGAAGAAAUCCCUUGCUCACCAUAGAGCAUAACACCCAAGGUCCUUCAUAGUCGUACCAUUACCGGUGUGUUCAACUCCACCUCAAGCUGAGCGUACUCUACCUUAACUAGAAAAUGCGUACAUCCCACCAUGUCUUCAACCUUGAAACUCCACCUCAACAGGUAGAUCAUGAAUAUUAUUGCAUCCGCCUCUCCAGACUGAUCAUGAGUAUUCUUACCACCGCCUCUCCAGGAUGAUGUUGAGUGUUUAACUUCCCUCUAGAUGACCACCGCUCCACUAGGCAUCAUUUUCAAGGUGAGACAUAUCACCUUCUUCAUCCUCCAAACAACACCACACCAUCAGAGAACCCGCAUCCUCAAGAUGCACCUCAAUGUUCUCCAAAUCACCAAUGAUUUUGUUGAACUCCAUAAGUAGCUCCAUGAUGGCCUUUAACUUUACCAUCUUGAAUGAGUAGAGUUGUUACUUUAGGAAUUACCGAUGAGCCAAAGACUUUGUCAUAUACAAAUAUUCGAACUUUGACCACAUUGAUGUCGCGGUUGGUUCUUUUGCUACUUCUAUCGAAACUUUAUUCCCGAGGCACAAGAGAAUGGAACUCCUGGCCUUGUCCACUAUCUCGGUCUUCUCCGCUUGUGACAUGGUGACCGGUAACACACCUUCACCCUUCAAAGCUUUCUCACACUUCUGCUCUAUUAGCACCGCUUCCAUCUUUACCUUCCAUAACCCAAAAUCAUUAUCUCCAGUAAAUUUCUCCAUAUCCCACUUUGAACCCAUGGUACUUGAUUUUCCUUUGAUCCUUGCCCCGUGGUGGGCGCCAAUUGUUGUGAAUUCGAUGAAAAAUUACACCAAUAAUAAACUUGAUGUGUGGAGCAAGGGAUAAUCAAGCAACCAAAAUCAAAGUGGAUAGCAAUUAAACACAACCCAAAAGUAGAAAACAGCGAGAGAGAAAGGAAGAGAGAACACAAAAGAAUUUGUUGACCUAGUUUGGUCCAAAUUGACCUAGCUUUGGGGAGAGAGCAGCCAUCCGUUCCACUAUAUGAUAAGUAACUUUACAAAAGAGAUAUCAAUGGGUUACAAGAAUAAGUCUCCCGCCUAAUUCUACCCAAAGCCCCAAUCUCUUCCCGUAACCAAGAGACUCAAUCCUAAUAGCGUUUCCCAAGGUGAAUCAACCCUCAAACCCUAGUGUUUGUUCCCAAGAGACAAACUCUAUACAAACCCUAGUUUUGUUGUUGCCUUUCUAAACCCUUGUUUCAGCCCCCUCUAUCUCAAGGGUUACUCUAAUACAACGCUUAUAUUUAUAGUAAAAGAAUCCUCUAUAAAACUGGAACAAAUCCAGGCCCGAAAAUACGUUAGUGUUUUAUUUUCUGCUGUCAAAAUCGGCCACUGAAUGCUCCAAAUCAACUGCCGAUUUUUUCCGAACCAACAGACAAAAAACCCGAGUGCAAAAUCGGCCACCGAACCUUGAAAAUCAGCCCCCGAUUUUCUGCUUUCAGAAUUCCAAAUUUAUUCAAUUUUGAGGCACUUUCACAAGAAAAGUGAUUUAGAUAUGUUGUCUUUUAUAUGCUUUAUGUAUUGUUUGCUUAAUUUGGGGUUGAAUUUGGAUUCUAUGCAGUAACUUAAUUAUUGAUUUUGACCGUCUGAUUGCAAAACAAUUGUAAAGAUUAUUUAAUAAUCGAUGGUUUAUUGAAGGUGUAAUAUGAGUGGGAUAAUCGCAAAUCGAUAGGCAAGAUCAAUUAAUGUGUAUAACUGCGUGCUUUUUCUACUGGAGUGGAUCCAAUGGGUUAUGCUUGAUGUCUCAAUUUUCAAAUAAGAACUGAAGUUGACCUUUAGUAAUUUGUAUUUAUGCUUGUUAAUAUAGUGACCAAGUCAAAUUCAAUGAAGCGCUUCAUACACCAGAAGACUUGGAGUUGAAGAGGCUUUAUUUAAAAGUUCACCUCCUCAAUACCCUCAAACACCAUGAAACGCACCGUUUCACUUAAACACAUAUUAUAUUAUAAUAAAAAUAAAAUAAAAUAAAAUAAAAACUUAGUUAAGUAAUCAUGUUAAAAAAAAUAAAAAUAGAACACGGUGAAACUUUCUACAACAUACUCACUCUUAUUCAUUUUGUUUUCCAUUCCACUUCCCUCGGCACCCUCACUGUUCCUCCUUUCCUUCACUUCUUCCUUCUCCAAUUUUCUUUCAACUCAUGAUGAUAAGUAGUAGAUUUUCGAUUUGGAUUUGAAUUUGGAUUUACUUAUGAUGAUAAGUAGUAGAUUUUCGAUUGAGUUUUGAUGAACGUAUAUUGACAUAAGUUUUGUUAUGUUCCGAAAUAUGGUUUUAGACAUAUGUUUUAAGAAUGGUGUUUUGAAGAUUACGGUUAUAAUGACGACGACCUAGGUGCACCUAGUAUGUGAUUUCAAUUAGGUAGAAUUACCCCGUUAGAUGGAGCCGCCCCUAUGGAAAGGCCGCCAUUAGGAGGAGAGGGCUAUCAAUGAGAGGUAAACUCCCUAAUUGAAAAUGUUUUACACUUUGUUUUGAGUCGAGAGAAAAGAGCUAUCCGUUAGAUGGAGUCGCCCCAUGGAAAUGCCACCAUUAGGAGGAGAGGGCUAUCAACGAGAUGGAGCUAGUUCUCGAUUCACCCAUUUGAUUAUUUUCACCAAAGUUAGAUUUUUAUACUUUAUUUAAAGUUGAUUAUUUUGGUAUUAUGAAAUUGAAUAUGAUUUUAUAUUUUCUUUGAAGUGAUUAUUUUGAUUUCAUUUCAUUAAGCCUGAUUUUUAUAUUCUAUUUGGAUUUGAUUAUCUCGAUUCCUUUUCAUUAUAAUCAAUUUAUAUAUUUUCUUUAAAGUUGUGGAUUUGGUUUCACCUCUUGACGACAUUGAGAUUUUGAUAUAGUCUUAUUUGGUUUGAUAAAAUUACAAAGUUUUAUGAAUUUUCAUGGUACACUUGAUGGUGAAUUUAUUAUAUUUUUAUACAGUUACUAGCCUUGAAAGUAAAAAAUUAGAUUUGAGAUAAAUAAAUAAUCGUGCCCUUGUGUGUUUCCCUUCUAGUUGGUGGUGGUUGUUUUCUCCUCACUAAGUCUUUGUGACUUACCUCUUCUUCUUACAUUUUUUUUUCAGAUUCAAAGUCAAGUGCGUAGAAAGCUUGUACCAGAGUUAAAGAUAUAUCAAUGUCAUUCUUUUGGUAGGUCUCCUAUAUGUAUGAACUGAAUGAUCAAUGUAUCUGCAGCUAUUGGUAGUCUAGAAAUGUUUUGUUUUGAAUUGUACAAACAUCUAGUUAUGUCAAUUUGAGAUUCUGCUGAUAAUACAAGUAUAUGGACAGGAUUCAUACCUUGGAUAGUAUCCAAAAUACAAAGGAUACUCUGUCGAAAUUUCAUUGGAUAUCAUUUUAAGUGAAAGUCAAUUUGAAAUUUAUCUAAAUUAUAGUUUGUCAAGUGUCGUCAUUAGGCUUGCCGGACUAGGAUGUUCUAGUUCAUGCGCCGGUCACGAAUGUGAAUUUUUGGGUCGUGACACACCAAUCCAUCAUACAAUUCUAUACUUCUUGUUCACACAGAGGCUUAACUAUAUGAUCAUGAUCUCUAUUCACUGGUUAUUCUCCAUGGAACCGUAUAGUUAUCAUGAUCAUGAUCAAAAAUUAUGCUUUUCUAGUUAUAUUAUAAGAUGUUCUAUUACACCAUGAGUUGUUAUCACUGAAUCUAUUUUUUGCAAUCUUCACUCACUUAGGUUGAGCUACCAUCACUCGUAAUUUUUAGACAUUAGUAUCAUCCUGUUAUCAUGGUUUUUGGGUGCCAAGCCAUUAAUUGGACUUGAACCUUUUGACCGUUGAUAUCUCUCUUUUUUCUUGGGAAGGGUAAAAGGAGAAAAACCCUUGAGUUUCCGAAUUCGGGGGUCGUUUUCGCUACGGGAAGGUGUUAGGCACCCGGAGCGAUUAUGGUAUUCCAUAAGAACCGCUCUCCUAAGUUUAUUUCUACGCUUUAGUUUUAUUGCUUAUUUGUAAAAAAAGAAGGUGUGAUUAGUUAAGAAUGGGGGUGAGAAGAAGUAGAAUUUGAUUUUAUUUCGGCUUGGAUGAGUUUUGACUCAUUGCCUACGUACCCUUUUAAGGGAUCAAAACCGUUCGUAGUUCUUGCUCAAAAAAUGGUUUUUUUUGUUUUUAUUGGUUGAUUUUAAGUUUGAAAAGAGAUUUUGAAGAAUAGAGAUGAGAGGCCUCAAGGGCAUAAGGUUUGGAAAGUGUGAGGUGGAUUUAGUCAUUUUGCAAAAAUAAAGUCCAAGAAGGAUUAAGAUUCAUUAAAAGUUUUACUUAAGAAAAUAAAGGGAAAAUAAGGAGUUUUGACUCCAUUUUAUUUUCAAAAAAAGGUUUUCAAGUGAGAUUAUUUGCAUGUUUUUUUUUUGGAAAAAAGUUGGAUUUUUAUCUAAGUGUUUAAACCUAAGCGCUUAUCUAACCAUACAAUCCUAUGCAUACAUCUAAGGUGAGUGUGUGCGUGUCGGUGCGUCAUAGUGUCCAUAGUCCAUAUUACAAAAAUUGCCUAAAUACAUUCUAUGGCCCCUUUGCCAAGCUACAAACCAAUGAUAACAAAUUACAUUACCAAAUGAAUUAAAACUUGCAAAAAAUAAAUGCUAAGCUAAAGAAAGUGGAGAGGGUGGUGGAAUGCUAUGAAACGUAUGGCACAUGAGAUGAAAUGGUUAGUAAUCAUAAAGCACACAAUAGUAGGAAGUAAUUAAAAGGAAAUGCAUAAAGAUGGCAAAGAAAAAGUAAUAAAGUGGUAAUAAACCUAAAAAACAUUUGAUAUGAUACCUAAAGAUGCUAGUGACCCAUAAUCAUCACAUCAUGGCAAUUUAGAAAGAAAUUUUGUUUCAAGCCAUGACAUGCAAUUAAUGGAGGCAUAUGCAUGCAAAAUAUCACACCAAGUUCAUAGAGAAUUUUGCCACUUUAUUCCUUAAGACUAAACUUGUUGCUUGCAAAACAAGAAAUUCAUAAAAUCAUAUUCAAAAACAGCAAACAAAAACACAUUUCCAGAGGCAUAUUCAUCACCAUAUUAGGCAUCCUUUAUCCAUGUCAUAAUAUCAAAAUGUCAAGAACAAAACAUAGCAAAAUGCAUACCAAAAGUGUAAAAACACGUGGAAUUAGUUCAUGCCAUUUUAACAUUUUUUUUUAUGCAAGAAACACCAUAGGAAUACCAAAAAUGUAUCAAGAAAACACUAGGAUUUUUUAGGAUUUGUUUUUAUAAAAAGAUGAGCAAGCAACAGGUGUGAAUAGCAAAAGAGCAGUGUGAAUAGCACAAAAAAUAGCAGAAAACGCAGAAAACCAAAAGAAACAAGCCCAAGCCCAACCUAAAAGAUCCGGAUGCAUGGGAUCCACACGAUUGAUCCAGGAUUCAAAAACCCUAGAUCAAACGGCCAGGAAUCAAAGGAGAUGGACCGGACUGGACCGGUCCGGUUCGCUGGCCUAUAAAAGUGGAGGAACACCGGUUUUUUCAUUUCUCUACUUCCCUUUCUCUCUCUAAGUUCUUCCCUCUUCUCUCAUCUCUCACUUCUCUCUAGAAACCUCACCGCCGGUGAGGAUGAAGCUACGGCGGAGACCUUGAAGGUCCGCCGGAAACUUCAUCUUCUCCGGCGAGACUAUGAACUCCGGUGACCUAAAAUUUCCAGAACUUAAAGAUUUUUGUAUUUUCUGGUUCGUCCUUUAACCCUAAACACGAAUCCAGCAGUUGUUUUUUCAAAUACGGUUUGAAACGACGUAGAUCUAAAAAGUUCCGUACGGUUUUGAAACUGAUUUUUGAUUUUUUGAAAGGAAAUGUUUAGGUCGUUAAAGAUCUACAUCGUUUCGUUGUUCGCUGCUCUUCUUUGAUGUUUGUUCUUGCUUUCAAAACUUAGAUCCUUAUGGAUCUAGGUUUUGUGUUUACGGUUACGGUUUCGUCUUUGAGUUCUGGAAAUUUUGGAUCUGUUGCUUGCGUGAUAUUUUUUUAGGUUUAACAGUGAUAUUACUUUUGAGAAAAGAUUCUGAGUUUUACCUAAGGUUUUGGUUGAAACCUUUAAUGGAGGAAAUCUUUGGAAAAACUUGAAUGCUCUUGAUGAUUUUGAUUCUUCUGCUUGCUUUUGGACCGAAAAUAAAUCGGUGAUUCUCCUUUUCUCACUGAUUCCGUUUCUUCAUCUUCUUCGCCGGUUUAGAACUUUGCUUCUUUCCUUCUUCUUUUCACGCUCUGUGAUCAACGCUUGAGCUUGCUUCAAUGCGAGCUCGCGUUUGGAAUUGCAGAGAAUGAUCAAUUCGAUGAUGAAGAUUCAACAGAAUCUCUGAGAAUUGAUCCAAAAAACUGUUGAUUCUGAUGAAUUUUGAUUUCUGGAAAACGGUUAGGGUUUUGUGUUCUUGGUGUUCUUGAGAGAUUCUGAGAAACUUUUCUGUUUUGAUUCACUUGCUGAGAAAGAGGAAAUUGGAUUUGUGUUUAUGAGUUGGCGUGUGAUUCAUGGCUCUGAGUGGCACUGUACACCUUUUAUAGCAUGACAUGUGUGCAUUGGAACCAAUAAGAAAAGGACACCUGGACUUUGAAAAAAAAGGCACGGCCUUGGCAAAUUUGGCUUCUGGACCUUUCUGCAAAAACAAAGAAUUUGAGGACUAAACUGCAAAAUUAAUUAAAAGGCUUGAAAUGAAAUUAAAAAAACUGUUUGGACAAAAUGCAAUUUUGGGACCUCAAUUGAGGGACCAAAACGCAAUUAAAAAUAAAAUUGAGUAAAAAACGUAAUUUGACCAAACGUAAAGCGAAACAAAAAUAAAAUUGACAAAACGGACUAAAACGAACCAAUGACCUAAAUGAGGUACUUCAAAGUAACCUCUCUAUGCCAAAAUUUUGUGUGAAAUGACCAAAAUGCCCCUAGGGCUAAAAUUGACCUAAACAGAUUGAAAUGGACUUAACACUGACUCAGACGCAAGUUUGAAAUGAAUUUUAACAAGGUUUACUGAUGAAGUGUUUAAAAAUAAUCUGAAAAGACUCAGAGACAGUCACAAGGAUGAAAAUGGGUCCCACUGCAGGAAAUGACCAAAAUACCCUUCUGUAUGACUUUUUGCAAAUUUUGAAAUAAACUGUGGAAAAAGCAAUGUAAUGAUUCAGAGACACUUUUGAAUGACUUACAAGACAAGUAAAGACAUUUCAAAAGGUUUUAUGCAAGAAAAACAUAGGUAAAAUUGUGAUUGAAAAUACUGCGAGGCAGAGACAAUUUGAACUGUGCAGUUGAAAUUUGAUAAUUGACAAAGUUUGAAAUGAAAUUGGGCCCAGUAUUUUUAGGUCCAAAAACAGGGUAUAACAGCUGCCCCUAUUUAAGUUUCUUUGUCUGGAGAGUCAAGAGACGGAGUCUUUGGCUUGACAGGAAGAAGAUACUUAAAUAUUAGCAUUUGCACUGUGUUUGGACGUAAAAAUACGCCUACCCAUUUUCAAAUAAUAUGCAUGCCAUGCAUCAUUCGGAUUAUGAAUGCAAGACCUCAUGGGGAUUGGAAUUAACAAAAUAUGUCGUAUCCAUUGCGGGAUUGGUAGACAUUGACAAAGAUAGUGAAUAGCAGAGUAACGGGAAACUAGAAACAAGUUGGAUAGGUACAAGCUGUUCUUGGAUUCAAACUAGCCACUUGACCGGGGAUUAAACAAACAGACAACUGCGAGUUGUUCUUAUGGAUUCGAACUGGUCACUUCACAGGGGAUAGAAGUUACUGGACAAACAUGAGUUGUUCUUAUGGAUUCGAACUGGUAACUCACUUGGGGAUAUUGGAAAGUGCGAGUUGUUCUUAUGGAUUCGAACUGGUGACCCGACUGGGAAAAAGAGAAAAUUGGCAAGUACGAGUUGUUCUUAAGGAUUCGAACUGGUUACUUGACUGAAAGCAAGGCAAAUAGACAGGUGCGAGCUUGUUCUUGGAUGCGAACUGGUUACUCCACCGGACAGAAACAGAUAGACAGGUACAAGCUGCUCUUGGAUUGAGCUAGCCACUUGACCGAACGGAAACAUAUUGACAGGUACAAGCUGCUCUUGGAUUGAGCUGGGCACUCGACCGAUAACAUAAGCAAAUUGAUAGGUACAAGCUGUUCUUGGACUUGAACUAGCCACUUGACCAAACAGAAACAUAUUCACUGGGGGUUGGUUUGUUUUGACAAAAUAUAGAUUGAAAUUGACUUGACGUCGAUUUGGUUUGAAAGGUAGAAAUUGACCGAUAUUAUUGGCUCACAAGGUUUUGACAGAGAACCUGACAUGAGUAUUGAAUUGAGACUGAUGUUGACAUUGGAAAUGCAAUAUGCAUGGAUGAUAUAACAGUUUCAUUAAAUGCAUGGGCACGUAAUAUGCAUGGUUAUGCAUGUAUGAAUGCUUGUGAUGCAUGACUGUUAGCAGUUUGUAGGCACGACUUCACCGGGAAGACAAGACAUUAGAGUAUUGGGCACGUAGUGGCUCGUGCUAUAUUACACAUUCUUGGAAAUCCUCUUUGGAGAUGACGUCGUUGGGAGACGUAUCGGAACCAUGGCUGAGGGCAGGUAGCUAAACAACUUGCUGGAGAUAGAAUCUUGGAAAACCCUGACUGGGGAAAACGCCGUUGUGCUGGGCAUGUUGUAGAUAUCGCAUCUGUGGUCAAUGCUUUUUGCAUGUUAUAUUUUCAACUUCCAUUCAUUCAUUUUUUUGCAUCCCAUUUUUGCCUGGAUCGCCCUUUCGGGUUUUCAAUCCACCGGGGAAAUAAAUUCUUUUCAAUGCCCCAUUUUUGCCUGAACUGCCCUUUCGGGGUGUCAAUCCAGCGAGGUGCUCAUUUUUGCCUAAGCCGCCCUUUCGGGUUUUCAACUUAGCGAGCUCAUUCAUUUUCAUGCAUUUUCAUUCUGUUUUUUCAUUCUUGCCAUUGACCACAGAUUAUCUUGGAGGAGAACCUGCUUGUAACACAUAUUGAAAUAGACACCAACAUACUCUCGCUCAUGCAUGUUUCAUUUGAAUGUACCCUGUUGCUCAGGUUUGCUUUUCAAAAUAGACAAAAAGUUUUCAAUUUUCAAAAAAAACGUUUGUUUCAAGCAUUGUCAUUAUCAAAAUAGAAAGAAAAUGUUUUGUAUAUAGCUUUGAAAGUAGAAGAAAAAUGGAGUUUUCAAACAAAAGCAAAGGCUCAAAUUGAUGUAUAAGAGUGGUGGUCAGCCCAAGGCAUGACUCCACGGAUUCAUAAAGCUUGGAAAAUGGUAAUUUUAUUGGUUGGUGGUACAUUGAACACAGUAAUCAUUACAUUUCCCAAAAAACUUUGAAUUCACAAGUACAGAAGCUUCAGAUGAAGAUGGUCAUUAACAGCUGCAGAUGCCCCAAGGGGGACGGUGGUUAGCCAGAUAUAGUUACUUGCCUUUUGUUUCAAUCUCAUUUUUGCAUGAACCGCCCUUCUGGGUUUUCGGCUCAUCGAGACGCUCAUUCUUGCCUGAGUUGUGUUCAAUCUCAGCGAGCUUUUCAUAUUUGUUUCUUUUGUCCCUUAUUUUUGCCUGGACCGCCCUUUCGGGUUUUCGAUCCACCGGGAAGCGCAUUUUUGCCUAGGCCGCCCUUUCGGGUUUUCGACCUACCACGCUGUUCUUUUCACAUUUCUAGGCGAAGUAUUUCUUGACUAUAUCGGCAUUCACUGGAUUUGGAAGUUCUACACCAUCCAUGUGUGUAAGGAUUAAAGCACCACCGGAGAAGGCCUUCUUGACAACAUAAGGACCUUCAUAGUUAGGCGUCCACUUGCCCCUUGGGUCGGGUUGCUGACUUAUCCUCCUUUUCAAUACAAGUUCCCCUACCUUGAAUUCUCGAGGAUGGACUUUCUUGUCAAAAGCAGUCUUCAUUCUUGCUUGAUACGACUGUCCACGAGCCAUGGCAUCCAUACGUUUUUCCUCAAUCAAGUUCAACUGAUCAUACCGGCUUUGGCACCAUUCAGCCUCGGAUAACUUUGCUUCCAUGAUCACACGGAGAGAUGGGAUCUCCACUUCCAAAGGAAGAACUGCUUCCAUACCAUAUACAAGAGAGAAAGGGGUUGCCCCGGUUGAACUGCGCACUGUAGUACGGUAGCCAUGCAGAGCAUAGGGUAACAUCUCAUGCCAGUCCUUGUAAGUAGUUACCAUCUUCUGGACAAUUCUCUUGAUAUUCUUGUUGGCGGCCUCAACUGCACCAUUCAUCUGAGGUCUAUAGGGAGAAGAGUUAUGAUGCUCAAUCUUGAAUUCUUCACAAAGAGCUUGCACCACAUUGUUGUUCAGGUUGGUACCAUUGUCAGUAAUGAUCUUGCUGGGAACACCAUAUCGGCAUAUGAUGUUGUUCUUGAUAAACUUAGCUACCACUUGCUUGGUCACAUUGGUAUAAGAUACUGCUUCAACCCACUUGGUGAAGUAGUCAAUUGCCACUAAGAUGAAACGAUGACCAUUUGAAGCCUUCGGUUCAAUUCUUCCAAUCAUGUCGAUGCCCCACAUUGAGAACGGCCACGGGGACGAAAUAACAUUGAGGGCGUGCGGAGGCACAUGGAUCUUGUCAGCAUAGAUUUGACAUUUGUGGCAUUUUCUGGCAUGCUAGUAGCAAUCAUGUUCCAUGGCCAUCCAAUAGUAACCUGCUCGUAACAACUUCCUUGACAUAGUAUGCCCUGUAGCAUGGGUCCCGAAGGUACCGUCAUGUACAUCAUGCAUUAACUGCUCUGCUUCAUGUUCAUCAACACAUCUUAACAACACCAUGUCAUAGUUUCUCUUGUACAGAAUAUCUCCAUCUAACAGGAAUCUGCUGGCCAAUCUUCUCAGGGUCUUCUUGUCUUGUUUGGAAGCAACCGGCGGAUACUCACGGCUCAGCAAGAACUGUUUGAUGUCAUAAUACCAGGGUUUAUAGUCAACCACAUUUUCACCAGCCUGAUCGAUCACAUCCCCAAUAGCAAACACAUGCGAAGGUCUUUCAAGGCGUUGCACUUUGAUAACUGGCACAUCAUUCCAAUGGUUUACUCGAAACAUGGAGGAUAGAGUAGCAAGAGCAUCAGCCAUUUGGUUCUCAUCACGAGGAAUAUGGUGUAGCUCAACCUUUGUAAAAUAUGUCAGCAAACGUCUCGCAUAAUCACGAUAAGGAAUCAACUUAGCAUGGUGGGUCUCCCAUUCACCCUUUAUCUGAUUGAUGACGAGCGCAGAAUCUCCAUAGAUGUCGAGGUGUUUGAUUCUCAUGUCAAUUGCUUCCUCGAUCCCAAAGAUACAUGCUUCAUACUCAGCCAUGUUGUUGGUACAUUCGAACAGAAUUCUGGCGGUAAAAGGGAUGUGAUGCCCCUGCGGGGAUACAAUGACUGCCCCAAUUCCUUUACCAUAAGCAUUGACAGCACCAUCAAAGACUAAACCCCACUUGCUAUUGGGAUCUGGACCUUCAUUAAUCAACGGUUCGUCGCAGUCUUUGGAUUUCAAAUACAUGAUCUCUUCAUCGGGGAAGUCGAAUUCAAUUGGUUGAUAAUCAUCAAGAGGUUGGUAAGCAAGAUGAUCGGCAAGAAUGCUACCUUUGAUUGCCUUUUGAGUUUUGAACACAAUAUCAUAUUCAGACAAAAGCAUCUGCCAGCGUGCAAUCUUUCCAGUAACAGCAGCUUUCUCAAAGAUAUACUUGAUCGGAUCCAUUCUGGAUAUCAACCAAGUUGUAUGAUUCACCAAAUAAUGACGCAGGCGUUUGGCAGCCCAAGCUAAAGCACAACAAGUCUUCUCAAGCAUUGUAUACCGAGUUUCACAAUCGGUGAACUUCUUGCUCAGAUAGUAGAUAGCAUGCUCUUUCUUUCCAGUUUCAUCUUGUUGACCAAGUACACAUCCCAUGGAUUCAUCAAACACUGCCAAAUACAUAAUCAAAGGCCUUCCUUCCACGGGUGGGACAAGGAUAGGUGGUUCCAGCAGAUAAUUCUUGAUGCUAUCAAAAGCUCCUUGGCAUUCAUCAUUCCAUACAACAGGCUGAUUCUUUCUGAGUAGCUUGAAGAUCGGCCCGCAGGUUGCUGUCAUGUGAGAUAUGAAUCGGGAGAUGUAAUUCAAACGUCCGAGGAAGCCUCUGACUUGCUUCUCUGUCUGUGGAGCUGGCAUUUCUCGGAUGGCCCGUACUUUAUCAGGAUCGACUUCAAUGCCCUUUUGGCUGACAAUGAAGCCUAAUAACUUCCCGGAUCUGACGCCGAAUGUACAUUUGUUGGGAUUCAAUCGAAGCUUGUAUUUUCUCAACCUUUCAAACAUCUUUGUCAAAUAUUCAACAUGCUGCUCCUCAUCUGUUGACUUCACAAUCAUGUCGUCCACAUAUACUUCGACUUCUUUGUGAAUCAUGUCAUGAAACAGAGUAGUCAUUCCCCUUUGGUAGGUAGCACCAGCAUUGAUUAGGCCGAACGACAUCACUUUGUAGCAGAAAGUACCCCAUGGCGUGAUAAAAGACGUCUUUUCUCUAUCUUCAGGAGACAUCUUGAUCUGAUUGUAACCGGAGAAACCGUCCAUGAAGGAGAACACCUUAGACUGAGCAGUAUUAUCAACAAGCACAUCAACAUGAGGUAACGGAAAGUUGUCUUUUGGACUGGCUUUGUUCAAGUCCCUGAAGUCAACACACAUCCUGACUUUACCAUCCUUCUUUGGCACGGGCACAAUAUUAGCAACCCAUUCAGGGUACUCAACUGUCAUGAGGAAACCCGCAUCAAUCUGCUUUUGGACCUCGCUCUUGAUCUUGAGAGCCAUAUCUGGAUGAGUCCUUCUCAAUUUCUGCCUGACGGGAGGACAUUCAGGCUUGGUGGGGAUCCGAUGCUCCACAAUCAUAGGGUCUAGACCUGGCAUAUCUUCAUAUGACCAUGCAAAAAUAUCCGGAUAUUCCCGGAGGAGCUGGAUGAUCUUACUUUUAACCUCUUCCCCUAGAGCAGCACCGAUCUUGAUUUCUCGCUUGUUCUCCUCGGUACCUAUGUUGAUAAGCUCAAUCUCUUCCUGGUGAGGCUGAAUGGCUUUCUUUUCUUGCUCGAGUAACCGAGUGAUCUCAUAUGGUAUGUCAUCACCCUCCUCAUCUUCGGCUUCAUACACAGGGAAUUCAAAAUUUGGAGGGACCGUAGGAUUACUGUGUUCAACGGGUUUAUUAUGGUUCAACCUGCAUAUAAUGAUUGGAUGAUUUUAGAAAGGGUUGUUUUUUCAUGCAGAUUUUUGAAAUUAAUAAGAAAAUACAGACUGUUUGGUUUUUUCUGGCAUUACCAUUUUUUCCAAGAAAAAGGCACUAAAAAAAAGGCAGUCGUGAAAGAAACGACAAUUUUUAUUCAUCAACGGCAAUGCCGAAACAAACACGCCCUUACAGAAAAUAUCACUCUCGCAUUGGGCAGAGCGAGAGGAUUGUUAUUUUUGAAAACAAAGCGCUAAAGCAACAAGACACGUUACUCGGAAAUAUGCAUGAUUGAAGGAAUGUCAAUGGCAUCCCAAUCUCUCGCAAUGCCUCCCGGCGUAACGAAAACAAGCCUGAGACCAGAUCCAGUUGCUUCUUCAGAGAUAGCAUUAACAAACCCAGCACUGUGGAAGACUCCCGAGGAAACCCUUGACGACGGGGAGAACCCGAGACCUUCUUUACGCUUGUUCUCACAGAGCUGUAUCACCUUGCCCCAACCGGCAGUCUGACCGUCCUGAAUAACCUUCUGAGCAUCUUUCAAUGAAGCCAUAGCAGCCCCAGCUUUCUUAGGCUCUGCACCCUCAAUGGUCAAACCUUGGAAAGCAGUCCCUUCAGCAGACCCUGCCUCAAUACAAGAGAAGGAAGACAGCUGGCUGACUAAGUAUGCCUCUUCACCAUGAACGGUAACAAGCUUUCCAUUCCUCUCAAACUUCAACUUCUGAUGUAAGGUGGAGGUUACCGCGCCCGCAUCGUGUAUCCACGGUCUUCCCAGCAGACAACUGUAGGAUGCAUUAAUGUCCAUCACUUGGAAGGUAAUCAAGAAAUUCUCAGGGCCAAUGGUUAUCGGCAAGUCUAUCUCUCCCAGCACAUUCUUUCGAGAUCCAUCAAAAGCUUUGACCAAGAAAGUACUCCUCCUCAAAGGGGUCCCUCGGUAGCUCAACUGAUCUAGAGUUGUCUUGGGCAUUACAUUGAGGGAGGAACCGGUAUCCACCAACACAUUUGAUAUCAUGUCUGAUUUACAAUUCACCGAGAUGUGCAAAGCCAAAUUGUGACUCUUUCCCGCUUCCGGCAACUCUUCUUCACUAAACCAGAGGUUGUUACAAGCAGUGAUAUUUCCCACUAUGCCACCGAAACGAUCUACCGUAACUUCGUGGUCCACAUAAGCCUGCUCCAGCACUUUCAACAAGGUAUUCCUGUGAGCCUCGGAGCUCAAGAGUAAUGACAAGACAGAUAUCUUCGAAGGAGUCUGUAGUAACUGAUCAACGAUCUUGUAGUCACUCCUCUUUAUUAUCCUCAGAAUCUCAUCUAAAUUCGAAUCCUCUAUGGAUUUGCCUGACUGGUUCACAUCUGUAGCAAUGGGUGAAACAACGGUUGGAGUUGCUUCUUCAAUUGGUGGAAUGGUCGGUGUAACUACCUUCUGCUGAAAUAACGGCGGGCGAACCUUCCCGCUUCUUAGUGCUGCAGAAGUCCCUUCGGCAAUAUUGCUUACUGUGGCAAAGGAGGCUAGAGGCACCUCUACUCCAUUUUCUAUCAUGGUAGCAUUGUAUUUGUAUGGAACAGCCUUGUCUGAAACAUAAGGAAUUGGUCCUGGCAACCUUAUCACCAAAGGCUCAGCAUUCUUCUUCAAAGGUAUACUCUUGACGGGCGGAUCGUGAAAAACUGGCACAAUCACGCAAACAUCACUGACAGUCAGAAAAUUAUCAUUCAUCAAGCUUUGGAUGUCGUCUUGAACAGUAUAACAACCCAAAGGAUCACGGAGGCAUCCCAGACACUUGGCAUGAUCAUGGCUGAACAGAGAAGCUUUGCACAGCUUGAUGUGUAGAGGUACCAGAGGAGUUGCGACGUUGCGGACAUCAAGUCUAGGAGCUUCCUCGCACACUUCGAUCAUAUUCACAGCGGCAUGAUUUGGAAGAGGAUUGUCGAGGACAUGUGGGACAUUAUUCUCAAAUGUCAGCUUUCCUUGAUCAAUGAGCUUCUUCACGAUAUACUUCAAAGCAUAACACCCCUCGACAUCAUGACCUAAAGCACCUUGAUGAAAAUCACAUUUGAGAUCAGACCUGAACCUUGGAGGCAACGGAUCAAGUGGGGGCUUGCCCUGUCUAGUUGUACAAUGCCCUCUCUGGAGUAAAGUUGGAAGCAAUUCAGCAUAUAACAUCGGUAUCGGAGGGAAAGUAGGUCUAGCUUGCUGAUUUUGUUGUUGUUGUUGUUGAACCGGCAUCUGUUGUUUCAUCUGUUGGGCAAUUGCAUUGACGGGUACUUGAGGUUGACCCGGUGGCAGAGGGUACUGAUGAUAAAAUGGCGGGAAGAAAGGAUGCUGAGAAUACGGCAUAUAUGGGUAUGACGGAGGCAUUUGAGCUGCAUUGAUAGGAGCAACGGUAGCCAUGGAUUGACCGGCUCCAGCUGACACCAUCCCCACUUCCGUUUCUUUCUUCUUGUGGUGUCCAUUACCAUACCUCUUCGAUGCACUCGUAGAAGAUUCAGCUUUCUCAAACACAAUAAUUCCAUCCCUGACGGCUUCCUCAAGACGGGUUCCCAUGGUGACCAUCUCCGAAAAGUUGUUCGGGGCAGCGAUGAUCAUCCUCUCAACAUAAUCUUUCUUCAAGGUCUUUAAGAAUGUCUGGGUCAUUUCUUCUUCAUCUAAAGCAGGAGUGAUACGGGCAGCUGCCCCUCUCCACCUUUGUGCAUAUUCACGGAAACUUUCCUCUUUUUUCUGAGAUAGGGACCUGAGGAACUCCCUAUUCGGCUUCAAACGAGUGUUAAACCCGUAGUGGCUCUUGAAAGCAGCGGCUAGUUCAUCAAAAGUAUGGACAUCGUCUUUGCUCAGACUAGUAUACCACUCUGCAGCAUCCUCCAUCAGACUGUCUUGGAAAUAAUGGAUCAUAAGGGAAUCAUUGUCCUUGUAGUUGCCCAUCUUCCGGACAUAUUUGACAAUAUGAUUUUGAGGACAAGUCAGCCCGUUAUACUUGUCGAACUCCGGGACUUUGAACUUCUUUGGAACAUCUACCUUCGAUACUAAGCAGAGGUCCUGGGUUUUAAUAGAGUCUCCACUUCCCCUGUUGGCCUUAAUUUCCCGUCGGAGCUCUUUGGCAAGUUCUUCCAUUCUCUCUUCCAUAGUCCCGGUUGUGGCAAUACUCUCACGGUGCGCAUUAGCAUGGACAAUUUGAGGCACCGUAUUCACAAUGGGUUCGGUAACAGUUGUUGCAGCUUGAGUCAAGGCGGUACUAACAGGAGUUAAGUUUGCCCCUGAGAUUGGGCCACUGUUGAUAGUACCAGAGGUCCCUGCCCCUGUAUUAGCAGUAUAGUACGGCGGAAGUCCGUAAGGAAAUCCGGAUGGCAUGAUAAAGCGGGGAUCAGUUGUUACAGUAGGAGUCACAUUUGCAGCUGUAGAAACUACAGGAACUGGUUGUUUCUGAGCAGCCAACAGAGCAGUCAUAGCAUCAUGAGCUUUGGCCAAUUCCUCCUUUAGAGCUGCCAAUUCGGUACGGAGCUGAGAGUUCUCUUCUUCCAUAGCCCUUUUCUUUCUUCUGUAUUCUCUGGUUCGAUCAAUUCUAUCAGGUUCGUAAACUCUCUGAGCACGAGCCACUUUUCACACUGAGGCAGAGAAACCAGGAGAUAGUGAGCACUUGGAAGCCUUUGUGACCAAUGCAUGAUGCAUAUGAUGCAUGAUAUGCAAAUGCAAAUGCGAAAGACUUAUUUUUUUCAUCGAAGGAUUUUUAAACAAAUUAGAAAUCUUGCAAAUAAACAAAAUAACAUAUUUUCAAAAGGAAGACUUUGAAACUUUAACAAGAUAAACAAAUGAAGCCCUCAAGCGUAGGAAGUAGUCGGAGCAUCAUUGGACUCGGAAUCUGAAUCACAGUAUCUGUCAAAGAAGUCUCGUCGUCCUCUGGCUCUCUUGGAAUCCCUCAUAAGCAGCUCGUCUUUCUCUUCCAAUUCCCUCCGGACCUUAGCUAGUUCCUUCUUCAACAUCAGAUUCUCAUGAGUCUUCUGCUCAUCUCUACCAUCCAAAGUCAUGAUUAGAUUCUCGGCUUGAUCGUACCGAGCUUUCCAUACUUGCUUCUCACGACUCUCCAUAGCUAGAUGCUCCUGAUACAUAUCCUGAGUCGCGGGGAGCAACGGUAGAGGCAUAGAUGGAGUAGAUGAAGACACGUAUCUCAUAGCUGGAUAAGGCAUACCAAUCUCCUCAGCUCGAUCUAUCACCCACUGAGUAUAAGCCUCAUGAGCAACACCGGAUCUCACACCUAGAUGCUUCACACUCUUCCUUCGAACCUUGGACCAAGCAUCCAUGAAAGCUUUCCUUUGUCCGGUAGGAGCAUUCGUGUAGAAGAAAAACUCUGGAGAUGUAGCAAGAUUGAUGGGCUUCGACUUCAUAGGGAAACCAAAUUGUCUCAUAGCAAGCUCGGGAUUGUAGUUGAUUCCUCCACGAGUACCAAGAAGAGGUACAUUGAGAAAGUCUCCACAACCCAUAAUGAUUUCCUUCACCUGAGCGGCCGGAGUGAGCCAUACGACCUCAUUAGGAGUAAGGGCCAUAAUCCGCUGCGAGUAGGACCAAUUCUCCGAGUUGUCAUGGAAGGAACUCGGAAGGUGCGAAAUAAACCACCUAUACAAAAGAGAUGUGCAGCAAAGAAUAUACCUACGGCCCUUGAGAGUCCUGUCAUGAAUGGCGUGGUAGGUAUCCGCUAGCAAAGUAGGAACCGGGUUCUUGGAAUGGAAGAUCUCGAUAGCAUUCAUGUCCACAAAGUUGUCGAGGUUCGGAAAGAGAAUGAGCCCGUAGAUAAGAAAAGCAAGAAUAGCCUCGAGUGUAUCCUGACGAGUAGUACCGAGAUUAGCCUGAUCAAGAAGAUACUUCGAAGUGAACCCCCGGAUGUGAGACUUGGUAAUAAGAUGGUUGGAGACGUCGGAGGUCUUGAGGUAGAGAUCCUUAGCAAUAACCAGAGGAGUAAGAGAAGUCCCGGGACCGGUGAAAGGCGUCUUCUCGGCUAUAGGUAAACCCACUAGAUUGGAGUAAGCCUCGAGAGUAGGAACCAACUGGAAGUCCGGGAAAGUGAAGCAGCGGAAGCUCGGAUCAUAAAACUGUACUAGAGUGUGCACUAGCUUCUCGUCCACAUCGGUUCGGAGCAAAGUAAGCAAUCCCCCAUACCGGAGUCGGAAACCUGUUUGACUCUUGACCUUGAGUGCCAACUCUCUCAAACUAACCAAAUCCACUUCCUUGAACUUGUAGCACUUAGUCUUCUUCAUACCUGUGAUUAUUUACAAAAAUUUCCAUUUGUUUAAGCCCUUCGAUGAAUGCAUGAAAAAAUGUUUAUGCAUGAAUGCAUGUAUGCAUGAUUGUGUUGUUUAGUUACAAUGUGGGUUGAGGUUCAAAGUAACAGGGCCACGGAUGGACACGGCGUCCGGUGAACUAAGGCUUUGGAUGGUAGUAACCAAGGUUCUAACACAGUUCCCAAACUGCAACCUCUCUCACAUAUAUCAUGGUAGUACAGGACGACACCCGUUCCAUGAUUAUUUGUGAGAAGGUCUAGUUUGAGUGUAGUAUCGCGUGACGACUAAAGUUUGAGACAACACUCAAUUUAGCCACCGCACUACGUCCUAAAAAAGGCUAGGAUGGGUUUGGCAACUACGGUUCAUAGCUUCGUCGAACAAUUGAAAGUGAAGCCUAAGCAUGACAACACACGCCGACAAUAUCACCUUCAAAAUGCCUCAGCUAUGUGAGAUUGAUCGCAUAAUUCAAUACACGAGGCAACCCCCGGAUCGAAUUGUCGAUUAUAUCUCUACCUAAACAUAAGUUCACUCAGCCCGGGUAUAGGACUUUUGAUAUUCUCACCCCACACGUUAAAUGAAAAUAAACAAGUAUUCACAUGUAAGUAAUAAAACAAAGCGUAAAUAUAAACUAAAGAAAACUAGGCGCGACCCGCUAAAAAUUUCCCCAGUGAAGUCGCCAUUUCUGUUAUCAUGGUUUUUGGGUGCCAAACCAUCAAUUGGACUUGAACCUUUUGACCGUUGAUAUCUCUUUUUUUCUUGGGAAGGGUAAAAGGAGAAAAACCCUUGAGUUUCCGGAUUCGGGGGUCGUUUUCGCUACGGGAAGGUGUUAGGCACCCGGAGCGAUUAUGAUAUUCCAUAAGAACCGCUCUCCUUAGUUUAUUUCUACACUUUAGUUUUAUUGCUUAUUUGUAAAAAAGGAAGGUAUGAUUAGUUAAGAACGGAGGUGAGAAGAAGUAGAAUUUGAUUUUAUUUCGGCUUGGAUGAGUUUUGACUCAUUGCCUACGUACCCUUUUAAGGGAUCAAAACCGUUCGUAGUUCUUGCUCAAAAAAUGGUUUUUUUUGUUUUUGUUGGUUGAUUUUAAGUUUGAAAAGAGAUUUUGAAGAAUAGAGACGAGAGGCCUCAAGGGCAUAAGGUUUGGAAAGUGUGAGGUGGAUUUAGUCAUUUUGCAAAAAUAAAGUCCAAGAAGGAUUAAGAUUCAUUAAAAGUUUUACUUAAGAAAAUAAAGGGAAAAUAAGGAGUUUUGACUCCAUUUUAUUUUCAAAAAAAAGGUUUUCAAGUGAGAUUAUUUGCAUGUUUUUUUUGGAAAAAAGUUGGAUUUUUAUCUAAGUGUUUAAACCUAAGCGCUUAUCUAACCAUACAAUCCUAUGCAUACAUCUAAGGUGAGUGUGUGCGUGUCGGUGCGUCAUAGUGUCCAUAGUCCAUAUUACAAAAAUUGCCUAAAUACAUUCUAUGGCCCCUUUGCCAAGCUACAAACCAAUGAUAACAAAUUACAUUACCAAAUGAAUUAAAACUUGCAAAAAAAUAAAUGCUAAGCUAAAGAAAGUGGAGAGGGUGGUGGAAUGCUAUGAAACGUAUGGCACAUGAGAUGAAAUGGUUAGUAAUCAUAAAGCACACAAUAGUAGGAAGUAAUUAAAAGGAAAUGCAUAAAGAUGGCAAAGAAAAAGUAAUAAAGUGGUAAUAAACCUAAAAAACAUUUGAUAUGAUACCUAAAGAUGCUAGUGACCCAUAAUCAUCACAUCAUGGCAAUUUAGAAAGAAAUUUUGUUUCAAGCCAUGACAUGCAAUUAAUGGAGGCAUAUGCAUGCAAAAUAUCACACCAAGUUCAUAGAGAAUUUUGCCACUUUAUUCCUUAAGACUAAACUUGUUGCUUGCAAAACAAGAAAUUCAUAAAAUUAUAUUCAAAAACAGCAAACAAAAACACAUUUCCAGAGGCAUAUUCAUCACCAUAUUAGGCAUCCUUUAUCCAUGUCAUAAUAUCAAAAUGUCAAGAACAAAACAUAGCAAAAUGCAUACCAAAAGUGUAAAAACACGUGGAAUUAGUUCAUGCCAUUUUAACAUUUUUUUUUAUGCAAGAAACACCAUAGGAAUACCAAAAAUGUAUCAAGAAAACACUAGGAUUUUUUAGGAUUUGUUUUUAUAAAAAGAUGAGCAAGCAACAGGUGUGAAUAGCAAAAGAGCAGUGUGAAUAGCACAAAAAAUAGCAGAAAACGCAGAAAACCAAAAGAAACAAGCCCAAGCCCAACCUAAAAGAUCCGGAUGCAUGGGAUCCACACGAUUGAUCCAGGAUUCAAAAACCCUAGAUCAAACGGCCAGGAAUCAAAGGAGAUGGACCGGACUGGACCGGUCCGGUUCGCUGGCCUAUAAAAGUGGAGGAACACCGGUUUUUUCAUUUCUCUACUUCCCUUUCUCUCUCUAAGUUCUUCCCUCUUCUCUCAUCUCUCACUUCUCUCUAGAAACCUCACCGCCGGUGAGGAUGAAGCUACGGCGGAGACCUUGAAGGUCCGCCGGAAACUUCAUCUUCUCCGGCGAGACUAUGAACUCCGGUGACCUAAAAUUUCCAGAACUUAAAGAUUUUUGUAUUUUCUGGUUCGUCCUUUAACCCUAAACACGAAUCCAGCAGUUGUUUUUUCAAAUACGGUUUGAAACGACGUAGAUCUAAAAAGUUCCGUACGGUUUUGAAACUGAUUUUUGAUUUUUUGAAAGGAAAUGUUUAGGUCGUUAAAGAUCUACAUCGUUUCGUUGUUCGCUGCUCUUCUUUGAUGUUUGUUCUUGCUUUCAAAACUUAGAUCCUUAUGGAUCUAGGUUUUGUGUUUACGGUUACGGUUUCGUCUUUGAGUUCUGGAAAUUUUGGAUCUGUUGCUUGCGUGAUAUUUUUUUAGGUUUAACAGUGAUAUUACUUUUGAGAAAAGAUUCUGAGUUUUACCUAAGGUUUUGGUUGAAACCUUUAAUGGAGGAAAUCUUUGGAAAAACUUGAAUGCUCUUGAUGAUUUUGAUUCUUCUGCUUGCUUUUGGACCGAAAAUAAAUCGGUGAUUCUCCUUUUCUCACUGAUUCCGUUUCUUCAUCUUCUUCGCCGGUUUAGAACUUUGCUUCUUUCCUUCUUCUUUUCACGCUCUGUGAUCAACGCUUGAGCUUGCUUCAAUGCGAGCUCGCGUUUGGAAUUGCAGAGAAUGAUCAAUUCGAUGAUGAAGAUUCAACAGAAUCUCUGAGAAUUGAUCCAAAAAACUGUUGAUUCUGAUGAAUUUUGAUUUCUGGAAAACGGUUAGGGUUUUGUGUUCUUGGUGUUCUUGAGAGAUUCUGAGAAACUUUUCUGUUUUGAUUCACUUGCUGAGAAAGAGGAAAUUGGAUUUGUGUUUAUGAGUUGGCGUGUGAUUCAUGGCUCUGAGUGGCACUGUACACCUUUUAUAGCAUGACAUGUGUGCAUUGGAACCAAUAAGAAAAGGACACCUGGACUUUGAAAAAAAAGGCACGGCCUUGGCAAAUUUGGCUUCUGGACCUUUCUGCAAAAACAAAGAAUUUGAGGACUAAACUGCAAAAUUAAUUAAAAGGCUUGAAAUGAAAUUAAAAAAACUGUUUGGACAAAAUGCAAUUUUGGGACCUCAAUUGAGGGACCAAAACGCAAUUAAAAAUAAAAUUGAGUAAAAAACGUAAUUUGACCAAACGUAAAGCGAAACAAAAAUAAAAUUGACAAAACGGACUAAAACGAACCAAUGACCUAAAUGAGGUACUUCAAAGUAACCUCUCUAUGCCAAAAUUUUGUGUGAAAUGACCAAAAUGCCCCUAGGGCUAAAAUUGACCUAAACAGAUUGAAAUGGACUUAACACUGACUCAGACGCAAGUUUGAAAUGAAUUUUAACAAGGUUUACUGAUGAAGUGUUUAAAAAUAAUCUGAAAAGAUUCAGAGACAGUCACAAGGAUGAAAAUGGGUCCCACUGCAGGAAAUGACCAAAAUACCCUUCUGUAUGACUUUUUGCAAAUUUUGAAAUAAACUGUGGAAAAAGCAAUGUAAUGAUUCAGAGACACUUUUGAAUGACUUACAAGACAAGUAAAGACAUUUCAAAAGGUUUUAUGCAAGAAAAACAUAGGUAAAAUUGUGAUUGAAAAUACUGCGAGGCAGAGACAAUUUGAACUGUGCAGUUGAAAUUUGAUAAUUGACAAAGUUUGAAAUGAAAUUGGGCCCAGUAUUUUUAGGUCCAAAAACAGGGUAUAACACAUCCAAUUGUAAGUUUUAAGACAUUCUUUCUACAUAUUGAACGAUAUUCAUAAAAAUUAUUAUUCAUCAACACAUCAUAUUUUGAGUAACUACAAAAACCAGUGUGUUUCAUUUCAUUGGAUCGAUGCACCUAAAAUUGGGGGAAAGAAAAAAUAAAUGGCAUUGGAUGAAACAAGUUUCAUUGUACUACAUUCCAUUUUAUUUUAUUUUUUUACGAAACCAAACAAUGAAAUAUGGUUUUAUCUUGCUCCAUUCUACUCCGCCAUUUUCCAUCAAUACAAACAUUGUAUAAGACUUUGUUUACAAGUUUGGAGGAGAAUGUAGCUUUCAAAAAAUUAUAAGUCAUUUUUAGAAGAAAACAAUUGUCAUAAAUUAUAAGUCACUUUACAAUGUUAAUGAAUUAAUGUUAUUUUCGUUUCGAUUAUACCCUUAACUGGUUUUUUUUUUUUUUCUUUUCAAAUUCUUUAAAUUAAUUUUCCGAUAUAUUUUUUUUUAAAUAUAAAUAUAUUAUCAAAAUAUAGAUUUGUCAUGACCCACCACAAUUUAGUAACAAGGCUCUUCAAACUAAAUCAUGACCGUCGGUGGGUUUUCUUUAGACUUGGAAUUAUAUUACAAAUGUGAAAGUGAGACCAAUAAUUGAAUUGCUUUAUAUCAACAAUGAUGACGAGCUAGCUGUAAAGAUUGUCAAUAAUGGAAACAUCACUUUAUACUACAGUGUUGAACAAGAUUAAAACAAGAUAUUGAAAUUAUUGUUUAGAUGUGUCUAGAAAGCGACCUGAAUCUUGCAACUCAAUGCAGUUGAUCAGAUCAGUCCAAGCUUUCACUGCCGUAAAUCAAAAUCAAACCCAUCAUAGUUGAGGAAUUACAAUUGUGGAAACUCAGCUCACCUCGAGUAUAAUUGGGGUGUGUUUGUUUCAAGUUAUAAUUGUUGAUUCUCGGGAAUAAAAUGAUAGGAAUGUAUAUGCCUAUGUUUGUUAUAAGUUUACUAAAUUUUAUUCCCGGGUAUAAAAUGUUCCUCGGAAUAUAAAAAAUUUCCCAAGGAAAAGGGUGGGAAUAAAGUUCCCAUGAAGAUGGGAAUAAAUUCAUAAAUAGUUUACAUAUUAUAAUCCCUAUUUUUAUGGUUCUUAGGAAUAUUAUAAAGCUAACCAAACAUAUUUUUCCUAAAUUCCUUGGAAUAAAAUUCUCAUAUUUAUAUUCCAAGGAAUGUUAAUCCUAAAAAUAAAUUUGGUAAACUUGAAACAAACAUUUGUGAUUGUACAAACCAUCCAAAGACUUGUAAAUUUAAUAUUAUGUUUCCUAAAAUGUCUUAUAUAUAUAUAUCACAUUGUUCUUUUAAUUUUUUUUCUUUCUUUCUGAAAUAUCAAAUAUAAUAUCAAAAUAUUGAUUUUUACCUCCAAAGUCUUUUCUUCCAAAAUUCAACUCGCAAAACUUCUAAAACUCAAUAUUUAACUUUUCAAUUAUUGCAUCAUUUUUUUAUUGUAUGAAUCCAUGUGUAUUGUUUUUAGAUUUCCAAAGUGUUGUAUUUUGGUUUUCUAAAUUCUAUUUUGAAAGAGAAUAUCUAUCGAAAUUGUUACUAGGUUGAGUCACGACCAGGUUGCUCUUUUAAGACAUUUCGUGGCACUGCUUAAAAUUGUGCAAGACAGACUAUUAACCACACUGCCUCCAGGAUUAAAAACAAGUUCAACUACAAUUGUGCGGUCAACUACUGACUACAAUUGUGCGGUCAACUACUGACUGUAGAAAACAGUUCGAGUAUUACACCUCCAAUAUGGUAUUAAGACAACUCUUUUAAUAUUGAAACUCAUAUGGUACUGUGACCACUCUAUUAUAGUGUUGAAACCACUCAAAUAUGGUGUUACCACCAUUCUAAUUUUUAACUUCUCCAACAAUGGUACUAUGAUCACUCAAAUACAAUGUUACUACCAUUCUAAUUUCUUCAAGAAUUGAAGAAGAAUAUAUUUUUAAGCUCAUUCUUAUUAUACCGAAAGUGGACUAUGAUCUUAAGAUAUUAUUUAUUCUUAAGAGACAUAAUUAAUUGAAAGGACUAUGCUCUUAAGACCAUUCUUAAUUCCGAAAUGACAAUAUACCGAAAAAGGAUUGUGAUCUUAAGAACACUUUUAAUAUCGAAAUGACAGGAAAAAUAAAUAAAUAAGGAGAAGAAUAACUCGUUAACACAAGCUGGAGGGAGAAGAGAGAAAGAGUUCUCGACAAAGGGGUGGGAAUAGGUCAAACUAGGCUUUGAUAGGUCUAAGCUUGGCUUACAAAAAAUUUUGCAAGUCUGAGUCUGGUCUAUGGCCUUUCAGCCUAUAUUUUUGGCUUGAUCUAGCCUAUUUAAAAGUCUGCCUAGCUUAAAAACCUAUUUACAGGUCUACUUCAUAUUAAAGUCAUUAAAUAUUCAACCUAUUUAAGUAUAAGGCCUCAAAGCCUAUUUAAAAAGUGCAUUAUUUGAGUUUUUUUUCUUGAUUUUUAUGUUUAAUAUAAAUUAUAUUUUAAUAUAAAUAAAAAAUAAAUUUUAAUAAUAUGCAUAAAUAAAGCCUAAGCCUAGCCUUUUUCGUAAACAGGUCAGGCUUAAACCGGAAAAUUCACAACUAACUUGCGAACUUCUAAUAAUGAUUAAAUUAAUUAUUUAAUAUUUAAUUUAACAUUUCUAAAUAAUAAAAUAUAUAUUUUUUCAACAGUGCUUACUUCAUUUACAUAAUUUUGCACCCCCUUUAAAGGUACACCUUAUUAUAUAAGGACUACUAAUUUAUGUGUCCCAUUUAAUGUGAGACUUUCACUUUUUUCAAUUCACACAACAUUGGUUCUACCCAACAUAAAAUUUUGUGUUUAAUCUUUUAACUCAAUUUUCACACAUGUUUCAACAAUGUGCCACCAAAUAUUUUCUUGACCCACCACACUUUAGCUAGCUAAAUCAUUGCAAACGUGAAAGUGAGACCAAUAAUGACUAGCUAGCUGUAAAUAUUCUCAAUUCUCAAUAUUCUUAUGAUGCUAGCGACUGCAAAUUGGAAAACCAAUAAAUAACAAUAUCAUUUUACUUGAUCAAGUUUGGUUGAUUCCUGCACACUUCAAAGAUAAAGUAAGUUUUCUAAAAUUGUUGGAAAGAUUGUCUAGUUGUUGAACCAAAAUUAAGCCUCCUAUGUAUAUUUCUACAGCAGAGUUGCUCAGACGGCUUGAACAUUUGCUGAAAGUGUGCUGGAGUUAUGGUAACCAACAAACAAUCAUGUUUUAACAAUUUUCAGUCGAUAUCAAUUGGUCUCAGGUAAAUUGCUGAAAGUGUACUUGAGUAUGCGCUGAAUGUGCCGAAAAUACUGUGUUGGAAAGAUCAGGUAAAUAUCAAUUUCAUUUUGCUUCAUCAUUCAUUCAAAUAUAAAGUAGGUUUUCUGAAAUUGUUGGAAAGAUUGUCUAGUUGUUGAACCAAAGUAUAUUUCUACAGCAGAGUUUCAAUGAACGCUUGAACAUUUGCUGAAAGUGCUGGAGAUAAGGUAACCAACAAACAAUCAUACUUUAACAAUUUUCAGUCAAUAUUUUAAUUAAUUGUUUACAAAGGUUUAUAAAUCAACUAGAGAAACCAACUCGAGUUGAUAAGGUAGAAUCAAACAUAGUCUAUAAGGAAUUUUUUGCAGUGAAUAUUACUCCUAAUUCUCUAAAUUCUAGCUGCUGCCUGCUGUCGAGAAAGAAAAAUAUUGUUAAAAAGUACGUCCUUACAACAGUAACACAAUUGAGGUAGAAAAUAAUCUCAUGGUUGUUUUUCUUUUAUCACUUCCUCAGAUUUUCUAUUUGUAUAUGAUUUCCAAUUUUGGUCUUCACUCUACUUUUCUACAUGGUCCUUUUUUCAUGACUUGUUUAUCAUUUUCAAAGAUAAAUUGGGUAUUCAGAGAUUGGCUUAAAGGAUCUUAAACUUUAAUAUUGGAUGAACUCCCAUUUGAACUUUCUCAAAUAUUUGUUUGAACAAGCUAAGAAAAUUCUUUGAUGAAAAGUGUGUCAUCAACUAUCAUUUUUCAAAUUAACAGACCCUGAAUGAAGAAAAUCUUCUUACAAUAAAAGAACAUGAAUGAUAUGCUAUGAGAAUGAGAUUCAUUAUCAACCAUUGUAUUUUUCAACAUACACAAACAUAUGUCUAACUUUGAUGUAUUGAAAUUCAUUUAGAUGGCGAGUUUUCUAACUGAUUUGGCGAAGACCUAUGUGGAGAAAUUGAUAAAUGGGGUGAUCGCAGAGUCAAGUUAUAUAUGUUGCUUCACGUGCAUUGCUAAUGAUUUUGAAGAAGAAAGAUCUAGAUUGGAAAUAGAAAGCACAACAGUUAAGCAACGUGUUCAUGUGGCAACCAGUAGAGGAGAAGUUAUUCAAGCUAAUGCUCUUUUUUGGGAAAAAGAAGCUGAUGAGCUCAUUCAAGAAGACACCAAAACAAAACAAAAAUGUCUUUUUGGAUUUUGUCCUCAUAUCAUAUGGCGAUAUAAAAAGGGAAAGGAACUGACAAAUAAGAAGGAGCAAAUUAAAAGAUUGAUUGAAAAUGGAAAGGAUCUUGUAAUUGGACUCCCUGCUCCUCUUCCAGAUGUUGAACGUUAUUCAUCCAGAGACUAUAUUUCUUUUGAAAGUAGAAAAUCCAAAUACAAAGAGCUUUUUGAUGCUCUGAAAGAUGACAACAGUUAUAUAACCGGGUUGCAAGGGAUGGGGGGCACAGGAAAAACUACAAUGGCCAAAGAAGUGGGGAAGGAACUUAAGCAAUUCAAACAAUUUACUUACGUCAUCGAUACAACAGUGUCAUUGUCUCCUGAUAUCAGAAAGAUUCAAGAUGAUAUCGCUGGACCCUUGGGAUUGAAAUUUGACGACUGUGGUGAAUCAGACCGACCCAAAAAACUAUGGAGCAGAUUAACCAAUAGAGGUAAGAUUGAUCAGAACGAGGAAAAGAAGAUUCUUCUAAUAUUGGAUGAUGUGUGGGAUGUUAUCGAUUUUGAUAAAAUAGGGAUUCCUGACAAUCACAAAGACUGUAGAAUUCUUGUAACCACGCGCAAUCUCUAUGUCUGCAACAGAUUAGGAUGCAAUAAGACAAUCCAACUGGAGGUCUUAUCUGAUGAAGAAGCAUGGACCAUGUUCCAAAGGCAUGCUGGUCUAAAAGAAAUGUCACCUGCAAGUUUGCUCGACAAGGGCCGCAAAAUUGCAAAUGAAUGCAAAGGAUUACCGGUUGCAAUUGUUGUUAUCGCCAGUAGUUUGAAGGGCAUACAAAAUCCGAAAGUGUGGGAUGGAGCCUUAAAAUCCUUGCAAAAACCCAUGCACGGUGUUGAUGAGGAAGUUGUUAAAAUUUAUAAAUGCUUGCAUGUUAGCUAUGAUAAUAUGAAGAAUGAGAAUGCCAUGAGACUAUUCCUCUUGUGUUCUGUAUUUCGAGAAGAUGAAAAAAUUUAUACCAAAAGGUUAACCAGACUUGGCAUCGGAGGAGGCCUUUUUGGGGACGAUUUUGACAGCUAUGAUGAUGCUCGAAACCAAGUUGUUAUAUCCACAAAUAAACUCCUAGAAUUUUGUUUAUUGUUGGAGGCCGGUCGAGAUCAAAGCAUCCUGAGAAUGCAUGACUUGGUUCGUGAUGCUGCCCAAUGGACGAGCAGAGAGUUUCAAAGAGUAAAGUUAUAUGAUAAAUAUCAAAAAGCAAGGGUUGAAAGGGAGAUGAAUAUUAAAUAUUUAUUAUGUGAAGGCAAGCCUAAGGAUGUGUUUUCCUUUAAGCUUGAUGGUUCCAAGCUUGAGAUUCUAAUUGUCAUUAUGCAUAAGGAUGAAGAUUGUCAGAAUGUGAAAAUCGAAGUCCCGAACUCAUUCUUUGAAAAUAUUACGGGCCUUCGAGUUUUUCAUCUAAUAUAUGACCAUUAUCCUAAUAUAUCUCUAUCAUUACCUCACUCAGUUCAGUCGAUGAAAAAUAUUCGAUCUCUUCUCUUUGAGCGUGUCAAUUUGGGUGACAUCUCUAUUUUGGGAAACCUGCAAAGCCUUGAGACUCUUGAUUUGGAUGAUUGUAAAAUUGAUGAAUUGCCUCAUGGAAUCGCAAAACUAGAGAAACUGAAAUUAUUGAACUUGAAUAAUUGAAGAAUUGCAAGGAAUAAUCCUUUUGAAGUGAUUGAAGGAUGCUCAUCACUUGAAGAGUUGUAUUUCACAGGUAGCUUUAAUGAUUUUUGCAAAGAAAUAACUUUCCCUAAACUACGAAGGUUUAAUAUUGAUGAAUAUUCAAGUUCAGUGGACGAAUCAUCAUCAAAGUGUGUGUCUGUUUUAUUCAAAGAUAAGUUUUUCCUAACUGAAAGAACACUCAAGUAUUGUAUGCAAGAAGCAGAGGUUCUUGCACUAAGAAGAAUCGAGGGGGAAUGGAAAAACAUCAUACCUGAGAUUGUUCCCAUGGAUCAAGGUAUGAAUGAUAUAGUUGAGCUUCGUUUGGGAUCCAUUUCACAAUUACAGUGCCUCAUUGACACUAAGCACACUGAAUCUCAAGUGUCAAAAGUCUUCUCCAAGUUGGUUGUACUAGAACUUUGGAACCAAGAUAAUUUGGAAGAAUUGUUCAAUGGUCCUCUUUCCUUUGACUCUCUGAAAAGUUUAAAGGAGUUGUCCAUCAGUGAUUGUAAACAUUUGAAAAGCUUAUUUAAGUGCAACCUAAACCUAUUCAAUCUAAAGAGUGUGUUAUUGAAAGGAUGCCCGAUGUUGAUCUCCCUAUUACAACUGUCAACUGCUGUUAGCCUAGUGUUGUUGGAGACGCUGGAAAUAAUUGACUGUGAGCUUCUUGAAAACAUAAUAAUAGAUGAAAGAAAAGGGCAGGAAUCGAGAGGUGAAAUAGUCGAUGAUAAUGAUAACACAAGUCAUGGCUCAAUGUUUCAGAAAUUGAAAGUUCUUAGUAUUAAGAAGUGUCCAAGAAUCGAAUUAAUACUUCCGUUUCACUCUCCUCAUGAUCUUCCAACACUAGAAUCCAUCACAAUUAAAAGUUGUGAUAAGCUGCAGUACAUAUUUGGCAAAGAUGUCAAACUUGGUUCCCUCAAAAAAAUGAUGCUUGAUGGCAUACCGAAUUUGAUCCAUAUUUUCCCAGAAUGUAACCGUACCAUGGCUUCGCCCAUUAAGAAGACAUCUUCCAAGCCAGAAGAUCAAUCAAAGUCAAUCAAAUGCAAUAUGUUUUCAUGGACUGAUAUAUAUUGUUGUGGUAAAAAAUAUGGUAACACAAGUACUAAAAUCCCAUUGGUUUCUGAGUCUAAGGAUCAACAACAGGACAACUUAAUGGUAACCCUCUCACUUUAUAUUCCAUGAUAUUUUUUAUAUUUUUUUUUAUAGGAAACUGUUGGUACAUUUUAUUAUUUGAAAAAACUAUUUUUUUAAGGAAAACAAAACUACUAAUAUAAUAGCAAAUUACUAAAUACCAAAAAGUGUUCACUUUUUUUUGUGGUGUCCGGGAUUCAAACCCCAGACCUUGCAUAUAUUAUGCAUUGUCCUUACCAUUUGAACUAAGCUCACGAGGACCAAAAAAGUGUUCACUAAUACAAUAUAAUAAUGUACCCAUUUUUUCGUAUCAAUUAAUAGUAUAACAAGUAUAAUAUUAUUUCAAGUAUUUAAGAGCAUCUCCAAUGGGAGGUUCUUACUUAACAAGGAUCACUCCCUAUUAAAGACCCCCCAUUGGAGGAAGAAAAAAUGAGUUCUUAUUAAGGAACGGGUCACUAUAUAAAGACUCUUUCUCUCCUAAGCAACUAAUGGGUUCCACGUUUAAAAUAAAUAAUAAUAUAUGUAUUACUUGGUCCCACUUGCAAAAGAAAUAAUAUUUUAAGAAUUGGUCCCACUUGCAAUAUAAAUAAUUUUUUUCUUUUAAUGAUGUAAAGUUAGUGAGACUUAUUUAAGUAAUUUUUAUGGGAGUCCUUGUUAGUGUAUUACCAUUGGAGUCAUCGGGUCUUUAAUAGAUACUUUUAUUAAAAAAAUUAUAAAUAAGUGAUGUGUACAUGCGGGAUCCAUUUAAGGAGUCCCUAUUAAAGAUUACCAUUGUAGAUGCUCUAAUAGCUUUGGUGCAUUAAGUUAAUUAUAGAUAAAUGUAAGUCGGUCUGUAAAUUAAAUAUCAAUGUUAAUUUAAUUAAAUAAUGUAGUACUUUCUUUUGGUUACAUUCUAAUAUAAUAAUUUAUAAUCCAUAGCCAUUUGUUGCAGGAAUUGAGUGGGAAUGUGGACCAUUUUCUCUCUUUGGAGAGACUCAUAGUAAAGAAUAACUCCAAAGUAGAAAGUAUCAUUUGUAUAAAUGAAAUAAAUGAACAGCAAAUGAACUUAGCUUUGAAAGACAUUGAUUUGGAUGUUUUGCCUGCGAUGACAUGCCUUUUUGUGGGUCCAAAAAAUUUGUUUUUCCUCCAAAACCUUACCCAUUUAAAGAUCAUGCGAUGUGAAAAAUUGAAAAUUGUUUUCUCCACUUCUAUAAUAAGGUAUCUACCACAGUUGCUUAUCUUGAGAAUUGAAGAAUGCAAAGAAUUGAAGCAUAUAAUUGAAGAUGAUUUGGAGAAUAAAAAAUCCUCAAAUUUUAUGUCCACAACAAAGACAUGCUUCCCAAAGUUAAAAAUGGUUGUUGUAGUAAAGUGCAACAAGUUGAAAUAUGUCUUUCCAAUCUCCGUAUGUAAAGAGCUUCCUGAGCUAUAUUAUCUGAUCAUAAGAGAAGCAGACGAGUUAGAGGAAAUAUUUGUAAGUGAAGGUGAUGAUCACAAAGUGGAGAUUCCAAAUCUGAAAGUUGUAAUAUUUGAAAAUCUACCAAGCCUCAAUCAUGCCCAGGGAAUUCAAUUUCAAGAUGUAAAACAUCGUUUCAUACAGAAUUGUCAAAAACUCUCUCUGACUUCAGCAAUAACCGCAGACUUUAAAAAGGAUCUUUCCGGUUUAUAUAUUAACAUCUACGGUAACAUCUACGGUACACACUUCUUCAAAAAAAACAUCUACAGUACACAUUCUAUCCAAUAUUUUUUUAAAUUAUUACAUGUUGGCAGGGCCGUCCCUGUGAAAUAGGAGGCUCGGCUCUCUUUUUAAAAUAGGCCCCUAGUAAAAUAAAAUAUAAUUUUUUUUUGUGUAGCUAAAUUUCAUUAAAAGAAAUCAAAAUCAGAAGAACUUCUAAACAUGAAAGGAAUUAAAAAAAAUUAAGUGAAAGAGGUGAAAUUUAUCUAACGGCGUCGUUUGAACUUGUCACUCCUCUGUUGUGGAAAAUGGUAAAACGAAUGGUUUAUGCGAAGAAAAAAUGAUUGUUGUGAUUCUUUCAAUGAAAUAGCUUUCCAAAUUGACUGAUUAAGUGAUUAUACAAAUUAAGGGUGAUUUGAUAGGAUCUGAUUUAUGUACAAAAAGGAGAACUAGAGUCUAGAAAAAAUCUCAAAUGUGUACUAAAGAAAGAAAAUGAUAUAACAUAUAUAUUUUUUAGUUAAAUGGGGGGUGGGUAUUAUAUUUAAUUUUUCGUUAAAGGCCCGUAACAUUUGAAGGCCCGAUCUGGUUGAGCACCUUGCACACCCUCAAAGCCUGGCCUACAUGUUGGUUGUAAAAUAUUACAUACCAUUUGUUUAAAGGAUAUAUAAACAACUGAAUCUUCUAAAGUAGCGAUAUAAGGUAUGCUGUGUGCAUGCAUAAGUAUUUCUAAAAUGUAAGGGCUCAUGUAGUGACCUAUCUAAUAUAAGCUUUAAUUUUAUGUAAAAUUUAAUUAUUAUAUAGAUAGAUAAACAAUGGGCUUAAAUGCACUUUUCAUCGCCUAAUUGUUUACAAAAAUAGCGAUUUUGACCCUUUUUAAAAAAAUGGCAAAAGUGAUCCAUGUUUACCCCUUUUGCAAACCUCAAUUCUGACUUUGUCAACCGUAGGUGGCCUGUGUAUUUUUUUUUUUAUUUUUUUUUAUUUUUUUUAAUUGGCAAUUCCACGCGUUUAUUAAAUGAAAUUAAAAAAAAACAGAUUGGAAGAAAAAUAGAGAAGGCACGUGCAAGCUCUCAUCAAUUAUUUCUCUUCAUCAAUUUUUCAUGUGUUCUUCCCCAAAACUUUGAUCUUCAUGUUUAUGUGUUCUUCCCCGAAAUCCAAAUCUAAAAAACAACUUACCAUCAUCAAUUGUUUGGUCCUAAAAAAAAUCAUUCUCGUUAAUAUUAGAAUAUAGUGAGAAUAAACUAGAGUUACUUAGUGGUAACUAUAGUAGAAAGUUAGUUAGAGAGUUAGUUACUCCAAGUCACUAUAAAUAAGCUACACCUAUGUACUAUUUCACCAUCUUUUAUUCAAUUGCAUCUUUGUGAUGACUCCUAGAGAGAACUACACAAUUUACCUUUCCAUUGCAUUUGAUCUAGAACCAUGGAAUCCUUUGAUUCAUAACAAUUAACACUCAAAUAUUCAAACUCGUGACUUUCAUCACAAAUUUAUUAACUUGCCAACAACCUUGAGAAAAACUACCAUAGUCUCCGAGGUUCAUCUACGAACAUGAGAACGAAAUUUGGAAAAACAACCAUCUCCAACCCAAACCCAACAUACAAACACAUAUCUGUUCCCAAAACCUUGAAAUACAACCUUCAAUUGAAACUCAUAAAAUUAAAUAGAUAAAAAACUGGGAAAAAAAAAAAGUGGAAUCAAUUUGAUGGGUUGAAGUUUUGUGUUUGAAACUAGAAGAUGAUUCAUAAUGGAUCUGCGAAAAAAAUUAAAUUAGAACAAGGAGAGUGGAAUUUUUAUGUUUGAAUUCAUUUGGUUUGAUUAUCAUUGGGUGAUGCUUCAGCUUCUGUGGAUUGUCGUGGUGCUAAUGGUGGUGGUGAUGGUGAUGAGAAGAAAAAGAAGAAGGUUGUUGGAUAGUUCUUCGUGCAAAAGGGGGUAAACAUGGGGUUACUUUUGCCAUUUUUUUGAAAAGGAGUCAAAAUUGUUAUUUUUGCAAACUUACGGGUUAAAUAGUGCGUUUAAGCCUAAACAAUAUUGUGCAUCUUUAAACAUAAAAAUGAUGAUUUUAUUAUUCUCUAUAUAAUGAUGUUAAUCUCUAUAUUAUUUCGCUGUAGAUCCUGAAUUGUGUAAGUAUUUCGUGUUUCUGUUUGUACAACAAUUAAAAAAAAAGACCAAAGGCAACAAUAGUCGUAAUGAAAAUCCAGAAACCUCAAAAAAAAUUGCCGUUGGGGUUGAAGUUAAAGCAUCAUCAGAACAUGGGCUGACUUCUCCAAAGGUCAAUACCAAUCUAUUGAUUCAAGCUUACCACACCAGAAUUUUAAUGGAUGUAAUUACUAAUUAAUAGCUUAAGAUCAUUAAUGCUUAUGUUCUUGUUACAGGAGUUGAUGAAUGAACAAUCAAUGGACCAACAACGUUCACUUGGAGAAACUGAUACUUCCGUCAAACCUUCUCAGGUAAAUCGUGUAAAAACCAAGAUUACAAAAGAAUGAGCCACCUAUACAAUUAAUUACACCUAUUGGACCCACCACCAUUUAUAUCCGUAAAUUACUCUUUAGCACUAUCACAAUCACUCUUUUAUGCAAGUGUCAUUGGUUGAGCAACACUUAAGUGUUGUUCUCCUACCCAUCGGCAAUUAAAUGUUGUUAGAUCGGUUCAAUCACUUUUUAAAUCGGUUAAAAAGUAUCUGAAUGACAGUUAACUACCGUUAGGGGGUAAAUGAAUAAUUUUGGAGCCUGAUAGCAAUUUUAGAAGCCUAAAGAGCAAUUGUCUUUAUAUCCUUGCACCAAGUCCAACAUUUUAUGAAUUUGUUUUAGGUCCAACCAAGAUUUUAAAAAAGCUAAAAGUGAAAUACUAAAAGAAAAAGAUUUUAUUUCAAGUGCUUCUUAUAAAUAUAUGGAUUGUGGAACUAACUAAUUUACAUUUUUAUGAUAUGCAAUUAGUUGGAGGGUUCUACUACAUCAGAAAAAAAAUGUAGCAAAAACGUGUUCCACCAAUUCACCAACAAAAAAUGAGCCACCUAUACAAGUAGUUACUCCUUCUUAGUAUUCAUUUUGACACUUUGUCAAUGCAGGAGUUGAAUUAUACUACAAUCUUAAAAAUCUUUUAAAUUUUAAGCAGGUUAGUGAAAUAAGUGUUGAAGAAGGAACUACAUCAGCUAAUGCCAAGAGAACAACAGCAUCAUCACAAGUGAGUUUAUUUUAUUUAACAUAGCCUUCAUAUUAACUUGGUCUUUUUAUUAUUAUUAUUAUUAUUAUUAUUAUUCAAUUUUCAUGGAAUUGGAUUUGUAAGAAUCAAGCUCGAAGCUAAUUUCGAUAUAUCGAGAAGAAAAAAAAUUGGAAUCUAUUUGUUGUCAAAAUUCCGAUUUAAAUCGUAAAAUUCAGGAUUUUGCGACUUUAUUCACUUUCAGUGACUCAAAUCCAUAGCAAAAUUCUCAAAUAGGCAAAAUUCUAGUAAAAUCACAUCAAAAUCGUAAAAUCCAUACAAAAUCGAAGGAUUUUAAAGGGUUUGAAGGAUUUUAUCCAUUUUUGUAUAAGUAUUUUGUGGACAAUUUAUAACAUAUGUUUAACAUUAUUUUUGUUUUGGUAAAAUAUAUUGAUUUUGAUUCCUAUUUUACAAUUUCUUAUAUCAAUUUUACAAAAGUAGUUGAGUAAAAUCCUUCGAUUUUGAUAGCGAUUUUACGAUUCUCGAUUUUACUCUACCAUUUUAACUUGAAGUAAAAUCCUAAUUUUGACAACCUUGAAUCCACAGCUUUUGAAUUUUGGAAAAGUUUUAUUUAAGAAAGUAUAAUGUUAGACAAGUUUAGACCAUUUUAUCCUUGAUUCAUUUACAAAAAAUUAAUUCAUUGAAUGCAUGCUUUGGGUUUUUGUAAGGGUACAAAAGAAAAAAUAUCAUUAAUCCAAAAAAAUAUUAAGACUUGAUGAUGAUAUCAUUUGUUUAUUUGAAUUUGUGUAGGAAUGUGGUGACUGCCAAAUAGUCAUACCUUCUCAGGAUGUUGAUAUUAACAUCAAUGAUGAUCAAGGUGAUGAAGACUCUUUAGAUCAAUUAUAUUUUCUUUAGUUACCUCAUCACUCACCCUUUUCAUUUUGAACUUUAACUCUCUUCUCUCACACCAUUUGUUCAGUUUCUGUAAAUGAUGAUGCUGUCAUAAAAGUAAAGGAACAAUUAUCUAAGGAUGUUGAAUUUAAAGUUCCAGAAUCUAUCAUUCCUUUGCCUCAAGAAUUUCAAACUCCUUCAAUGCUAUCCGGAGGUAUAGAUUUUCUCCCUUAUCUUAAAAACUUAAUUUUGUGCUAAAAAUAGGAUUAAUUAUUCUUUCCUUUACUUUCAGGAGACCCUUCUCAAAAUGUAGAAGAUUUAAGUUCUUCUUUGUUUGUCAAGAGUGAGCUUGAGCAACUAGUCUCCAAGAAUCAUUUGGAUUAUGAGAACUUAUCUCUAUUGACAGGUUUCCUUGUUAAAAAUCCUUCUGUUCGUUUAAAAGACAAUUCACUGCGUAAUAGAUUCAAGGGUUGUGCUUACAACUUAUUGGCAGAGCUAUUGAAAUUCCUUGAAACUCAUAGUGUCUUGGAUGUAUUAGGCUCAUGCCACUCUGAAUUUGUGGAUCUACUACUAGAUGCGCGCAACUUUGGUUUUGAUAAGGAUUGGUUGGAUAGUGUCGAAAGGCGGGCUAUGUUUCCUGAUAUACAAAUAUCUCAAGACGCCAUGCAAAAAUUAUUGGAUUCCAAGCAACAAAUUACCAAGGAAGUUGAAGUGUUGCAUUUAAAGAUAGAGAUUUUAAGUCAACAUGUGGAAGAUCUUAAGCAUCAAUUGACAUCCUCUAAAGCUGUUUUGAAGAAUAUAAUUCAACAAGAGGCGGUUUUAAGUGCACCUAUUGGUUAUUAGACUAUAUUUUCAAGUACUUUUAUUUCAUCAUUGCUGCUUUGUUAUGCUUUUCAUUGUGGGAACCUUUGUUCUUCAAUAUUUUUUAAUAAGGUUUUGAUUGGAUGGUGUCAAAAAGUGCGCUUUGUUUCUUGAUUUCCAGGUUUUGACUCUACAGGUGAGGAGUCUUCCGCCUAAUUCUACCCAAAGCCCCAAUCUCUUCCCGUAACCAAGAGACUUCAUCCUAAUAGUGUUUCCCAAGGUGAAUCAAUCCUCAAACCCUAGUGUUUGUUCCCAAGAGACAAACUCUAGUUUUGUUGUUGCCUUUCUAAACCCUUGUUUCAGCCCCCUCUAUCUCAAGGUUUACUCUGAUACAACGCAUAUAUUUAUAGUAAAAGAAUCCUCAAUAAAACUGGAACAAAUCUAGGCCCGAAAAUACGUUUCUGUUUUAUUUUCUGCUGUCAAAAUCGGCCACCGAAUGCUCCAAAUCGGUCGCUGAUUUUUGCCGAACCAAUAAACAAAAAACCAGAGUGCAAAAUCGGCCACCGAUUUUCUACUUCCAGAAUUCCAAUUUCUUCAAUUUUGAGGCACUUUCACAACAAUCUCCACCUUGACUUUAAAUUAAUGAUGAUGCCAAACCAUCAACCACCAUGCUGCUCUUUCCCUUGCUUCCCACUACACCAAGUAGCUCCACAAGUUUACACCUUAAUCCCUUCAGCCAUCGGAAUGUCUUCCUCCUUCUCAAAGGUCCUUGCAGUCCAACUACACUAGAAAUUUUAGGUAGUUCCACAAGCAUUCACCUUAACCUCUUCAGCCAUCGGAACGUCUUCCGUCUUCUCGAAGAAUCCUUGCAGUCCAACUACAUUAGGUGUUUUAGGUAGUUUCACAAGCAUUCACCAUAACCUCUUCAACACAUGACAUCUUCCGCUUCCUUGAAAGUCUCCUUGCUUCCAAUCACCCUUGGCCUUUUUUUAGGGUAAUCCCGCAAGUUGCGCUAUACAUUCUUCAACCUCCGGAAUGCCUUUCGUCUUCAUGAAGAAAUCCCUUGCUCGCCAUAGAGCAUAGCACCCAAGGUCAUCCAUAGUCGUACCAUUACCGGUGUGUUCAACUCCACCUCAAGCUGAGCGUACUCUACCUCAACUAGCAAAUGCGUACAUCCCACUAUGUCUUCAACCUUGAAACUCCACCUCAACAGGUAGAUCAUGAGUAUUAUAGAUUUGUCAUGACCCACCUCAAUUUAGUAACAAGGGUCUUCAAACUAAAUCAUGACCGUCGGUGGGUUUUCUUUAGACUUGGAAUUAUAUUACAAAUGUGAAAGUGAGACCAAUAAUUGAAUUGCUUUAUAUCAACAAUGAUGACUAGCUAGCUGUAAAGAUUGUCAAUAAUGGAAACAUCACUUUAUACUAAAGUGUUGAACAAGAUUAAAACAAGAUAUUGAAAUUAUUGUUUAGAUGUGUCUAGAAAGCGACCUGAAUCUUGCAACUCAAUGCAGUCGAUCAGAUCAGUGCAAGCUUGAGGAAUUACAAUUGUGGAAACUCAGCUCACCUCGACUAAUUUCAGUUUCCAUAAUCCACUCACCCAUUAACAAAAAAGAUUUAUCCUUAGCCAAUAAAAUUGUGCAAUUGAACGAUUCGUGGAAAAUUAUUCAUCAACGCAUCAUAUUUUGAGUGAUGAAAGGUGGAUUUCUCGGAUCUCAUCAUAAGAUCCCUCAUCAUAAUACCCCCACAAAAAAUUAUAAGAAAAAUUAUUCAUCGACACAUCAUAUUGAGAAAUUACAAAAACUUGUGUGUUUCAUUCCAUUGGAUAUAUCUAAAAUUGAGGGAAUGAAAAAAAAUAAAUGGUAUUAGAUGGAACGGAUUUCAUCAUGCUCCAUUUUAUUUCUGUCAUUUCUUUUACAAAAUCAAUCAAUGGAAUAUGAUUUUACCCCGCUCCGCUCCACCAUUUUCCAUUGAUACAAGUCUUAGGUUUUAUUAUGAGUUUAAAGGGGAAAAGAGAGCUUUGAAAAAAAUUAUAAGUUGUUUUAAGAAAGAAAAAAAUUGUCAUAAAUUAUAAAUCACUUUACAAUAUCAAUAAAAUAUGGGAAAUGCUAACUGGUGCCCCCAAGACACUGGUUAAGGAUAUGAAAAAAGAAAUUAAAUAGUAGUUAAUGCAUUGAAAUUGUAUAAUUAAUUUAUAAUAAAGUCAAAAGCAGAUUCCUUUUAUGGUAAUAAUUCCCUUUUAUGGUAUACUUAAACAGUGCUCUGAAGACACCGGUUAGCCCAUAAAAUAUUAAAAGUCAUUUUGAGAAAGAAAAGAUUUAAUUUGCAUACACGACAAUGUAAGUUCCUAAAAUAUCUUUGGAAAUACGUUUUAUGAUUUGAUUUGUUGAACAUCCUACCUUAGAUGACUAAAUCUAUAUGUUGAUCUUAUAUUUAUAUUUUAAAAAGAUUAAAAGAUAAACAUGAUAUAUCAUGUUGUAAUUGUACAGACCUUCCGGAUAUGUAAAUUUAGGGUGCGUUUGUUUCAAGUUAUAUUCGUAUAUUCUUAGGAAUAAAAAGAUAGAAAUAUACAUGCUUAUGUUUGUUACAAGAUUAGUAAAUUUUAUUUUCGGAUAUAAAACGUUCUUGGGAAUAGAAAUAUAUUAUCAAAAUAUAGAUUUGUCAUGACCCACCACAAUUUAGUAACAAGAGUCUUCAAACUAAAUCAUGACCGUCGGUGGGUUUUCUUUAGACUUGGAAUUAUAUUACAAAUGUGAAAGUGAGACCAAUAAUUGAAUUGCUUUAUAUCAACAAUGAUGACUAGCUAGCUGUAAAGAUUGUCAAUAAUGGAAACAUCACUUUAUACUACAGUGUUGAACAAGAUACAAACAAAAUAUUGAAAUUCUUGUUCUCAUCGUGGGUUAUUGUUUAGAUGUGUCUAGAAAGCGACCUGAAUCUUGCUUGCAACUCAAUGCAGUCGAUCAGAUCAGUCCAAGCUUUCAUAGUUGAGGUUUUCAGUUUCCAUAAUCCACUCACCCAUUAACAAAAAAGAUUUAUCCACCACACUUUAGCUAGCUACCACACUUUUAACUCAAGUUUUCUAAAAUUGUUGGAAAGAUUGUCUAGUUGUUGAACCAAAAUUAAGCCUCCAAAGUAUAUUUCUACAGCAGAGUUGCUCAUACGGCUUGAACAUUUGCUGAAAGUGUGCUGGAGUUAAGGUAACCAACAAACAAUCAUGCUUUAACAAUUUUCAGUCGAUAUUUUAAUUAAUUGUUUACAGUGACCAAGUUCUAGAUUUCAUACGAUUAUUACAAGGGUUUAUAAAUCAACUUGAGUUUUAUGCUUUCUAUUAUCUUUUAGACAAACUCUAAAACAAAACUCUAACACUUAUAUUAAUAUUUAACCAUCGUAAACAAAAAAAUAAUUCAAUAAACCAAAGUAUUCAAAAUUGUCUUUAAUGAGAAUCUUUUACAAAUGAAUUGUUUGCACUAUCUUUAAAGAUUCUUGUGAUUCUAGGUACUGCAGACCGGAGAAGGAUGAGGAAGAUUGUUCAUGAGACUUGAGUAUGCGUUGAAUGUGCCGAAAAUACUGUGUUGGAAAGAUCAGGUAAAUAUCAAUUUCAUUUUGCUUCAUCAUUCAUUCAAAUAUAAAGUAGGUUUUCUGAAAUUGUUGGAAAGAUUGUCUAGUUGUUGAACCAAAGUAUAUUUCUACAGCAGAGUUUCAAUGAACGCUUGAACAUUUGCUGAAAGUGCUGGAGAUAAGGUAACCAACAAACAAUCAUACUUUAACAAUUUUCAGUCUAUUUUAAUUAAUUGUUUACAAAGGUUUAUAAAUCAACUAGAGAAACCAACUCGAGUUGAUAAGGUAGAAUCAAACAUAGUCUAUAAGGAAUUUUUUGCAGUGAAUAUUACUCCUAAUUCUCUAAAUUCUAGCUGCUGCCUGCUGUCGAGAAAGAAAAAUAUUGUUAAAAAGUACGUCCUUACAACAGUAACACAAUUGAGGUAGAAAAUAAUCUCAUGGUUGUUUUUCUUUUAUCACUUCCUCAGAUUUUCUAUUUGUAUAUGAUUUCCAAUUUUGGUCUUCACUCUACUUUUCUACAUGGUCCUUUUUUCAUGACUUGUUUAUCAUUUUCAAAGAUAAAUUGGGUAUUCAGAGAUUGGCUUAAAGGAUCUUAAACUUUAAUAUUGGAUGAACUCCCAUUUGAACUUUCUCAAAUAUUUGUUUGAACAAGCUAAGAAAAUUCUUUGAUGAAAAGUGUGUCAUCAACUAUCAUUUUUCAAAUUAACAGACCCUGAAUGAAGAAAAUCUUCUUACAAUAAAAGAACAUGAAUGAUAUGCUAUGAGAAUGAGAUUCAUUAUCAACCAUUGUAUUUUUCAACAUACACAAACAUAUGUCUAACUUUGAUGUAUUGAAAUUCAUUUAGAUGGCGAGUUUUCUAACUGAUUUGGCGAAGACCUAUGUGGAGAAAUUGAUAAAUGGGGUGAUCGCAGAGUCAAGUUAUAUAUGUUGCUUCACGUGCAUUGCUAAUGAUUUUGAAGAAGAAAGAUCUAGAUUGGAAACAGAAAACACAACUGUCAAGCAACGUGUUGAUGUGGCAACCAGUAGAGGAGAAGUUAUUCAAGCUAAUGCUCUUUUUUGGGAAAAAGAAGCUGAUGAGCUCAUUCAAGAAGACACCAAAACAAAACAAAAAUGUCUUUUUGGAUUUUGUCCUCAUAUCAUAUGGCGAUAUAAAAAGGGAAAGGAACUGACAAAUAAGAAGGAGCAAAUUAAAAGAUUGAUUGAAAAUGGAAAGGAUCUUGUAAUUGGACUCCCUGCUCCUCUUCCAGAUGUUGAACGUUAUUCAUCCAGAGACUAUAUUUCUUUUGAAAGUAGAAAAUCCAAAUACAAAGAGCUUUUUGAUGCUCUGAAAGAUGACAACAGUUAUAUAACCGGGUUGCAAGGGAUGGGGGGCACAGGAAAAACUACAUUGGCCAAAAAAGUGGGGAAGGAACUUAAGCAAUGCAAACAAUUUACUAACGUCAUCGAUACAACAGUGUCAUUGUCUCCUGAUAUCAGAAAGAUUCAAGAUGAUAUCGCUGGACCCUUGGGAUUGAAAUUUGACGACUGUAGUGAAUCAGACCGACCCAAAAAACUAUGGAGCAGAUUAACCAAUGAAGGUAAGAUUGAUCAGAACGAGGAAAAGAAGAUUCUUCUAAUAUUUGAUGAUGUGUGGGAUGAUAUCGAUUUUGAUAAAAUAGGGAUUCCUGACAAUCACAAAGACUGUAGAAUUCUUGUAACCACACGCAGUCUCUCUGUCUGCCACAGAUUAGGAUGCAAUAAGAAAAUCCAACUGGAGGUCUUAUCUGAUGAAGAAGCAUGGACCAUGUUCCAAACGCAUGCUGGUCUAAAAGAAAUGUCACCUACAAGUUUGCUCGACAAGGGCCGUAAAAUUGCAAAUGAAUGCAAAGGAUUACCAGUUGCAAUUGCUGUUAUCGCCAGUAGUUUGAAGGGCAUACAAAAUCCGAAAGUGUGGGAUGGGGCCUUAAAAUCCUUGCAGAAACCCAUGCCCGGUGAUGAGGAAGUUGUUAAAAUUUAUAAAUGCUUGGAUGUUAGCUAUGAUAAUAUGAAGAAUGAGAAUGCCAUGAGACUAUUCCUCUUGUGUUCUGUAUUUCGAGAAGAUGAAAAAAUUUCUAUCGAAAGGUUAACCAGACUUGGCAUCGGAGGAGGCCUUUUUGGGGACGAUUUUGACAGCUAUGAUGAUGCUCGAAACCAAGUUGUUAUAUCCACAACUAAACUCGUAGAAUUUUCUUUAUUGUUGGAGGCCGAUCGAGAUCAAAGCAUCCUGAUAAUGCAUGACUUGGUUCGUGAUGCAGCCCAAUGGACGAGCAGAGAGUUUCAAAGAGUAAAGUUAUAUCAUAAAUAUCAAAAAGCAAGUGUUGAAAAGAAGAUGAAUAUUAAAUAUUUGUUAUGUGAAGGCAAGCCUAAGGAUGUGUUUUCAUUUAAGCUUGAUGGUUCCAAGCUUGAGAUUCUAAUUGUCAUUAUGCAUAAGGAUGAAGAUUGUCAGAAUGUGAAAAUCGAAGUCCCGAACUCAUUUUUUGAAAAUAUUACGGGCCUUCGAGUUUUUCAUCUAAUAUAUGACCAGUAUCCUACUAUACCUCUAUCAUUACCUCACUCAGUUCAAUCGAUGAAAAAUAUUCGAUCUCUUCUCUUUGAGCGUGUCAAUUUGGGUGACAUCUCUAUUUUGGGAAACCUGCAAAGCCUUGAGACUCUUGAUUUGGAUGAUUGUAAAAUUGAUGAAUUGCCUCAUGGAAUUGCAAAACUAGAGAAAUUUCGAUUGUUGAAAUUGGAAAGUUGUGAAAUUGCAAGGAAUAAUCCUUUUGAAGUGAUUGAAGGAUGCUCAUCACUUGAAGAGUUGUAUUUCACAGAUAGCUUUAAUGAUUGUUGCAAAGAAAUAACUUUCCCUAAACUACGAAGGUUUAAUAUUGAUGAAUAUUCGAGUUCAGAGGACGAAUCAUCAUCAAAGUGUGUGUCUAUUGUAUUCGAAGAUAAGUUUUUCCUAACUGAAACAACACUCAAGUAUUGCAUGCAAGAAGCAGAGGUUCUUAGACUAAGAAGAAUCGAGGGGGAAUGGAAAAACAUCAUACCUGAGAUUGUUCCCAUGGAUCAAGGUAUGAAUGAUAUAGUUGAGCUUCGUUUGGGAUCCAUUUCACAAUUACAGUGCCUCAUUGAUACUAAGCACACUGAAUCUCAAGUGUCAAAAGUCUUCUCCAAGUUGGUUGUACUAAAACUUUGGAACCAACAUAAUUUGGAAGAAUUGUUCAAUGGUCCUCUUUCCUUUGACUCUCUGAACUUUUUAGAGAAGUUGUCCAUCCAAGAUUGUAAACAUUUGAAAAGCUUAUUUAAGUGCAAACUAAACCUAUUCAAUCUAAAGAGAUUGUCAUUGAAAGGAUGCCCGAUGUUGAUCUCCCUAUUUCAACUGUCAACUGUUGUUAGCCUAGUGUUGUUGGAGAGAUUGAAAAUAAAGGAUUGUGAGGGUCUUGAAAACAUAAUAAUAGGUGAAAGAAAAGGGAAGGAAUCAAGAGGUGAAAUUAUUAAUGAUAAUGAAAGCACAAGUCAAGGCUCAAUAUUUCAGAAACUGGAGGUUCUUAGUAUUGAGAAAUGUCCGGCACUUGAAUUUGUACUUCCGUUUCUCUAUGCUCAUGAUUUUCCAGCACUAGAAUCCAUCACAAUUGAAAGUUGUGAUAAUCUGAAAUACAUAUUUGGCAAAGAUGUCCAGCUUGGUUCCCUCAAAACAAUGGAGCUUCAUGACAUACCAAAUUUCAUCGACAUUUUCCCAAAAUGUAAUCGUACCAUGACUUCAUCCAUUAAGAGGUCAUCUUCCAUUUCUGGAGAUGCUUCCAAGCCACAAGAACAAUCAGAGCCAAUCAAAUGCAAUAUGUUUUCAUGGACUGAUAUAUAUUGUUGUGGUAAAAUAUAUGGGCACAGAUUAAGGAGUACCACAUUGGUUUCUAAGGAUCAACCGCAGGACAAUUUAAUGGUAACCCUCUUACCUUCUAUUUCUUCUGUGAUGUUAUUUUUUGUAAUUUUUUUAAUACGAUACUAUUGAUCUCUGAAGCAUGGGUACAUUUAAAACGGGGGUACGCGUACGGUGCUUAUGGUACUUCAUUUUAGUUCAUUAUUCUAUUGUGAUUUUUUUUUUUUGAGGUAUUAUUCUAUUGUGAUUGAAAAUUGUGACUUUCUCUUAUUUAUUAAUAUGAUAAUAUAGUAUUAUAUUUGCAUAGGAGUUUUUUGUGGUUGUAAACAGCUAAAUUUUCUUACUAUUUAAACUUUUUAUUGUGAUGUUUUUAUAAUAAAUUGAAGAAUUUAGCCCUCUCAUGUUAUAUUAUAUAGCAAAACUCAUGAUUUUAUUGACGUACCCGUUCUUUAGUUUUUUUAAAAAUAAACAUCUUCUUGUACCAGUACCCGUAUCAUAUUUGUACUCAUACCUAUGCAACAUAGUUAUUGAUACAAUUUAUUUUUUGGAAAAAAAAAACUAUUUUUAAAUUCAUUUUAUUAGACAUCGUAUGCUUGAAGAUUACUAUUAAUGUACAGUUUUUAUUUGGGUAGAAAUAAGAGAUAUUUAACUUCUAUUUUUAUUUGGAUGACAUGAUUGCAGAAAUCAACAUUUCCACCUUUGAAAGAACUUGAACUCAAUAACUGCGGGGACGGUAAAAUCAUCAAGGUAUCUCUAUUUUGUAUAUCUUUGUUAUUUGUGAAUCUAAACUUCAUAAUUUUAAGUCAUCAUAUAUUUUUAAAUGAUUUUUUUUUUUUUUAUAAAAAGUUCCCCCACAUAAAUUUCUCUAUUUUUGUUACUUAUUAUAUUUUGAUGUUUAAAAAGUUUAUAUUUCAUUCAUCUUAUGCUAAACAAAAAUUGUGGAGCAACAUUGAAUAAUGUUCAAACCAUGCCUGUAAUUAGGAUUUUAAAAGACAAUUUUUGUAUAAAAAAAGUCUUGUGGAUUUUAAAAGACUUUGAAAAAUCAAUCCUUUAUAUGCUUGGUAACAUAUAGUGAUGAAAUUCAAAAAGAAAUUCAAUUUUGAUUGCAAUGUUUUUUGAAGCAUGACAGACAUUGUGAUGAUAGUUUGAUACUGUAUUUCAUUCCAUAAAUAAUUGGCAUGGAUGAGAAAGUAUUAUAAAAAUGUCAGGAAGUUAUUGUGUGGGAGUUUGGCUAUCACAUUUUAUGGUAUAACAGACUGUGAAAAUGGAAGGGAUGAAGCUACAUAAAAAACAUAUUUGAUAGAAGGACAUGAGAGAAAGGGGAAGGAGAUAAGGGAGAUGUAAAAACAAAAAAGAAAUAAAAAAAUGAGAAUCCAUAGAAAUCUCAUGAUGUUGGUAAAGACUUUUUAAAGCUAAAAAAUCCCUAAAAUUAAAAGUCCAUCAAAAUCCAUAGAAAUCCCAUUUUUUUAACAAUCCAUCGAAAUCAGAAUUUUUUUUAAUACCACAAGACUUUUUGAAAGUUGUAAAAAGUUUUGAUUGAAUAUCACAAGAUUUCUAGACUUUGUUUUAAAAGUCUAGAAAAUCCUAAUCGAAUACCACUAAACUUUUUUAAUUUAAACAAAAGUCUUGAUUGAAUACCCCAUGACUUUUUCAUCAUAAAAAAGUCUUUUAAAAUCCUUCCAAAUCCCAAUUGAAUACACCCCAUAAAAAAAUUAAAAUUCAAAGGAUAAUUAAACAUGUUUGGUUUCAUCAUAAACUGUCAAUGAUAGAAAAUAAUUAUUUUUUCUUCAAAAAACAAUCAAUUUAAUUAUUAUAAUUAAAUUUUAUUUCAUCGACGCUUGUGGUAAAUAAGAUUUAAUUAUUAUAAUUGUCAAUGAUAGAAAAUAAUUAUUUUUUCUUCAAAAAACAAUUAAUUUAAUUAUUAUAAGUAAAUUUUAUUUCAUCGACGCUUUUGGUAAAUAAGAUUUAAUUAUUAUAAUUGUCAAUGAUAGAAAAUAAUUAUUUUUUCUUCAAAAAACAAUCAAUUUAAUAUUUGGUGUACUGGUACACUCAAAAUGUUGGAUGUACCAUAGAAUUUGCCAAAUUUUAAACUUCUAUACUUUAAUUUAAUGAAAUGACAAGGAAGAAAAUAAAAGCUAACAAUAGUUAUCUAUAAAAUUUGAGUUCUAUAUGAAGUUUUCAGAAGUCAAAGUUAUCCAUAAUUGACACUAAACUAAUUAGAAUAUCAAUAUUUUUUUAAGAGCAUCUCUCUUUGAACCAAACAAAAUUGUUUGGCGUAAUCAAACAAUAUAUUAAUGAACUAGCUACUUGUAAAAACUAUGUUAAUUAUUCAAGAUAUGUUUUUCUUUUGAGGUGGCCAAUGAUACCCAUUGUUAUGAAGCCCUUCGUCCUUGUCUACAACUUAUAUGAAAAUGUGAAUGUGGGGGUUGAUUCAAUGGAGGAAGGGUAGCAGAUUGAAAAACAAAAAGGUUGGAGUGUUGAAAAUUAAAUAACAAUAUUAAUUUAAUUAAAUACUGUAGUGCUUUCUUUUUGUUACAUUAUAUUGUAAUAAUUUAUUCCAGAGCCUUUUAUCAUCUCUAUUGUACUUAUAUGACUUUGUUAUUCUUAUUUUAUGCAUUGUGUUUAUUUCCCAUUCAUUUAUUACAGGAAUUGAGUGGGAAUGUGGAUAAUUUUCUCGCUUUGGAGAGACUCAUGGUAACGAAUAACUCCAAAGUAGAAAGUAUCUUUUGUCUGAAUGAAAUAAAUGAACAGCAAAUGAACUUAGCUUUGGAAGACAUUGAUUUGGAUGUUCUGCCUAUGAUGACAUGCCUUUUUGUGGGUCCCAACAAUUCGUUCUCCCUCCAAAACCUUACAAGAAUAAAAAUCAAGGGAUGUGAAAAGUUGAAAAUUGUUUUCACCACUUCUGUAAUAAGGUGUCUACCACAGUUGUAUUAUAUGAGAAUUGAAGAGUGCAAUGAGUUGAAGCAUAUUAUUGAAGAUGAUUUGGAGAAUACAACAAAGACAUGCUUCCCAAAUCUAAAAAGAAUUGUUGUAAUAAAGUGCAACAAGUUGAAAUAUGUCUUUUCAAUUUCCAUAUAUAAAGACCUUCCUGCGCUAUAUCAUAUGAGAAUUGAAGAAUGCAAUGAGUUGAGGCAUAUUAUUGAAGAUGAUUUGGAGAAUAAAAAAUCCUCAAAUUUUAUGUCCACAACAAAGACAUGCUUCCCAAAGCUAAGAAUACUUGUUGUGGAAAAGUGCAACAAGUUGAAAUAUGUGUUUCCAAUCUCCAUAUCUAAAGAGCUUCCUGAGCUAAAGGUUCUGAUCAUAAGAGAAGCAGAUGAGUUAGAGGAAAUAUUUGUAAGUGAAUUUGAUGAUCACAAAGUGGAGAUUCCAAAUCUAAAACUUGUAAUAUUUGAAAAUCUACCAAGCCUCUAUCAUGCUCAGGGAAUUCAAUUUCAAGUUGUAAAACAUCGUUUCAUACUGAAUUGUCAAAAACUAUCUCUGGCUUCAGAGUCAACACCAGACUUCGAAAAUGAUAUUUCUGCUUCAGAUUUUGGCUACGGUACAGACUCUAUCCAAUAUAUUUUUAAAAACUAUUACAUGUUGGCCGUAAAUAAUUACAUAUCAUGCAUUAGUAUUGUUAAAGGAUAAAAACAAUUGAAUCUUCAAAAGUAGCGAUAUCACGUAUGCAUGCAUAAGUAGUGACCUAUCGAAUAGGAGCUUUAAUUUUAUGUAAAAUUUAAUUAUUAUGUAGAUAGAUAACCAAUAUUGUGCAUGUUUAAACUUAAAAAUGAUGAUAUACAAUUGAAAGCGGAAGUUUUUAUUUUUAUUUUAUUUUUUGUGGUGUCUAGGGUUUGAACCUUGAACCUUGCAUAUUUUAUACAUUAUUCUUACCAACUGAGCUAAGCUCAGAAGGAUGUUAAUCACUAUUAUGCUUGAGUUACUAUAUAAGGAUGUUAAUCUCUAUUAUACUUUGCCUGUAGAUUUUGAAUUGUUUGACUAUUGGAAGACUCUGUUUCAACAAUUACAAAGAGAGACCAAAGGCCACGAUAGUGGUAAUGAAAAUCCUAGUCCACAAACCACGAAAGAUUUUGUGGUUGGGAUUGAAGUUCAAACAGCAUCGGAACACAAGUUGACUUCUCCACAGGUAAAUACUAAUAAAUAGUUUGAGGUUAGGAUUGAAGUCCAGAAAUCCUGUGCUUACCACUUCUGAAUCCAAUCACCAUGACAAUAUAUUUGAAUCAAGGAUGCUAUUCUUUUGUGCAGAUAAAAAUGAAAGAAACACCACAGACGGAGAAUGAACUUAUUGAAAAUGCUCCUGAUUUAGAAAUACCAACAAACUUAAAAGUGAUUUCUAGUCCAUGUUUGAAUUGAGUUAGAUAUUUAAUUGAUGCAAUUAAUAGCUGAAGAUCAUUAAUGCCUAUGUUCUUGUUACAGGAGUUGAUGAAUGAACGAUCAAUGGACCAACAACGUUCACUUGGAGAAACUGAUACUGCCGUCAAACCUUCUCAGGUAAAUCAUGUAAUAUCGUACCACCGCAUUGUGCAUAUAAAGCUAAACAAAAGGCAUUUCCCUCAUUUUGCUAGUAUUCUUUUGAACACUUUGUCAAUGCAGGAAUUGAAUUAUACUACAAUCUUAAACAUCCAUUUAAUUUUAAGCAGGGUAUCGAAAUAAGUGCUGAAGAAGGAACCACGUCAGCUAAUGCCAAGACAAUAACAACAUCAUUAGGUCCAUUAUCUACUUCUAAGCAUAAAACAUCUUCACAGGUGAGUUUAUUAUAUAUAACAAAGCCUUCAAAUUAACAUAGUCUUCUGUUUGUAGGUAUUGCUGUCAUAUUUUUCUUUUUGUUAUUAUUUAAUUGCAAUGGAAUUGGAUUUGUAAGAAUCAAGCUUUAAACUAAUUUUGAUAUAUAAAGAGGAAAAAAAAUUGGAAUCUACAGCUUUUAAAUUUUGGAAAAGUUAUGUUGCUGUCAUAUUUUGGAAAACUAAUUUUGAUAUAUCAAAAUGAUUUGUCCACUUGAGAAACAUGAGGGAAAACUAACAGACGCAAUCCAUUCCAUUCCCUACUCUCUCGUUCCGAACCUUUCGUCCUUUUUAGUUUGGCUACAGAUAUUAAGAAAGUACAAAAUUAGACAGGUUUAGUCCAUUGUGUCUUGCUUUCCUAAUAGAACCAAAGUUUUGGGACAAAAAUAAAAAGCUGAAAGAACCAAAGAUCAAGAACCGGCGGAGUAAUAUGUAUUGAGGCUAAUCCUAAAAAACAUAUCAAGACUUCAUGAUGAUAUCAUUUGUAUGUUUGAACUUGAAUUUUUGUAGGAAUAUGGUGGCGGCGAAAUGGCCAUAUCUUCUCCAAUUUCCAUAACAAGGCCUCUUACCACUCAAGAAGUUCAUGUUAAUAACUUGCAGGAAACUAGUAACACUAAUGAUGAUCAAGGUGAAGAGUCUUAGGAUCAAUUUUAUUUUCUUAAGUUAUCUCAUCACCCUUUUCAUUUUGAAGUUUAAAUCUCUUCUCUCACACCUUUUGUUCAGUUUCUCUAAAUGAGGAUGCUGUCGUAAAAGUAACCUCAAUUGUUGAGGAACAAUUUUCUAAGGAUGUUGAAUUUGAAGUUCUAGAAUCGAAGCCUGCCCUUAUCAUUCCUUCGCCUCAAGCAUUUCAAUCUCCUUCGAUGCUAUCCGGAGGUAUAGAUUUUCUCCCUUCAUUUUAUUUUUAAGAACAUUAUUUGGUACUCGGAGAGGACUAAUUAUCAUUUUCUAUACUUUCAGGGGACCCUUCUCAACUAGAUGAAGAAUUAGUAAGUUCAUCAUCAGGUCCAUUGUUUCAUUAAUAAUUGCCAUUCGAUAGGUUUCCUAUGAAACAAGAUUUAAACUAAUUCUUAUAUAAAGAUUUUUUUUUUAAGUCUAUUGCUUCCGAAUCUUACAUUCAAACUUAAGGGAAUUGUUGCUCAAUAUUUGUAGAUGCUUAACACUGAAAUUCUUGUUUUCUAUUUUUAAUUUUAUCUGUAGUGGAAUCAGACUCUUGCAAAAUAUAAUAUAUGGUGUAAAAUAUAGUGAGGUUGAUCCAUUAUAAGAUAUGAUAUAUCAUUUAGUGAUUUAAAUCUGUGUAGGAAGAUCUUGAACCCCGGGGUUUGCAUAUUUUACGCAUUGUCCGUACCAACUGAGCUAAGCUUACGAGGACAUUCUAUUUAUUCAAGUUAACCACAUAUGAAUACAAUCAUCAAUGCAAUGUAUUUGAAUCAAACAUUUAUUUUUGAUGCAGGAAGAAAUGGAACAAACACUAGAGACAAAGCAUGAAUUUGUUGAAAAUGUUCCUCAACAAGAGAUGCCAUCAGUAGCAAUAAUACCAACAAAUUCAAAAGUAAUUUGAAGGCCAUGUGAAAAUCACUUGGAUAUUCCUCUCCAAAUAUAUACAUAUUCAAUAUUAGUCUAGUAAUGAAAUAAUUCAUAUGUUCUUACUACAGGAGUUGAUGAAUGAACAAGAAAUGGAGCAAAAACGUCUACGUGGAGAAAUUGAUGCUACCGUCAAACCUUCUCAAGAAAAUAAUGUAAUAUAGUACCACCUCAUUGUGCAUAUAAAUCUAAAAAAGAAACGUUAAAAAUAUGUUGCAACUAAUUUACAUUUUCAUGUUAUGCAAUCAGUUGGAAGCAUCAACUUUGUCGACCAUUUUCUUGUAUUCUUUUUCACACUUUGUCAGUACAGAAAUUGAAUUAUACUACAAUAUUGACAGGUUAGCGAAAUAAGUGUUGAAGAAGGAACUACAUCAGCUAAUGCCAAGACAAAAACAUCUUCACAGGUCUUCUUCUUACAAGUAUUAUUGUUCAUUUUUUAUAUAUUUCAUUGCGUUGGGAGCCUACUGCUUUUGACAUUUUGAUUCUUUUGUUUUAUAUUUUUUUCUAUAAUGAAGUAAGCCUAUUUCAGACGAAAAUAUCUAUAGCGUGGCUGAUCCUAUAAAUAUUAAGAAUUCAUAAUGAUAUCAUUCUUUUAUUUGAAUUUUGUAGGAAGAAGGUGACAACCAAAGAGCAAUAGCUUAUACUCCAAUUGACAUAACAAAGCCUGUAACCACUCAAGAUGUUGAUGUUGAAAUCUGGCAGGAAACUAGUAACACUAAUGAUGAUCAAGGUGAAGAAUCUUUGGAUCGCUUUUAUUUUCUUAAGUUACCUCAUCGCCCUUUUUAUUUUGAAGUUUAGCUCUCUUGUUUCCCAUCUUUUGUCAGUUUCUCUAAAUGAUGAUAAUGUCAUGAAAGCAAGCUCAAAUACUGAGGAUCAGUUUUCAAAGGAUGAUAACAUAUUAGUUUCCAAAUCAAGACCCUCUUCUAUUGCAUCUCAGUUUCCUUCAAAGCCUUCUGAAGGUAUUUUAUUUCUUUGUUUUAUUUUUAAUUAAUUUACUUGUGCUUAAAUAUGCAUAAUUAUUCUUUCCUAUACUUUCAGGGGACCCUUCUCAAAUAGAUGAAGAUUUAAGUUCUUCUUUUGUUGUCACCGGGGAGCUUGAGAAUCUAGUCUCCAAUAAUCAUUUGGCUAUUGAGAAAUUGUCUUUGUUGACUGACUUCCUUGUUAAGCAUCCUUCAGUUCUUCUAAGGGACACUUCAUUGAGUAGCAGAUACAAGGGUUAUGCCUACAACAGCCUAGCAGAGCUAUUGAAAUUCCUUCAAACUCAUAGUGUGUUGGAUGUGUUAGGUUCAAGCAACUCUGAAUUUGUUGAGUUAUUACAAGAUGUGCGUAGAUUUCCGUUUGAUAAGGAGUGGUUGGAUGAUGUUGAAAUGCGCGCUUUGUUUCCUGAUUUACAAUUCUCUCAAAAUGCAUUGCAAAAACUAUUGGAUUCCGAGCAGCGUGUCACGAAAGAAGUUGAAGAGAUGCGUUUAAAGAUAAACAUUUUUAAUCAACAUCUUGAAGAUCUUAAGCAUCAAUUGACAUCCUCUGAAGCUGAUUUGGAGACUAUCAUUCAACAGAAAGCAAAAAUUUUAGAAACUAAGGCUGCUUUAAGUGCCCCUCUCGGCUAUUAAACUAUCGUUUGUUCUUGGAUUGGAGCUUUUUAUCAUUAAAUAUUGUUUAUUUCUUUGCUAUUUUCUGCUUUUCUCAUUUGAAAUGAGCUACUAUGCGUAUUUUUAAAUUGUUAUCGAUUAUUAUUGUUGUAUCAAACAAAGGAAACACCAAAUUAAGAAUAUUGGAAUCGCAUAAUGUUGAAGUGGAGCUAUGAUUCUUAAUUACAACAACCAUUAAUAUACUUACAACAAGCUACCAUAACUUUUGUUUACAUUGCGUUGUUGCUAUAAGAUAUAUCUGUUUCUAAAUUGUCACAACUACUCUGUAAUUAAAUCACCUCUGUUCGAACCCUGAGAAUGUAGGGCUUGAAACGUAACAAGGGAGAGCUUUAUCGUUAAUAUGUAGUCAUAUUCGAUUAAAGGAUUGCAAUACUCACUUUAUAUACCCAAAAAAAUAACCUCCAGUUUUAUCCAUCAUCUUUUAUUUUAUGAAAUUAUCUACCAUCUUUCUCUUAUAGUGAUCCCAUGUCAAAUUAAUAAAAUCUAGUCUGUAUGGACCUUCAUGACCGUCCGUGGCUAUAAUCUAAGAUGUGGGUCUUUGGCCUCUGCUCCCAGAAUAUGUGAUUUGGUUGUCAGAUCUCUAACAACAAACCUAAAUGUCGACUCAUCGUAUGCACACUCCAUCAACCGAAAUGCUGAAAAUGUCCCCUGAUCUUAAAAGAGGCACACAUGUUGAAAUAUAACAUUUGAACAAUCGUACUCCUCCAUCUACAGGCUCACAUCCAUUGCAACAUGUCUCCUCAAUGUUAUUACCACCCAAUAUGGAUGUAUUAGUGGUAUUUUUCUGCAUUUUAUCGCAAGAAACUUUGCAGCGUAGCCUAGUAAUAUGUUAGUGUGUAGCCUCUAAAGAUUGGAUAGAUUGUUCAGAUUUUUCAUCUCAGAACUUUUGAAAGGGCUAAGAAUAAAGUUGUCUGUUGUAUGUGAUUAGCUUGGAGCUAUUCUUGGAAAAGGGGAAAAGAAAGCAUUGUAUACAGCAAUUGAUGCACUUGGUACACCAGAAAAUUUGGAGAGGCUUUAUUUAGAGGUUCAAGCACCAAAUACCAAUCCAUCAUGCAAUUGUAUCUACAUGAACAUGAUCAUCCAGUAACUCAUAGGGACCUCAAGUGUGAUAUAACAUACUUGUCAAUGGACAUCUUGGACAAGCAAAAAUUGGUGACUUGGGAUUUCCAUACAUAAACAAUUUUUAACUUUUAAUGUUCAAGGUAUGCUACCAGCAACACUUUUCUGAUUUGAAGAUGCAAAAGCAUUGGAGUUUAUUGGAAAAUGCCUAGUGAAUUAUAUGUUUUAUUCUAAUAUAUUUCCACUUUGUUAAAAAUAACCAAGUUGACUUUGAAAUUUCACAAGAAUCUCUGAAUCUCUCUCUUUGAGGUUUCACAAUUUUACUGUUUUGAGCCGCCAGGAAUCAAUCAAUUGGUUGGUAGGUUAGAUUCCAAAUUCAUAUGAAAAGCAAAGUGUGAAGAAGCAUAAACCAGUUAUUAUAGUAUUAGUGAAUUACUUUGUGAAUCAACGUCCCUAUAAUAUGACAUACUAUCUAACUGAUGGUAUCUAACCUUCUUAUCCAACUUUCGUCAAAUCAAUUAGAUUUCCUCAAAGUGAAUCCGAUAAGUUAUUUGCAAAACAUCAGGAGAGCUGUCGGAAGGACAUCGAACGUGCUUUUGGAGUGCUUCAAGCUCGAUUUAAAAUCAUCCGUGAACCAGCUCGCUUGUGGGACAUAGCCGAUUUGGGUAUCAUCAUGAGGUCAUGCAUCAUAUUACAUAAUAUGAUUGUUGAGGAUGAACGAGAUACAUAGGUUCAACGUUGGACCGAUUUUGAGCAACCUGAGGGAAGUGGAUCUAGUACACCGCAACCAUACUCGACCGAGGUGUUACCAUCUUUUGCAAAUCAUGUGCGUGCUAGAUCCGAGUUGCGUGAUUCAAAUGUUCAUCACGAAUUGCAAGCAGAUCUAGUGAAGCACAUAUGGACAAAGUUUGGAAUGUAUAGUGAUUGAAGAUGAUUUGUAUUGUACUAAAUAAAUUCCUUGUGUGUUGUAUGUUUAGUUUAUUAUCUUGCAUUUUAAGUUAUUUGUGUGUCACGUGUUUAGUUUGUUGUCUUGCAUUUUAAGUUAUUUGUGUGUCUCAUUUUAAGUUAAGAAAAUAAAAAUAAAUUAUUUUAUAAAAUUUUGUUUUUCCAAAAAAACUAAAAAAUAAAUAGUUAAUUGUAUUAUUUUAAUUUAAUUAUAAUCGAUAAUUUUAGGGCUAAACUACACUUUUCGCCCCCUAUGUUUCAAAAUGUUGCAAUUUUGGCCCCCUAUUAAAAAAAAUGGCAAUUUUGGCCCCUUUCAUCCAAAAAUUGCUGAGAAGACGCCACGUGUCCCAAAAAAAGGGCCAUAAUCGCAACUUUUUGUAAAGAUAAGAGGUCAAAAAGCAUAUUUCCCUUAUGUUAGGAGGUCAAAAGAGCAUAUUUCCCUAAACAUAUGGGGCAAAAGGUGUAGUUUAGCCUAAUUUUAGGUAAUUAUAAAAACAAAAAUAUAAAAUUAAAUAAAAAUAAGAAAUAAAAGGUGGUGGGGUAGAGUGUUGACUGAAAAAACCAUUGGAGAGGCAAAAAAAUUGAAUGAGUGUUGAAUUAUGAGAGAGAAAAUUAUGUAGAGUGUUAGAAAUUGAAAAAGUGGGUGUUGAAGGGUAUUGAAAUUUUUUUACCAUUGAGAAUGGUCUUACUUAAAACCAAAUCGUGACCAUUGGUUGGUUUAGUUCUUGUGUAAUCAAUCAAUAACUGAAGCUUUAAAUCAACGACAAGACUUGACUAGCUAGCUAGCUGUGAGCCUGUGAAGUCUCUGAAUAAUUUAAUUGAACAUUUACUUUAUACGUUGGACCAUAAGUUUGUUAUCAGAACUACAAUAUCAAAUUAUUCACUUAAUGCUGAUUGCAGAAACAGCUCUGCUAAUUUAAUGCUAGCUACUGUCCAGUUGUUGAGAACAGAGAAUUGAUACAAUUGCAGCACAUCUUCCGCCUAUGGUAAUUUCUCUUUUAUCUUCUCCUUCUUACAUGCAAACAUAAUAAUAACUACCACUUUAUUAUUGCAUAUUUGCAUUUAUGAAAAGUUAUAACAAUCUCAGUAUGUUUUCUAAAAUUAUUGGAAAGACUGUCUAGUUGUUGAACCAUAAUUAUAUUUCUACAACAGAGUUGUUGCAGUAAACACUACCUCGCUACUGCAUAUUGGAGAAUGAUCUUCAACAUUUGCUGAAACUGCUGGAACUAAGGUAAUCAUACUUUUAACAAUUUUAAUUAAUUUCUUAAGUUUUAUAAAUCAACUUGAGUUUUAUGCUUUUGUAUUAUUUUUUAGAGAACACCAACUUGAAUGGAUAAGGAUUGAAUCAAUCAAACAUAGUCUAUCUGUAAUAAAUUUUCUGUUCAAGCCAUGUUAUCUUUUCUUUUCAAACUAAGAGCUUAAAACCUGAAGCCUGCUUCCAAGUCAAAAUCCUCAAAAAUGUCCUCUAAUUUCAAGCAUUGAAAAAAGGGGAAAUAACAGUGGAUUGAUACAUACUGACGUAAGUUACAAAAACUUCAAUAUUUUAGAAAGCUACUACAUUGAUUAAAUAAAAGUUCGAUAUCCACUAUGAAACACUAACAGGAGAGGAGAGCCUUACCAUUUUGUAAAUGAUAUGAAAGGAUUAUUUAAUAAGUUGCAACAAUGCAAGGUCCUAUCUUUUAACUACGCACACAAUAUGCCAAAACUAUUUUGUAAAAGUUAUUGACUCUGCAGCUUUUGUUUGCUGCGGAACAUGAAUUACUCCUAAUUCUCUUGAUUGAAUCUUUAAUAUUGGAUGGACUCCCUGUUUCAAAUUACUUUGAUGAAAAAUGUGUCAUCAAGUAUCAUUUUUCAAAUGAACAGACUUCGAACGAAGAAAAUCUUACUACACAAAAAAAUUCUUUGAUGAAAAGUGUGUCAUCUACUAUCAUUUAUCAACCAUUUUAUUUCUCAAUACACAAUACAACACACACACACAAACAUAUAUAUGCCUAACUUUGAUCUAUUGAAAUUUAUUUAGAUGGCGAGUUUUCUGACUGAUUUGGCGAAGCCUUAUGUAGAUAAAUUGAUAAAUGGGGCGAUUGAAGAGUCAAGUUAUAUAUGUUGCUUCACGUGCAUUGCUAAGGAUUUUGAAGAAGAAAGAGCUAGACUAGAAGUAGAAAGGACGAAGAUGUUUAAGUUACUGCUCUUUCUUGGGAAGAAGAAGCCGAUAAGCUUAUUCAAGAAGACACAAGAACAAAACAAAAAUUACCACCACUUCACUUUCUAGAAGUUGUUUUAGGAAAUUCUGACGAUGCCAACAUGGUACUAGGGUUUAUGAGAUCCAAAGGCGCUGCCUUUUACUACCCCCACCGGACCAUGGGUUCCGGUGGUCUUGCCGACUCCUGUUUUCUUCAUCUUUUUGCUUUGCUGAAAGCCUUGGAGAGAGCAAAUGGAUUCGUUGUCAAUAUUGAUGAUCCGGAAUCUGUGCUUAACUUGAUCGCUAUGCUGAGAGACUUCCAAUUUGAUGGUGCUUGGAUUGAUGCUUUGGAAAAAGUUGUGAAAGAGUCCAUUGGUGUGUCAAACACUAAACUAGCAAGUUUGGAAAAGGCCAAGGGUCAAUCGGCCAUGAGGCUUGGACAAGCAACACUGAUUCGUGAUUAUCAUCAAAAACAAAUGGAGUUAGAGCAAGGCAAAAUUCUCUCACUUGACUUGGAGCGUGAAAGGAUCUUGAAGUUUAGGCAGGAACUUAACAAUGUUCGUAUGAUUUAGGUUGGGAAUUUGUUUUUUAGCACCUUUUUCAAGAUCCUGCCUAAACUUCAAGAUCCUUUCACGCUCCAAGUCAAGUGAGAGAAUUUUGCCUUGCUCUAACUCCAUUUGUUUUUUAUGAUAAUCACGAAUCAGUGUUGCUUGUCCAAGCCUCAUGGCCGAUUGACCCUUGGUCUUUCCUAACUUGCUAGUUUAGCGUUUGACACACCAAUGGACUCUUUCACAACUUUUUCUAAAGCAUCAAUCCAAGCACCACCAAAUUGGAAGUCUCUCAGCAUAGCGAUCAAGUUAAGCACGGAUUCCGGAUCAUCAAUAUUGACAACGAAUCCGUUUGCUCUCUCCAAGGUUUUCAGCAAAGCAAGAAGAUGAAGAAAACAGGAGUCGGCAAGACCACCGGAACCCAUGGUCCGAUGGGGGUAGUAAAAGGCAGCGCCUUUGGAUCUCAUAAACCCUAGUACCAUGUUGGCAUCGUCAAAAUUUCCUAAAACAGCUUCUAGAAAGUGAAGUGGUGGAAGAUUGGUUGCACCAAUCUCGACCACCGUCGCCACGGUGGAGUGGAGAAAACGGAGGACCUCCGUUACGGCGGCGAGCUGGAGGAGUAACCUGAACCCAAACAUCAAAUUUAAAUGAUUCACAUUUCCACAUUUGGAAAAACUUGAACUCAAUAACUGCGGGGACGGUAAAAUCAUCAAGGUAUCCCUAUUUUGUAUAUCUUUGUUAUUCGUGAAUCUAAACUUGAUGAUUUUAAGUCAGCAUAUAUUUUUAAAUGAAUAAUGUUCAAGCCUGCAAAAAACAUUAAAAUUCAAAGGAUGAUUAAACAUGCGGAUUUUUUAAACAAGUAAUUUUAUGUUGGGACAAAAAAGAAAACAUAAUAAUUUUAUGUGAACUAAAAACAUUUAAUUUUUUUAAACAAAUACAUUUUUUUAGAGUGUGUCUACUAAUAUGCACCUCUUAAAAUUGGUUCAAGGGUGGUUUACUAUAUUUAGUAAACAAUGAGAUUUAUAUUAAUAAAAUAUGAAGAACAGAAAAAAUAUUUUAUUAUAAUUUACUAAAAUAAAGAAGGGUCCACCUUUGGAUGGUCCAUAUUAAAUAUUAGAAAAAAUAGCGAGUUCAUCUAUCUGAGAACUCUUAUUUAUAGAGAAGAUGAACUAAGUGGUUGCCACUUAAGUGAAAGAAUAAAAAUGAGAAAUAUAUAAAUAAAAAUAAAGAGAUACAAAGACCAUGCAGACAUUAAACAUAUUCCUGGUACAACCAAGCUGAAAAUAAAUCAUGGAAAUACAAACCAAAUAGAUCAACCUUAAUCAAUCCUAACAAAACAAUCACUCAUUACGAACGCAACUCAGUGAACUCGCGUACGGGUAUGAAAUCAGGUUACAAAAAAAAUGACGAGUAAGCGUCUGUAGGAUCAAACAAGGUUCAUAAUUGACGAAUGGAUUGGCCGCAAACGUGGUAUCAAGAUUCAUGUACCAACAACCAUUGAACAAAGCAAUAGGCAUAAAAGCUCUUUUGAGCAUAACAGUCUGAUCACAAUCAAAAAGACUAAGAUGGAUAAGAAGUCAGUACUAGAGAGUAGCCCGCCCGUCUUCAGUCUUGCAGAUCUCAACAAACGUGGAAUAUCAGAGAAUCAAGCAAGCACAGAAACACCAAAUCAACCGAUUUCAAAGACGUGUUUGAUCUCAGAUCGAGGGAUGAGUUCAAUAUGUUAGUAACCAAACAACCCUUUUGAGUUAAGACAACCAGACCCUUUCGGGUUUGAGAAUCCAAGCCACCGCAAAAAAGGCCAUAUCUAUUGCCACCACCCACUCUCAUAACAGAAACACACGGCAAACACACAAAACAAAAAUGAACAACAACACAGACCAAAACAAACAACAACACAAAGCAAAAAUAAAAAAACGGUGAAACAAGUUGAACUUAGGUUUGCAAUUUUUGUAAUAAAGUGCAACAAGUUGAAAUAUGUAUUUCCAAUCUCCAUAUGUAAAGAGCUUCCUGAGCUAAAUGUUCUGAUGAUAAGAGAAUCAGAUGAGCUAGAGGAAAUAUUUGUAAUUGAAGGUGAUGAUCAGAAAGUGAAGAUUCCAAAUCUAGAAUGUGUAGUAUUUGAAAAUCUACCAAUCCUCAGUCAUGCCCAGAGAAUUCAAUUUCAAGCUGUAAAAAAUCGUUUCAUACGGAAUUGUCAAAAACUCUCUCUGGAAUCAACAAAAAUACAUGCCUUGUCUGCUUCAUAUUUUCGCAACGGUACACACUCUAUCCAAUAUUUUUAAAAACUAUUACAUGUUUGCUGUAAAUUAUUACAUACGAUUUGUUUAAAGGAGCGGUAAGAGGUAUGCAUGCAUAAGUAUUUCUAAAAUGUAAGGGCUCAUGUAGUGACCUAUCUAAUAGAAGCUUUGAUUUUAUGUAAAAUUUAAUUAUUAGGUAGAUUGAUAAACAAUUUUGUGCAUCUUUAAACUUGAAAAUGGUGAUAUACAAUUGAAAGUGGAAGUUUUUAUUUUAUUAUUAUGCUUGAGUUACUAUAUAAUGAUGUUAAUCUCUAUAUUAUUUUGCUGUAGAUCCUGAAUUGUGUAGGUAUUUCAAGACUCUGUUUCGACAACAACUACAAAAAGAGACCAAAGGCAACAAUAGUGGUAAUGAAAAUCCAGAAACCUCUAAAAAAAUUGCCGUUGGGGUUGAAGUUAAAGCAUCAUCAGAACAUGAGCUGACUUCUCCAAAGGUCAAUACCGAUCUAUUGAUUCAAGCUUACCGCACCAGAAUUUAAUCAACGUGACAAUGUAUUUGAUUCAACCAUGCUAUUUUUUGUGCAGAAAAAAAUGAAACGGACACCAGAGACAGAGCAUGAACUUGUGGAAAAUGUUCCCGAUUUAGAAAUACCAACAAAUUCAAAAGUGAUUUCCAGGCCAUGUCAAACUGCGUUAGAAUUUUAAUGGAUGUAAUUAAUAGCUGAAGAUCAUUAUUGCUUCUGUUCUUGUUACAGGAGUUGAUGAAUGAACAAUCGAUGGAACAGCAACGUCUACUUGGAGAACCUGAUACUACCAUCAAACUCUGUUGUCAAUAGCGGCCUAACGCGGCGCGGUCGCGUUGCGCGUUAGGCAAAAGCGGCUGAAAACCGGGUUUUGCGGCCGCUUUUCGUGGAGCGGGAGCGGGUCUAGCGCGGCACGUUUCCGGGUCGAAGCGAAAUUACAGAAUUACCCCUCACUUAAGUGACAUUAGAAAGGUUAAUUUUGUAAUUUUCAAAGCCCUAUUUCUUCACUUCAUUCCAUCGUACAGAGAACAGCCGCUUCUUUUCCUCUUCUCCCAAUUCAAUCGUACAACACUAUUAGGUUUUCACUUCAUCUCUUCACUUCAUUCCAUCAUCUCUUCACUUCAUCUCUCAGCUGCUCAGAUCUUUCACCUCAUCCAUCAUUCCAUAUCUCAGCUGCUCAUAAUUAUUGAAUUCGAAGUUUUAUUUCAUGUUUAGUACUUUUGUUACUUUAAGCUUUAGAGGCUUAAAGUGUUUGCUACCUUGAAUUUUAUUAGUAUUUCUUGCAAGUAUGUUCUUAUGUUUUGCCUAAGACAUGUUUUAUUUCAAAUUAUGAAUUGAGUAAUAUUUAAGUUGUUUUAGUAUUUCUUUUUCAACAUUAUAGUAUUUUAGUAUUAAAUAUAUUAGUGUCCGCGUCAUGUAAUAGCGCCCGCGUCGCGCCCGCAUACCGCACCGCGUCAAUUUUUGGUGUGGCCGCGCCGCGUUUCCGCUUUGACAACAGAGCCGUCAAACCUUCUCAGGUAAAUCAUGUAAUGUCGUAACACCGCGUUGUGCAUAUAAAGCUAAAAAUGAAAUACCGAAAGAAACAUAUUUUAUUUCAAGUGAAUCUUACAAAUAUGCACAACUAACUAAUUUACCUUUCUAUUGUAUACAAUUAGUUGGAGGUGUCUACCAUUUCAGAACCAAAGAAUGUAGCAGAAACGUGUUCCACCAAUUCACCAACAAAGAAUUAGCCACCUAUACAAGUAGUUACUCCUUGCUAGUAUUCUUUUUGACACUUUGUCUAUGCAGGAAUUGACUUAUACUACAAUCUUAAACAUCUUUUUAAUUUUAAGCAGGUUAGCGAAAUAAGUGUUGAAGAAGGAACUACUUUAUGGAUGAUGAUUUGUCCAUUCUCUCCUUCCGAAUCUUUCGUCCUUUUCGGUUUGACAACAGAUAUUAAGAAAGUACAAAAUUAGACAGGUUUAGUCCAUUUUAUUCGUAAUCCAUUCAAUGCAUGCUUUCGGUUUUUUGUAAGUGUGCAAAAGAAAAAACAUCUUUCAUUAUAUUUGGUUUCCUAAAAGAACCAAAAUUUUGGGACAAAAAUAAAAACUAAAAGAACCAAAGAUCAAGUACGGACGGAGUAAUAUGUAUUGAGGCUAAUCCAAAAAAUCAUAUUAAGACUUCAUGAUGAUAUCAUUUGUAUGUUUGAAUUUUUGUAGUAAUAUAGUGACGGCGAAAUGGCCAUAUCUUCUCCUCCAAUUUCCAUGACAAGGCAUUUUGCCACUCCAGACGUUCAUGUUAAUAACUUGCAGGAAACUAGUAACACUAAUGAUGAUCAAGGUGAAGACUCUUUGGAUCAAUUUUAUUUUCUUAAGUUAUCUCAUCACCCUUUUCAUUUUGAAGUUUAAAUCUCUUCUCUCACACCUUUUGUUCAGUUUCUCUAAAUGACGAUGCCGUCAUAAAAGUAACCUCAAUUGUUGAGGAACGAUAUUCUAAGGAUGUCGAAUUUGAAGUUCUAGAAUCGAAGCCCGCCCUUAUCAUUCCUUCGCCUCAAGCAUUUCAAUCUCCUUCGAUGCUAUCCGGAGGUAUAGAUUUUCUCCCUUCAUUUUAUUUUUUAGAACAUUACUUGGUACUCAGAGAGGACUAAUUAUCCUUUUCUAUACUUUCAGGGGACCCUUCUCAACUAGAUGAAGAAUUAGUAAGUUCAUCAUGAGGUCCAUUUUUUCAUUAAUAAUUGCCAUUCGAUAGGUUUCCUAUGAAACAAGAUUUAAACUAAUUUUUUUAUAAAGAUUUUUUUUUUUUAAGUCUAUUGCUUCCGAAUCUUAUAUCCAAAGUUAUGGAGAAUCGUUGCUCAAUAUUUGUAGAUGCUUAACACUGAAAUUCUUGUUUUCUAUUUUUAAUUUUAUUCGUAGUGGAAUCAGACUCUUGCAAAAUAUAAUAUAUGGUGUAAAAUAUAGUGAGGUUGAUCCAUUAUAAGAUAUGAUAUAUCAUUUAGUGAUUUAAAUCUGUGUAGGAAGAUCUUGAUGACCAAAUGGACAUGACUUCUUUUUCCAUUGCUACUACAGAGACCAAUGAUGAAGGUGAAAAUGCUUUGAAUCUAUUUUUAUAUUCUUAUCUUACUUCGAUAUUCAUCGCCCUUUUGAUUUUGAACUUUAUCCUCUCUCACAAUUUGUAUAGUUUCUCGAAAUGAUGAUGCUUUCAAGAAAGUAAGCUCAAAUAUUGAGGAACAAUUUCCUAAGAUUGAUGAUAUAAUAGUUUCCAAAUCUAAACCCUCUCCUUGAAUCACGUCUUUUGUUGCAUCUUUUGUUGCAUCUGAGUUUCCUCUGGUGUCUUCUAAAGGUAUUUUAUUGCUUGCAUUUAAUUUUUAACUAACUUUGGUGUGCUCAAGUAGGCUUAAAUAUUCUUUCCUAUACUUUCAGGGGACCCUUCUCAAAAAGUAGAAGAUUUCAGUUCUUCUUUGCAUGUCAAGAGGGAGCUUGAGCAACUAGUCUCCAAGAAGCAUUUCGAUUAUGAUAACUUGUCUUUGUUGACUGAUUUCUUUGUUAAGCAUCCUUUGGUUCUUUUAAACGACACUUCAUUGAGUAACAGAUACAAGGGUUAUACCUACAAUUGUCUAGCGGAGCUAUUGAAAUUCCUCCAAACUCAUAGUGUGUUGGAUGUGUUAGGUUCAAGCCACUCUGAAUUUGUUGAGUUACUACAAGAUGCACGCAGAUUUCCAUUUCAUAAGGAAUGGUUGGAUGAUAUCGAAAAGCGCGCUUUGUUGCCUGGUUUACAAGUCUCUCAAGAUGCAUUGCAAAAAUUGUUGGACUCAAAACACAUUUUGACUCAACAUGUGGCGGAUCUUAAGCAUCAAUUGGCUUCCUCUGAAGCUGUUUUGCAGAACAUCACUCAACAGGAGGCACAAAUUUUACAAACUCGGGCUGCUUUAAGUGAUCCUAUUGGCUACUAAACUAUUUUUUUCCAUACAUUCGUUCAAGAUGUUCCCUGCUUCUCUUUAUCCUUGAAUAUUAUUUAUUGCUUGGGUUGUUUUUCUGUUUUUCAUUUCAAAUGAAUUAAACAAAUCUUAUUGAUUGUUGUAUCAUUGUAUUAUUGAUAUCUUCCUUAUUUCGAAUAAGAAAACACGUUGAACACAUUUUGCUAUGCUAUACACCACUCAUCAAUCAAUAUGCAUCAAAUGCAUCCUAAGAUUUGGAUAAAUAUUGGAAAAUAUCAAAUAGAAUUUCAUAUUCAGAAGAUUAUCCAAACUAGUAUAUACGACAAACAAAAUGUGACUAAGAGAAAAGUUGGGAUCAAACAACAAAAAAAAUACUGGGAUACAGUUUCAAUAUGCAGAGAUGAUGAACGAAUUUAGUUUUGUAGAUUCAAUAGCAUGGUUGUUAUAAGUUACAGACGGCACCUGCAGUUGCAGCUGCAAUAUAAAGGUUUUUAAAGUCCUCCUAAUUAUAUUACAACCACAAUGUAGACAUAUUAGUGGUAUUUUUCAGAAUUUUAUCGCAAGAAGAAAGUUCUAAACGUAACAUGGUAAUAUGUUAAUGUUUAGUGUAGCCUCUAAAGGUCAGAUAGACUGUUCAGAUUUUUCAUCUCAGAACUUUUGAAAGGGCUAAGAAUAAAGUUGUGUUGUAAGUGAUUAGGUUCGAGCCAUUCUUGUACAAGGGGAAAUGAAAAACAGUGUAUAAACAAUGUCUAGUAAUUAUAUUCCAUCAUUGCUACUUUGUUAUGCUUUCCAUUGUGGGAACAUUUGUACUUCAAUAUUGUUCAUUUCUUGGGUGUAACGUUUCGUCGUUUCUCAUCCGAAGUGAACUAAAGAGUCUCAUUAUGUUUGUGUAUUUAAAACUAUUAGUGAUUGUUGCAUGUUACAUUGAUGAAGUUAUUUUACUGAAUCUUUCAUACAAUAUUGAUUGUGUUUGGGUGUAUUUAAAUAAUGCACCCAAACCCCAAUAUAUAUAUAUAUAUAUAUAUAUAUAUAUAUAUAUAUAUAUAUAUAUAUAUAGGACAUAUACUAUGAGAAUGUCAUUUUUAUAUAAUUGUAUCGUGUCAUUAGUAUUCCUUUUUUGAACACUACUAAAAUAGAAUUUUGAUUUUCUUUUUUAUUUUGUAACAAAAAAAUUGAAUUUUGAAUUCCUCAUGGAUCAAGCUUCGUAGAACAUUUGCUCAGAAGAAAAAAAAAGUUUCUUAGAACAUAUCCUUUUUUUUAAUUUAUCUUCCUAUAAAGUCUAGAUAAAUGCAUGCAUGCACAUUAUAUGAACCUCGUUGAUCAAUUAACAUUUUUGAAACGAAUGGAAAUUAAGCAUCACUCCCUCAUGUGCAUCUAUAGCUAGCACCAUUUGACAUUGAUGUCUUCGAACAUUUGGUGCAACUCUCAUAAUACCAUCCAAACUGGUUAGGAUUGAAUUUAGUUGUUUUUCAAAUAGUGAUGCAAUAUGUAUCCUAACACAAAUUAUGCACAUGAAAUAAAGAAUAAUGCAAUAUGUAUUUUUAAUUUGUGCGUCAAAAAAACACAAAGCAUGUUUGUGCAUAAAAAAAGCAGACCUUGACUAAGUUUAUAAAUCAGCAAUUGGCCUAACCUAAGACAGAUUGGAAAAAUCGUUGUACGUUGAGAAUAAGCCGAACUCUGACUUAAGUUCUGACUGAUGCUUUGACUCUGAGCUUGAGAAGUGUGAAGGUCAUGAGUCAUGACAACAAUUUAAGAAACAUGGUCAAAAAACAAUCAAAUCAGAUUGUGAAAUAAUAAGUUAGCAUGAGCUAAAAUUCAAUCAUCAUGACUGAAGGUGAGAAAAACACAAGAAGGGGGGUUGAAUUGUGUUUUCUUUUUCUCUAAAAAAUACUGUUAUCUUGAUUUUGGGGUGUCAAGUCAUUAAUUAGGCUUGAACCUUUCAAUCAUUGAUAAUCUCUAUUUUUUUUCUUGGGAAGGGUAAAAUUGAGAAAACCCUUAGAAACUCUAAGUUCGGGGGUCGUUUUCGUUACGGGAAGGUGUUAGGCACCCGCAAUGACUAUAGUACUCUAUCGGAACCGUUUUCCUAAUUUUAUGUCUACGCUUUAUUUUUAAUGCUAUUUAUUAAAAAAGGAAGUUGUUUAUGUUAAGAAUGGGGGGAGGAGUGUUUGGAUUUUUAUUUUAUUGAACUUGGAGAGGUUUUGACCUCUUGCCUACAUACCCUUUUAAGGGAUCAAAAUUUCAUGUAGUUCUCUUUCAAAAAAUGUUUUUGUGUGUUUCAAUUGAUUUUAAGUUUUUUGGAAAUGGGUUUUGAAGAAAGGAAAGAAGCCGUGAAGGCAUGAGAAAAAAUGGUGAGUGGUUGGUUCAAUUAUUAAGAAAAGAGUCUAUGUUGGAAUUAAAGUUCAUUUUGAGUUUCUCUUAAGAAAAUAAAGGGAAAAUUCAAUGGAGUUUUGACUCCAAGGUUUAUUAGGAAAAAAAAUUUCAAGUGAUGGAAUUUGCUUAUUUUUAAAAAAGAAGAAUAUUUUUCUAAGUAUCGCGUUCCCUAAGCAUACAUCUAAAGCGGUAAAUCAUCAUACAACGUGUGUGCGUGUCGGUGCUUGUAUCGGUGUACAUCAUUAGAGUCCAUUGUCCAUUACAUAGGCCCUAGUUUACAUUCUAUGGUCUUGCAAGAAUUUAAAAGAAAAAUUGAAACUACCUAAAUUUACAUGCCAACUUUAACAUAGAAAUGAAUAGUAAAAGACCUAAACUAUAAGAAAUGGAGAUGAAAUGAUAGAAUGCUUAUGAGGUGAAUGAAACAAGAAAUAAAAAUGGUUAGUAGAAUAGGGCAUAAAAUGAUAGAACAAGUUAGCAAAGAAAUACGAGAUAAACGGUAAAAACAACAACAAUAACCAAAAUGUAAAAAGUACACAUUACUUGCAACACAAGAAAUUAACAAAUCACAUUAAAAAUAGUACAAACAAACACAUGAUCAGAGACAUAUUCACCACAAAAUUGCAUAUCAAUCAUUCAUAUCGUGCCAAGACCUCAUGAACAAAUUAUGGCAAGAAAAUUCACAAGUUUAGUCAAAAAAUGAACAAAUCAACAAGAAAACAUUACAUAUAUUUUUUAUCAUUUUUUAACAUGUAAAAACAUCACAAAAAUGUUAAAAAUGCAUCAAGAAACACAUAGAAAUUUUUUUAGGAAUUUUUGCAAGAAAAUUAGAACAAACAGGGGUUCAAAUAGCAAGACAGCAAGGUGCAAAUAGCAAGAAUACUAACAAGAAAAAAAGGAAUCUGCGCAGAAGGAGGCCCAAGCCCAAAACCUAAGGCCUGGAUGCACAGGGAGCGUUGGAUUGAUCCAGGGAGGGAAACCCUAGAUCCAACGCUCAGGAUUGCAGGGGAUUGGACCGGUCUUGAACCGGUCCGGUCUAGUGGUCUAUAUAAGCAAGCCUACACCGGUUCAAUCACUUUGCUAUGUUCUUUCUCUCUCUUCUCUCAUCCUAGUGAGAGAUGCUCUCGCCUCUCUCUUCUCUUCCUCCGCCGGUUUCUGGAAUGAGCGGCCGGAGAAGAUGAAGAUCUGGCCGGAACCUUCAUAGGUCCGCCGGAAUCUUCAUCUUCUCCGGCGAGAUCUCCAGUUUUCCGGCAACCUCUAAUCUCACCAGAACUUCGAAAAUUUUACAACAAACUCUUCGUUUCUUCAUCCUAAACAUGAUUCUAACACUGGUUUUCACAAAUAAAGCUUGAAUCAACGUAGAUCUAAAGAUUUUGCUACGGUUUUGAAAGUAUUUUUAGGUUUUUCAGUUUUUUGAAAGAAACUCUUUGAAACUUUGAAGAUCUACAUUGAUUCGUUCUUGUUAUUGUUCUUGAGAAAGGAAAAUGAAGAUUCAAGUGUUACCUGUGAUUUAAUCGGAGAUUUCGAACGAAAAUCUUCGGAAAACUUCGAUCUGAUUCUGUUUCGUUGAUUUCGUUCUUGAAUCCGAAAAUAAAUCGGUGUUCUGGCUGGUUCGAUUCUUUCUUCUUCUUCACCGGUUCAAAUUCUUCUUCUUUUCCUCUUCCUCUUCACUGAUUCUCUGUGAUCGGUGCUUGAGUUUGCCAAUGGCGAAUUCGCGCCUUGAAUUGCAGAGAAUCCGGUUCAAUGAUGAUGAUUGUUUGAAGAAUCACUGAGAACUGAACGAAUUUAGUUGAAAUUGUUGAUGAAUUGUGAUUCUGGAAUUCUAGGGUUCAUGAAUGUUCUUCAUGUUCUUGAUAGUUUCUGAGUUUUUGAUCUAACUGAAUGGAGAGAGAAACUGUGAUUCUGUUUGUUGAGGUGGCGUGAAUUGUGUGGAUCCUCUGGUUUGUGCAGUGAAUGCACCUUUUAUAGGCUGUCAAGUGUGCUUGAGACCCAAUGGGAGAGGGACACCUGUUUUUUGGACUUAGGGACCUCUCUGCAAAAAAGAAAAAUUGAAGGAUUGGACUGUAAUAAAAAAAAUGGACUAAAAUGCAAUUUUUAAACUGUUUGGGACUGAAAUGCAAUUUUAGAAACUGUUCAGGGACUAAAAUGCAAUUAAAAAUAAAAUUGGACUAAAAUUGGUAAUUUGGAAAAAACGUAAAUUGAAACCAAAAAUAAAAUCAACAAAAGGACUAAAAUGAACCAAUUACAAAAAUGAGGUAUUUCAAAAUACCUCUCUGUCGAAAUUUUGACAGGAAAAGACCAAAAUGCCCCUAGGGACUAAAAUGACUCAACCUGACUCAGAUGCAAUUUUGAAAUGAUUUUAAACAAAGACUCAACAGUGAUUUGUAAAACAAGUUGAAAAGACUCGUAGGAAAACACAAGAAAAGUAAUGCAAUGAUUCAGAGAAUUUUCAAAUAACUUGUAAUGCAAGAAAGACACUUUGGAUAGUUUUAUGCAAGAAAAUCAUGAUUGAACACACUUUGAGACAGAGACAGUAAAAUAUGCAGAUGAAAAGAGAGUCAAGAUUCAGAGUAAAACAACAGUAAAUUGACAAAUAUCAGUGUUAGAAAAGAAAUUUGAAUGAGUAUUUUUAGGUCCAAAAUCAGGGUAUAACAAUUACUUCUUCUGAUAAUACUUCAGAAGCUGUUUUGGAAUGCUUCUGAUGUAAUAACCAGAAUCAGAUAUGCAGCGGAAAAGAUCAAAGCAGAGAAAAGAAAAACGAGACACAAGUAGUUAUCCUGGUUCCUUCCACAAAUCGGAAGUAGUCCAGUCCCCCUUGCACUUCCAAGGAGAUUUCACUAUAAUCACAAAGAUUACAAAUGCUCAAUACUCUCUAAGUAUGAGACUUCUCAAAAAUGCUCAAGCACGCACGCAAGAGUCUUCUAAUGCUCAAGCACACAGGCAAGAGACUUCUGUUCAAACAAAAAUACAGAGAAAAUGUUUGACCUUGAACACUUGAUAUACAAUCAGUAGUGUUCACAAAUACAAUGCAAUAAAAACUCUAGACUUGUGAAUUUCUAAGAUGUAUCAAAUCAGUGCAGAAAUUCAAUGUGCUUUGUAGAAUCAAAUUGACAGGGUUUUGGCGCUUUUUAACUUGUAUAUCUCUAUCUACAAUCUUCAAGUCUUCACUCCCUUAUAUAGAGGUGUGAAAGAGACGUUGAGAUGAUUAGCACGUCUAAAGAGUCGUUGAGUUCCUUUGAUCAUCCACCAGUAAUCAUUUGUCUGAUUUGGGUGUAGUCCUUUGAAGAAUUAGCUUCAAAUUCAUUCCCAUCUUGAAGGAACAAUUCUGCAGGCAUAGCUGUUGUCUUGUCUUGUAGCGUAGACAAAAACAGAGUAGUGGAGGUAGUGGUUGUACACUUGUACUUUGUCAACUCUAUUAACGCAGGACAAGUACUCAGUGUUCUUCAAAUGACCGUUGAUACCUCCCUUUCAAUUCUUCGUUCUUCUUAGACGAGGUUGAAACGAGAAACAGCUACUUUGAAUCUUCAGUUUAAAUUCACUGAUUAAUUGUACCUUCUGGUGAUGAUUUCGCUUCUGAUGAAAACCUUGCUUCUGAUGACGUCAUUACUUCAGAAGCACUCCAGCUUCAUAAGCACUUUAGCUUCAGACGCAGUUUUCUUCAGAUGCUUCAGAUUACUUUGCUCUCCAUUGUUCUUCCAAGACCUAUUGAAAUUGAUUGACUUGCCUAUGGUCCUGUACACUUGAACAAUUAUUAGCAAUAACCAAUUGACAAUUUUUAAUAUCUUGUUAUCAUCAAAAUUUAUUAUGGUUUAUUGUGAAACACAUUUUGUUCCAACAAUGACCUCUACUAUACUCCACACUACAAAAGAAGAUUUUUCUACACUCAUGCAGCAUAACAAUUUCUGGUACAUAAUCCACUAAAAAUUGUAAAAAAAAACAAAAACAAAAAGACCCUUAAAAUGCAGAAUUGUGAAAAAAGGAAGAAAACCACCUAUGAUGAAGCAAAAACUAAAACAGUGUUGAAAAAUGAACCCCUCAAGCCAUAAAAAUCAGUCAACUAAAGUCAUGCAUGGUCUCAGAACCAUGAAAAAAGGAAGAAAAUGACCUCUUACGAAGAAGAAAGAGAAACAGUGUUCACAGUUGAACUUAGAUACCGUUAGGGCAAGAUUUUUUACGGUCUAAAAGUUACUUCAAAAUAAAUUUAAAAUAAAGGCUUUUAAGAAAGAAGCUAAAGUUGUUUGGUUUCUUUGUUUUUUUAGUUUCAAAGCUAUUUUUAAGUUAAAUGUUGGUUGGGAAAAUAUUAUACAAACUUUGAUAUUUUUUUUUUUUAUGUUGUCCGGAUUCGAACCUCGGACUUGGCAUAUAUUUAUGCAUUGUUCCUAUCAUCUAAGCUAAACUCACGAGGACAAAACUUUGAAUUUCUUAUGAAUUAACAUAAUAAAGAAAAAAUGUUUAACAUAUUUUCUGAAGGCUAAAAAUGUUAAAAACGAAAAGAUAUUUUUUUUUUACAAAUACUAUCUUUACUCAAUAAUGUUUAUUUUUUUUAACAUGAAUGCAAAUUUGUAUCAUCGUAUAAAUAACUUGUUAGAUAUUUGAAUAGGAGAAACAAUUUAAGGAGCCUGAAAUAAUAACAUAAAUAAUAUCAAAAUAGCUGAUUUUUUCUAUUUCAAUUAUACUUUAUAAAAAAUUUCGUUAUAAGAAUACCAUAUUUUUGGUGUCUUUUAAAAAGAUAAGAAUUUAUAUUAUAUUUGUUACAUUGUUGGUGUCAUCGAAACAUAUAUGUUUAGUUUUUUUUUAAUAAGAAAAAAAUAUGCAGAGUUUGUUACAAUAUAAAGGUACAAUAUAUAUAUAUAUAUAUAUAUAUAUAUAUAUAUAUAUAUAUAAGUAUAAUUUUUUUAGGCAUCUAUACAUUUUUUGAAGAAAAGACAUCUACAAUUUUACUUUUGAUUAGAAUCAAAAUUUUAUAAAAAUAAUCAUACGCAUUAUGCAACGCCAAAAAAAUUAUACGCAGUAGCGUGACAAUAAAACUAACACACAUAAAGUAUUACUCUUUUUUUUUUGGUAGAUAGACGAAAUGGCAAAGCCAUUAUAAACUCACACACACAAGUAGAGGUGCCGGGGUUCGAACCCCGGUCAUGGCAUCCGGCCUAACAAUUUCGGCAUUUUUGCCAGUUGAGCUAGGACUUCUGGAUACAUAAAGUAUUACUCUAAAUGCUAAUGUGUGUGUCUGUAUAUAUUUGCGAGGUUGAAGAAAGAAAAUAAAAAUAUUUAGUAUCAUUAAAUGACAGCGUGAAUAAAAAUAUUUGUGAGGUUGUGAUGAUUAAACGAUAUUGAAAUUAAAUACAUAAGUGAUAAAAAGAUAAUAAAAUUCCUUUAAAAAAAGUAAUAGAAUUAAAUGGGACCUCCUUAAAAAAAUUAAAUGGAACGGUUCAAAAAAAAUAAUAAUAAAGUAGAAGAAAAAAACAUAUUGAAAUAUAAUAUUAAAAAAUAAAAGAAAAGUUUCCCAACGUGAAUUGAAGAAAGAUUCUUGUGAAAUAAAUUGUCGAGAAGUAGUUUUUUGAAGUAAUAUUCAACAACUUUUGGCCAAAGCUUAUUCUAUUCAAUUUUAUGCAUUAAAAAAGUACAUUUUUUAGUAAGUACUUAAUUGGUAUUGUAUUUGGCCUAACUUCUCCUUAAAAAUGUAGAGAAGUUGAAAAAAAAAAUCGGGUCAAACGGUAUCUUAAUCUCCCACAACGGCAGUGUAAAAGCAAUUGAAUUUGGGAGAAAAAAUUCAAAAAUAAUUAAAAAUAAAAAAAUUGGAAAAUAGUUAAAAGUUAAAAGUUUUUAAAAAUAUAAAAAUAGAUAAAAAAAUCAGUGAGGUAGCACUCAACCAAGCAACACUAAAAAAAAUUAUAUGCAUUAGCUUAACAAAAAAAACAGACAUAAAAUAUUACUAUAAACGUUAAUGUAUGUGUGUAUAUAUAUUCCCGAGGUUGAAGAAAGAAAAUAAAAAUAUUUGGUAUCAUUAAAUGACAGCGUGAAUAAAAAUAUUUGUGAGGUUGUGAUGAAUAUAUGAUAUUAAAAUUAAAUAUAUAAGUUAUAAAAAGAUAAUAAAAUUCCUUUGAAAAAAAGAUAAUAAAACUAAAUGGAACCUCCUUUAAAAAUUAAAUGGAACAGUUCAAAAAAAUAAAAUAAAAUAAAGUUAAAUGAAAGGAAAAAAACAUAUUGAAAUAUAAUAUUCAAAAAUAAAAGAAAAGGUUCCAGCGUGAGUUGAAAAGAGAUGAUUGUGAAAUAAAUUGUCGAGAAGUGGUUUUUUAAAGUAACAUUCAACAACUUUUGGCCAAAGUCAUUCCAUUCAAUUUUAUGCAUUCAAAAAAAUUAUUUUAGUAAGUACUUAAUUGAUAAUGUGUUUGGCCUAACUUUUCCUUAAAAAUGUAGAGAAGUUGGAAAAAAGCCGGGUCAAACGAUACCUUAAUCUUCCACAACGACAAUGUAGAAGCAACUGAAUUUAGGAGAAAAAAAUUGAAAAAUAGUUAAAAACAGAAAAAAAAAUGAAAAAUAGUUAAAAAUUAUUAAAAAUUAUAAAAUUAUAAAAUAAUUAAAAAAAAUUGGUAAGGGGCAAAAUGGAGAAUGCACCCUAAAACAUGUGAGGUGGCAACAACCAAAUUUCACCAAAUAGUAAAUUACAAAAAUGCUCCUCUUAAAGGCAAAAUGGUAAAAUCAUAGAGAUUAAUAUUUAAUAUAUAGUAAGUAGAUAGUAAGUAGAUUAAAAAAUGUAAUAAUGAUCUCAAAUGAUAUGACAAUUUUACUAAACUAGUCUUAAUUACUGUUGGUAUAGUAUACACUCAAUUCAUUAGAGAGUGUAAAUUACAUUUAUUUUGAAACAAUUUUUUUUUUCUUCUACGGCUACUUAAACUAGAAAUUUAGACAAACAAGAGGGUACAACAACAUUUACUUCAAACCAAAUCGUGACCAUGGGUUGGUUUCAGUUAUUGUUUUAUUAAAUAAGUGUGACCCUAUCUAUGCAUAAGUGAAGCUUUAAAUCAAUGAAAAGACUUGACUAGCUAGGUAGCUGUGAAGUUUCUGAAUAAUUUAAUUGAACAUUUAAUUUAUACGGACCCUAUCCAUCCCUUCUUCUUUUCUUUUCUGAAUACCAAUGCCUUAUUCACUUAAUGUUGGGUACUGCAGAUUGCAGAAACAGCUGUUAAUUUGAUUUGCAGAUUGGAAAACCAGGUAAAUAACAAUAUAUUUUGCUUGAUCAUUCAUUCAUGUACAAAGAUAAAGUAGGUUUUCUAAAAUUGUUGGAAAGAUCGUCUACUUGUUGAACAAAAAUUAAGCUUCCAAAGUAUAUUUCUACAGCAGAGUUGUUGCAGUCAACACUACUAGCUACUGAAUAUUAGAGAAAGAUCAAGAGAAUAGUUCAUACGGCUUGAACAUUUGCUGAAACAAGGUAACAAUCAAUGAUAUGCUCAUACAAAUUAUAUUUAGUACAUGCUUUAUUUUAUGAUCCAUGUAAUCACAACACUGUAGCUUUUUCUUAUUCUAUUUAAUGUUUUAAGUAGUUACUUCAAAUAUAGAAUUACCAAAGUUACAAAAGGGGAAAUAACAUUGGAUUGAUUUUUUUUUUUGGUUACAUAACACAUUGGAUUGAUAAUCACAUUAUUAUAAUAAUAAUAAUUAUUAUUAUUAUUAGAGAAAUGUUAACUAGUGUUAUUAAAGUGUCCUUAGGGCACUUGUUAAGAAGUCUACAGAAAAAAUGUUGUAUUGGAAAUAGUUUAAAAAAUAAUUUUUUUUACAAAUUUUUUUAUUUUGUUUUGAAGGAAUUAUUAUUAGGCUAAAGUGCACUUUUCGCCCCCUAUGUUUCAUAAUGUUGCGAUUUUGGCCCCCUAUUAAAAAAAGUAGCAAUUUUGGCCCCUUUCAUCCCAAAAUUGCUCGGAAGAUGCCACGUGUCCCAGAAAAGGGGUCAUAAUCGCAACUUUUUGUAAAGAUAAGGGGUCAAAAAACAUAUUUCCCUUAUGUUAGGGGGUCAAAAGAGCAUAUUUCCCUAAACAUAGAGGAUCAUUUUUGCCAUUUUUUUUAAUAGGGGGCCAAAAUCGCAACAUUUUGAAACUUAAGGGACUUUAGCCUUAUUAUUAUUAUUGGUAGAAAUUACAAACUAGUUUAAAGAUCUAAUCAGCGGUCAUGUCAACGUCGAUUAAUUGUUGACAAACAUUUAUUUAACGGAAUAACUUAAUUUUUUUUUUUUUAAGAAUCUGACUAUAACUUCUUUUUUGCUUAGAGAUUUGUUUAAAAAAAGUUCAAAUAAUUUAAGGAUUUGCACAUUAACUAAACUUUUUUUUUUUUUCAAAUAUCAAAUAUAUAUCAAAAUAUAGCCUUAGCUUUUCAAACUCUCAUCUUUAAAACCCUCUUAAAUUCAACUUGCAAAUCACACCGUAUAACUCAAUAUUUCAUUUUGGCUUAAAUGUCUCCCUGCAUUUUUAUCACUUUUUAGGAUUGGUCCCUACAUUUUUAUUUCAUCAUCUUGUAAUUAUUCCAUCAUCUUGUAAUUUGUUAAUUAUAUAAAACAAAAAAAAAGCCACCAUCCAAGUAUUUUCUCAACAAUUUUGUGUGCAGAACUUGAAUAUCAAGGACCAUUGCCUUAUUUCACUUGAUGAUGGCUACUGCAUAUAGCAGAAACAGGUGUUGUAGUGUCUGCUGCAGAACUUGAAUUGGAAAACAACAAUCAUUCAUAUAUAGUUGUUGAUCAAUCAUACCAUAUGAAGUUUUUUAGAACUAUUACCUUGAAAUGGAGAAUUAGUUGGUGAAACGCAGAAUUGAUAUCAUGCUCUUUUAUCCUCUCCUUCUUACAUGCAAACAUAAUAACUACCACUUUAUUAUUGCAUAUUUACAUUUAUGAAAAGUAAUAUUUAACCAAAAUUAUAUUUCUACAGCAGAGUUGUUGCAGUCAACACCACCUUAUUAUGAUCUUGAUGAUGCUAGCUACUGCAUAUUGGAGAAUGAUCUUGAACAUUUGCUGAAACUGCUGGAUAUAAGGUAAUCAUACUUUUAACAAUUUUAAUUAAUUUCUUAAGUUUUAUAAAUCAACUUGAGUUUUAUGCUUUUGUAUUAUUUUUUAGAGAACACCAACUUGAAUGGAUAAGGAUUGAAUCAAUCAAACAUAGUCUAUCUGUAAUAAAUUUUCUGUUCAAGCCAUGUUAUCUUUUCUUUUCAAACUAAGAGCUUAAAACCUGAAGCCUGCUUCCAAGUCAAAAUCCUCAAAAAUGUCCUCUAAUUUCAAGCAUUGAAAAAAGGGGAAAUAACAGUGGAUUGAUACAUACUGACUUAAGUUACAAAAACUUCAAUAUUUUAGAAAGCUACUACAUUGAUUAAAUAAAAGUUCGAUAUCCACUAUGAAACACUAACAGGAGAGGAGAGCCUUACCAUUUUGUAAAUGAUAUGAAAGGAUUAUUUAAUAAGUUGCAACUAAGCAAGGUCCUAUACUUAUUAGUUACAGGAUCCUAUCUUUUAACUACGCGCACAAUAUGCCAAAACUAUAGUAUGCCAAACUCCAACAAUUUUGUAAAAGUUAUUGACUCUGCAGCUUUUGUUUGCUGCAGAACAUGAAUUGCAAUAACUAUUACUCCUAAUUCUCUUGAUUGAAUCUUUAGUAUUGGAUGGACUCCCUGUUUCAAAUUACUUUGAUGAAAAAUGUGUCAUCAAGUAUCAUUUUUCAAAUGAACAGACUUCGAACAAAGAAAAUCUUACUGCACAAAAAAAUUCUUUGAUGAAAAGUGUGUCAUCUACUAUCAUUUAUCAACCAUUUUAUUUCUCAAUACACAAUACAACACACACACAACCAUAUAUAUGCCUAACUUUGAUCUAUUGAAAUUUAUUUAGAUGGCAAGUUUUUUGACUGAUUUGGCGAAGCCUUAUGUGGAUAAAUUGAUAAAUGGGGUGAUCGCAGAGUCAAGUUAUAUAUGUUGCUUCACGUACAUUGCUAAGGAUUUUGAAGAAGAAAGAGUUAGUUUGGAAAUAGAAAAGACAACUGUCAAGCAACGUGUUGAUGUGGCAACCAGUAGAGGAGAAGAUGUUCAAGCUAAUGCUCUUUCUUGGGAAGAAGAAGCCGAUAAGCUUAUUCAAGAAGACACAAGAACAAAACAAAAAUGUUUUUUUGGAUUUUGUUCUCAUUGCGUAUGGAGAUAUAGAAGGGGAAAGGAAUUGACAAAUAAGAAGGAGCAAAUUAAAAGAUUAAUUGAAACUGGAAAGGAACUUUCAAUUGGACUCCCUGCUCGUCUUCCAGGUGUUGAACGUUAUUCAUCCCAACACUAUAUUCCUUUUAAAAGUAGGGAAUCCAAAUACAAAGAGCUUUUGGAUGCAUUGAAAGAUGACAACAAUUAUGUAAUCGGGUUGAAAGGAAUGGGGGGCACAGGAAAAACUACAUUGGCCAAAGAAGUUGGUAAGGAACUUAAGCAGUCCAAACAAUUUACUCAAAUAAUUGACACGACAGUGUCAUUUUCUCCUGAUAUCAAAAACAUUCAAGAUGAUAUUGCUGGACCCUUGGGAUUGAAAUUUGAUGACUGUAAUGAAUCAGACAGACCCAAAAAACUAUGGAGCAGGUUAACCAAUGGUGAAAAGAUUCUUCUAAUAUUGGAUGAUGUGUGGGGAGACAUCGAUUUUAAUGAAAUAGGGAUUCCAUACAGUGACAAUCACAAAGGCUGUAGAAUUCUUGUAACCACGCGCAAUCUCUUGGUGUGUAACAGAUUAGGAUGCAGUAAGACAAUGCAACUCGAUCUGUUAUCUGAAGAAGACGCAUGGAUCAUGUUCAAAAGGCAUGCUGGUCUUAGCGAAAUUUCAACUAAAAAUCUGCUUGAAAAAGGGCGUAAAAUUGCAAAUGAAUGCAAAAGGUUACCGAUUGCAAUUGCUGCUAUCGCCAGCAGUUUGAAGGGCAUACAACGUCCGGAAGAGUGGGAAUGGGCCUUAAAAUCCUUGCAGAAAAAUAUGCAAAUGCACAAUGUUGAUGAUGAACUGGUUAAAAUUUAUAAAUGCUUAAAAUUUAGCUAUGAUAAUAUGAAGAAUGAGAAGGCCAAGAGACUAUUCCUCUUGUGUUCUGUAUUUCGAGAAGAUGAAAAAAUUCCUACCGAAAGGUUAACCAGACUUAGCAUCGGAGGAGGCCUUUUUGGGGAGGAUUAUGUCAGCUACGAAGAUGCUCGAAGCCAAGUUGUUAUAUCCAAAAAUAAACUCCUAGAUUCUUGUUUAUUGUUGGAGGCCAAAAAAAGUAGAGUGCAAAUGCAUGACAUGGUUCGUGAUGCAGCCCAAUGGAUAGCGAGCAAAGAGAUUCAAACAAUGAAGUUGUAUGAUAAAAAUCAAAAGGCAAUGGUUGAAAGGGAGAAAAAUAUUAAAUAUUUGUUAUGUGAAGGCAAGCUUGAGGAUGUGUUUUCAUGUAUGCUUGAUGGUUCCAAGCUUGAGAUUCUAAUUGUCACUGGGCAUAAGAAGGAAGGCUUCCACUGCCACGAUUUGAAAAUCGAUGUCCCGAAUUCAUUUUUUGAAAAUAGUACGGGCCUUCGAGUUUUUUAUCUAAUCUAUGAUAAGUAUUCUAGUCUAUCUCUAUCAUUACCUCAUUCAAUUCAGUCGUUGAAGAAUAUUCGAUCUCUUCUCUUUGCAAAUGUCAUUUUGGGUGACAUCUCUAUUUUGGGAAACCUUCAAAGUCUAGAGACACUUGAUUUGGAUGGUUGUAAAAUUGAUGAAUUGCCUCAUGGAAUCACAAAACUAGAGAAACUGAAAUUAUUGAACUUGACAUCUUGUAGAAUUGCAAGGAAUAAUCCUUUUGAAGUGAUUGAAGGAUGCUCGUCACUUGAAGAGUUGUAUUUCAUAGGUAGUUUUAAUGAUUUUUGCCGAGAAAUAACUUUCCCGAAAUUGCAAAGGUUUGAUAUUGGUGAAUUUUCAAACUUAGUGGAUAAAUCAUCAUUGAAGGGGGUGUCUGAUCUUGUAAUCUCAGAUAAUGUUUUCCUAUCUGAAACAACACUCAAGUAUUGUAUGCAAGAAGCAGAGGUUCUUGAACUAGGAAGAAUCGAGGGGGGGUGGAGAAACAUCGUACCUGAGAUUGUUCCUCUGGAUCAUGGUAUGAAUGAUCUAAUCGAGCUUGGUUUGAGAUCCAUUUCACAAUUACAGUGCCUCAUUGACACUAAUUCUCCAGUUUCAAAAGUCUUCUCCAAGUUGGUUGUACUAAAGCUCAAAGGAAUGGAUAAUUUAGAAGAAUUGUUCAAUGGUCCUGUUUCCUUUGACUCUCUGAACAGUUUAGAGAAGCUGUCCAUCAAUGAAUGUAAACAUUUAAAAAGCUUAUUUAAGUGCAACCUAAACCUCUGCAAUCUAAAGAGUCUUUCAUUGGAAGAAUGCCCGAUGUUGAUAUCCCUAUUUCAACUGUCAACUGUUGUUAGCCUAGUGUUGUUGGAGAAACUGGAAAUAAUUGAUUGUGAGCGCCUUGAAAACAUAAUAAUAGUUGAAAAAAACGGGGACGAAUUGAGAGGUGAAAUAAUUGAUGCUAAUGGCAAUACAAGUCAUGGCUCAAUGUUUCCGAAACUAAAAGUUCUUAUUGUUGAGAGCUGUCCGAGAAUUGAAUUAAUACUUCCGUUUCUCUCUACUCAUGAUCUUCCAGCACUAAAAUCCAUCAAAAUAGAAGAUUGUGACAAGUUGAAAUACAUAUUUGGUCAAGAUGUCAAACUUGGUUCGCUCAAAAAAUUGGAGCUUGAUGGCAUUCCGAAUUUGAUCGACAUUUUCCCAGAAUGUAAUCCUACAAUGUCUUUGUCCAUUAAGAAGCCAUCUUCCAUUUCUGAGUCACAAGAACAAUCAGAGCCAAUCAAAUGCAAUAUGUUUUCAUGGACUGAUAUCUAUUGUUGUGGUAAAAAAUAUGGGCACAACAAAUUGAGGAGUACCACAAUUACGAAAAUCCCAUUGGUUUCUCAGGAUCAACUGCUGGAUAACUUAAUGGUAACCCUCUUACCUUCUUCUGUGAUGUUAUUUUGUGUACUUUUUUAAGCCAGUCUGUCGGACUUGUAUUGUAGGAAUCAUUUGUUUUUAUUUUCUUGAAUUCUAUAUUUGCUCACUGAGAUUAUAUAAUUGCAGGAAUCAAAUUCAUAUCCUCUUAACAUAUGGGAAAGUGCUCAAUGUCUUUCAAGACAAUCACAUAUCUUGUGCAAUAUUAAAAAGAUUACACUCUGGAAAAUUUCAAAGAUGAAAUCAGUAUUUAUCCUGUCUAUUGCUCCAACAAUGUUGUUGGAGUCAUUGACAAUCUAUAAGUGUAAUGAAUUGAAGCACAUUAUAAUAGACAUGGGAGAUCAUGACAACACUGGUGGCAAUAACUGGGGCACUGUCUUCCCAAAAUUAAG